rnacentral:lncRNA from 1 species
GUCGUAUUUUAAAAUAUUAUUUAGCACAUACGAUCUUAAACAUAGAGAGAGCGUAGAAAAAGCAAAUAGAAAGAAGUUGAACUCAUAUUACUUUGGAAGCUAAAAUGAAAUGUUGCAACUAUGAAAGAACCACGUAUAUAUAUGAGUGCUAUGGUUGACAGAAAACCUAAACAAAUGAAAGAUGGAAUGACACGUUACAAGAUACACUACUCUUUUUCACUUUCCCGACACCUGAAACACUAAACUGCUGGCUGAUGAACACGCACAUAAACAACAUUAUUUCCUGAACGAAAACAACGACUAGAGUAAUCCAGAAGAACCCUUGCAUGCAUGCAUGCAUGCAUGCAUUUUCAACGAUCUCAAGGGAAAGGAACAACACCCCCACCAACGCCGCUUCCAAUGCCGCUUCCAACGCCACCACCAACACCGCCACCAAUUCCACCACCGGUACCGCCGAGUCCUCCGAUUCCACCGAUGCCAGUAGUGCCGCCGAGGCCACCACCGAGGCCACCUCCGGCGCCAAAACCACCUCCUAUUCCAGCACCAGCUCCUCCAAAAGGUAGUCCAUUGCUCCCAAUUCCGGAAUAGCCACCGACUCCACCAUAGGUGAUGAAGUUCUUCUGGUCCUUGAGACCAGCAUCAGUGGGUGCGUUUCUGGCACUUGUGGCCACAGCCAAAGCAAGAACCAAGACCAAGAUACACAACUUAGCCAUGUCUCUCUCUCUCUCUCACUCUGUUUCACUCCCACACACUAGGAACACACAAUGAGUAGUUGCAGUCUCCUUUGGUUACUCUGAGUCUGUGUGGCAAAGAAUCUGGAAAGAUUGUUUUUUUAUAGGGGAGAAAGUUAACUAACGGGUGAGGGGCAGUUGAGCAUUGUAAAUGAAACUUUAAUGUCUUCACAGAGCCUUGCUGUCAUCAGACACGUUGUCCCAAAUAACAUUUAAGACCAUUUUCCUACCUUGCCACAUUCCUGCAUCGAUCAAUUUUUCCUAUGGGACACGCUAUCCUCACUCUGUGAAAUCAUUUUUAUACCAUUUUUAAAUUUAAAUUUCGAUUUAAUUCAGUUCUAUAAAAUUUAUGUGGAAGAAAAAAUUUGAUUUUUUCAUCCUGAGAAAGUAAAAGGGGCUGACGAUGAAUGAGAAGCACCAGCAAUGGUGCCCGCAAUGCUGCGGUGAACUGAGAGCAAAGAUAGCAGGGACAUAUUGCAACAUCGAUGUUUUGAACAACUAAUUGAUAUCCAUAUAUAUGAUAAAUGGAACUAAUUUAACAGAGUUUUAAUUUUAAUAUGAAUCAUGGAUUUGUGUUAGACUUAAUUCAACUUGGAGCAAUGCAUCUGUAUUUGCCUUUUCUUCUGUCGGAAGUGGCAAAUAUAUUUAUGGAAUUUUACUUGUAAGCUUUUCAAAUUUUAUAAACCUUUGUAGUAUCUAAUAAAAAGUGAAUUUUUUAUUUUUUAUUUCAAAUUAUUUUAUAUUUUAAAAUAAAAACGUUAUUUUGUCUGUAUUGAGUAAGUAUAAAGAAGAAAAUGGAAUGUUUAUUAGCCAGAAACUUGAAAAAUUGAGCUGGCUGAAGUCUUUUAUGGAUUCAUGCUGCAUUAAGUGACGUGUAUAUGCGUCAAAAAAAUUUCAUUUUACUUUCUUUUAUUCUGUCACCUCAUUUCUCAUUUCUCAUUUCUUAUUUAUUAUUUCCUCUUUCCUCUUUUGUUUUUUCUUUUCAUCCUUAACUUCUUUUAACUCGCUUGCUGAACCAAAACUAAGAUGUAUGUUUAUCUUCCCCACAUCGAAUAAGAAAAAAUGUAAGAAAAAUAUUAAAUUUACACCCAAAAUAGCAAAAACUAUAUAUAAACAUUAUAAAUAUAAAUGAUAUAUUAGGAAUGAAAAAAAAAGUCGAGUUCCCUUUUCGUAGAAAUAAGUUAUAACAUUCAUGUUAAUAUUUUUUGUUACUCGUAAAGAGUAUUUUAAAAGAGAUAUUAAUAAUAAUUAUAUAAAUUGAUAGGUAAGAUUGUUGUAGAAUUUUAAUUUAUUGUUGUAGAAAUUAAGCUUACAAAAUCAAUUCCAUUCCCCAGAAAUACGACAAAAUAAAUGGAAAUUUCAUUGGUUUAUAUUAUCUUACUUUAUUGGGAAUAUCACAUUUGCAAGAGUACUGAAGUGUUUCAUUUUUUUAAACCAGCUUAUGGACUUUUAUGCAAUGUAUUUUUAACAAGAGAAUUAUAUUUAUACUUUAAUCUUUAAUCUUUAUUUUACAUUUUAGUAUAAUCAUAUAUCUUAAAUAUAACAUAUAUUGCAUAGUAGAGCUGUCAAAACGGGUAACUCGGCUCGAUCCGAUCCGGCCCACCACGGGUUGGUCACUUAGUGAGUCAACCCAACCCAGUUCAUUUAUUAGCGAGCCAGAAAAAUUUGAACCCGGCCCGACCCACCACAGGUUGGUGGGUAAACAGAUUGGUUUAUUAGUCCAUUUAAUUAUAUUUUUUUAAAAUAAAAAAAUACAAACUUUCUGUAAUUUUAAUUUAAACAAAUUUCACUCCCAAAAAAUGAUGUUGAAGACAAUUCAAAAUAAUAAUAAAAGUUAUAAUAUAAUUCAAAUGUCAUCCAAAAACAAACACAAAAAUCAUACAAAUAAGUUUUUUAUAUUCAUCAUUUUUUGUUCCUUAUCCAUUUACGAUAUUAGAAUCUUGAAUAUAUAAGUCCACAAUAUUUUGCUCUCUUGAAUCAUCUUCUUCAUCAAUCGUUGUAACCCUUGUUCUUGUUGUCUCCAAAUUCACUAAUAAAGAUUUUUCUAAUAUCAGAACAAUUCCGACAAUCAAUAAUAAAGAGAACCAGUACUCAAUAACAUCAACAAAAAAUUAAUAGUUUAACCUGUAACAUAAUUUUGCAAAUUCAAAGAUAUCAAAAAGAGCUUGUUCAAAUAAUGUAUACUGAAAUUGUUUAAAUAAAAUGAACAAAAUAUGAUACAAGCAUGUCAUAACAUGAAAAAAAUCAUUCUAUGUCUUUAAAUCCCCCAGAACAAAAAACAAAUUCGCAAACCCCUAUUUUUGUCAUUAUAGGGUUUCUAAAAAAACGAAAGAGAAGUGAGAAAACAAAAAUGUGGAGAAAAGAGAAAACAAAAGGAAGGGUGUUUUACCUGCUCAAAAAAUUUCAGUGAAGUGAGGGUGAUAGUAUCGUCAAAUGAGAGCGAGUACCGUGAGAGUGAUUUGUGAGAACAGAGGUUACUUUUUUGGUAUACAUAGUGAAUGAAGAGAGUAUUUUAUUUUUUAGGGUUUAAUAAAUAAAAUAAUAAAUUAAAAAAAUAAUAUUAGGUUGGUGGGUUGGUGGGUCAACCCGACUCACCACGGAUUCAACACGCAUGAACCGGGUUGAAAUCUGACCCGUAUAUAAAUGAGUUAUAUUUUUCAAACCUAAUCCGGUCCAAACUCGUGACGGCCCGAAUUGACCCACGGAUUGUGAUUCAUUUUGACAGCAUAGUAAAAUGACAAAUACUGUGAGCUAAUUAUAAUAAACAAUGAAAAGGUCGAUAAACAGACAAUGAAAACGUAUUUAUAUUGUACGGAUCCUUUUUGUCAAAAUACAUAAUUUUUUUCCUUUGACAAAUUAAAUAAUAAAAUACCAAAAUGGUGGCCCAGGGUUACAAAAGCCGAAGUUGCUUUUUGUGCCUUCAUAUUUCCAUUUUGCAUCUCAAUAAAUAUGAAAUGAGACACCAUCGUAACUGUGAAGAGUGCACGAAGAAAUAACCACCAAAAGUCCCAAGGCUUCGAUUUUAGCCCAAAAACUAUAUUCGUCCACUUUCAACAACAAAUUGCUGGGUGUUUCUUCCAGCACCAUCAAAUUUCUUCAUCACCCCACAACCGGAUUUUGCUUUCCGGAACAAACUGGACCAAUUCUGGAAAUAUCGUUCCAGAAGUCAUUCAUUCCACUCCUAUUUCGGAUCAAAUUUUCUGAAAACAUAUGGAGUGCAGGAAGAAAUUUGAUGUGGUGCAAAAACGACUAAGAAAUGUCAAUUUAUUAUUAUUAACUUUUUUUCGGAUUUCAAUAAUUAAAUUUCUGAAGGAAUAAAUUAAAAAUAGCUAUUGAUUUCAAAACAAAUUUAAGUUUCAAAGGAUAUGAUGUCAAUAUUAAUCUUGAAAUUGGAAGAGGAGUUUUAACUUUUCCAAGAAAUUGGAAUAAAAUAUAUUUUGAAUUAUUUGUAACCAAUUUUUUCUUUUCAUUUUUUAACUAUUUUUUUAAAUGGAGUAAUUAGAAUUUUUACAUUUUAAUUUUUUUUAUUUGUAUAAAAUAAUUGAAUAUCUUUUUUGCGAUCAAAUUUUCAUUUUAAAAAUAUGUAUUUUAAAAUUAAAAUCAAUGAAAAAUAUUAGUUAAAUUUAAAUAUUAAAAAUAUACAAAAAAUUAUUUUUCUUUAAUAUGUAUGUGUGUAUAAAGUGUAUAUUGAGUAGAUUUGUUAAUUUGGUCCAUUCCAUAAGAUAUGAGUUUGGUUCACAUGGAUCGAAACUUAGAAUAUCCACAAGACCAAAAAGUCUACAAUAAAAAAACUCGCAAGGCCGAAAGAGUGAUUGGGUAUAAGGCUGAAUUGAGUCGGUUCAGACUAAAUAGUGAGUUGAGAUUGCCUUAAGCAAAAAGUUAAGUCGAGUUGGUCAAGUUAAAGAAUCAAGUUGAGUCCAAUUUAACAAAAAGUUGAGUCAAGCCAAGUCAGGACGAAGGUCGAGCCAAGUUGGUUAAGAGAAUUGAGAUGAAUCAAAGGUCCAGUCGAGUUGGUUGGGCUGAAGGUCAAACCAAGCAGGAUUAGGCCGAAGGUCAAACCAAGCAGGAUUAGGCUGAAGGUUACAUUGAGUAAAUUCAAACCGUAAAGUUGAGUCUGUCGAGCUAAAAGGUCGAGUUAAGUUUACUUCGAUUGAAGGUUGAGUAGAGUUGGUCUAACCAAAAGUGAAUUCGAGUAUGUCUGGCCAAAGGACGACGAUCAAUCCAAGUCGAUCGGGGCGAAGAAUCGAGUUGAGUUGGCCUAUGAUAAAGGUCAAGCCAAACCAUUUAGGGUCAAAGGUUGAAAAAUAUUGGCUAGAACAAAGGUUGUAUGAGUUAGGUUGGGUCAAAGGUCAAGAAGAAUUAUCCUUAAUCAAAGAUCAAGUCAAGAUGGCUUGUGCCGAAGGUCGAGCCAUGUCAAUCGGCACGAACAAUCAAAUCGACUCAAACCGAGUCAAAGGUCAAGCCGACUAACCUAGGCUGAAGGUCAAGCUAAACAAACCUCGCCAGUGUGAGCACUGAAUGUUAGUCUGAGCGCCAGUGUGGAUUUUUGUGAUUAAUUUAUCCUUUGUUGUUUGAAGUGGUUUUUUAUGGAUUCUAUGUAUGUUUAUUGUGGAUUUGUGAUGCCUCAUGGAUUAUAAUAUGGCUGAUAGUAUGAAUGGUGUAUGUUAGGAAUGGAAUUUUAAGGAAAAGUUUCUUAUAGUGAUUUUAAUAGUGUAUGCAUUGAUGUAUAGAUUCCUAAUUAGGAGAAGUUCUAAUAACCAUCCAAUCUCAAAUAGAGAAGAGUGAGGUAUAUAGUGAGAGGAGCACGAGGUCAGACACUUUACCUUAAACUAAGGCAUUGGAUUAAUCUUGUGUGUGGUAGGAUGAAACUCAUUGACAAUGACUCUACAAAUCAAUAAAGGUCAUCACAAGUAUAUAACCUACUAAAUCUUGACAUCAAUACAUGUAUCUGAAUGGUCAAGUCUUUGAAUGAAUGAUUAUAUGUCUUAGAAUUGGUUGAUAUAACUUUGUAUAUGUGUUAACAUCUAUAUUUCUGUUGUAUGAAUGUUCUUUUAAUAAAUUAAUUUAUCCUUCUAUCUUUGUAUGUUUGUUUCUUUGUUUGCAAUUAUCAUUUUAAUGGUUUGAAUACAUGAUGGUGUAAGAUGAGGAUAGCGCUUAAGUGUAAAGUAAGAUGCUAAUUUUUUUUUAUAUCAGUUUUUGAAAAACUUUGUUACUCCUUUUUAUUUAGUGUAAUAACAUUAUUAAUAUUAUAAGAUCCUUGAAUAUAUAAUUUGGUGUUAUAGUUAUAUCUAGAUAAGUUAAAUAAUAUUUUAUAUGUUUUUUGAAUUGACUAUUCUGUAUAUUGAUAUGUGACUAUUCCUAUGAUAAUUAAAUACUAUUAAAAAUAAAUGAAAUUAAAGACUAUUAAAAAUGAAAUGAAAUGUUAUUAAAAAUUAAAUGUUAUAUACAGUGACAUAAAUUAACUAAAUUAUGUAUUUAGUCUUUUCCAAUAAUAUUAAUCUAAAAUAUUUAUUAUUUUCUUUUUCUUUAUCAUUUUCAACAUUAAACCAAUUGUAGCUAAUAAAAACCUAAAAAUCAGUUGUUAAAACAUUUAGAGACACUGAAACCUUUUUAUUUUCUGAGAAGGAUGGGGGAAAACACUGUUACAUUGAUUUUGUUUCAUUUUCAGAGAAAAAAAAAACAAGAAACAAAGAAAUUAGAAAACUUUUAGGCCUACCCUAAUACAUUUAACCCAUCUUUCAAGUUUGAGUCCAUUGUGCGAGGUAGUUUUUUCAAAUUGCUCUUUCACUUAGUCGUUCAACGUUGUUUUACUCAAGAUGAACAUAAAUGACAAGAUAUGUAUCUACUUGAAGACUGUUAAGGUUUUUUUCUAUUAAAAAUUUAUUGUUAAUUUAAUCCUAAAAUAGUGUAUCCAGUAUAAAUAAUGCAUUUUAUACUAGAUUAAUUAAAAAUAAUAAAGCAUUAAGCACACCAUGGGCAUAUAAAAUACGAAUUUGCUAUAUCUUUUAAAAAAAUAAAUAAAUGUACAAAAAAUGAAAAACUUCCAUAAAAUACUUUUCAACCAUCGAUAUUUCAGCUGCACACUAACUUGUGAGAUUCUACAAAUAAUAAUAAAAAAAACGAAUUAUCAGCGUAAUAGUUAUCACCUAAUUAAACAUUGCUUUAAACGUAAUUAAUAGGUAAUUACUAUAAAAACCAAAUGAUUUUCAAAGAUCUGAUUUCCAUUAUGUUGUUACUGAUUUGAUUUCACCUGAGUUAUGAAAGUAGUUCAAUGACUUGACAUUCUGUUCUUUUGAAUUUCAAAUGUUGAUUAAACCUUACAAAAUAAAAAGAUAACUUAAAUCAACUAUAUCAGCUUUGUAAGCGACUUAAUGAACAAUUUAGAAUAAUCAUAACUAAUAAACUACAUAGAAAACUUUCAAAUUCUUAGCCAAAAGAUAUAGUGCAAAACAUGAUUAAAUAAACAUAAAAAAGUUCUGAGAACUUCACAUAACACAAAUGUUGACUAAAGAUAACAGAAUAAUCUAGAAUAAUCUAUGUAUCUAGAUAAUUGAGUAUCCUCAAUCUAACCAUCUAAAAACAUAAACAUAACAACAUAAUGCUUCAAGCAAGGUAUGUCCAGACGGGUAAAAUAAUGAGUAUCCGAUGCAAGAAGAAUUAUAAUGCAGUUAAAUCCAACAAAAAAGCAUCAAAAUAGGUUCUGAGAAGAAAACAAUUUGAGUGAUGAAAAGCAGAUAUGAUUUAGUCGACUUCCUCAAUCUUGGGGCCAGCCCCACUUCCACCAGAAGGAGUAUAUUCAUCAUCUGCUGGAGGAGCACCGCCCAUGUCUGGACCGGCACCACCCUGGUACAUUUUGGCAAUGAUAGGAUUGCAGACGCUUUCCAAUUCCUUCAUUUUAUCCUCAAACUCAUCUGCCUCUGCAAGCUGGUUGCUGUCCAACCAUUGGAUAGCUUGCUCAAUUGCAUCCUCAAUCUUUUUCUUGUCAGCAGGAUCCAGUUUGCCACCAAUUUUGUCAUCCUUCACAGUGUUCCUCAUAUUGUAAGCGUAAUUUUCCAAGGCGUUCUUGGCCUCGACCUUCUUCUUAUGCUCUUCAUCCUCGGAUUUGUAUUUCUCAGCCUCUUGAACCAUCUUCUCAAUAUCUUCCUUCGACAACCUACCCUUGUCAUUGGUGAUAGUGAUCUUGUUUUUCUGGCCAGUGGUUUUAUCUUCAGCAGAGACGUUCAAGAUACCAUUGGCAUCUAUGUCAAAGCACACUGUAAUUUGUGGAACACCCCUGGGAGCAGGAGGAAUGCCAGAAAGUUCAAAUUUGCCCAACAAAUUGUUAUCUCUGGUCCUUGCUCUCUCACCUUCAAAGACCUGGAUCAACACACCAGGCUGGUUAUCAGAGUAAGUUGAGAACACCUGUUCUUUCUUUGUCGGAAUUGUAGUGUUCCUAGGGAUCAGGACAGUCAUCACACCACCGGCGGUCUCCAACCCAAGAGAUAGAGGAGUAACAUCGAGAAGGAGAAGAUCUUGAACCUUCUCAUUGCCUUCACCACUUAAGAUCGCAGCCUGGACAGCCGCACCAUAAGCAACAGCCUCAUCAGGGUUGAUGCUCUUGCACAGCUCCUUUCCAUUAAAGAAGUCCUGGAGUAGUUGCUGAACCUUGGGAAUUCUGGUAGAACCACCAACAAGGACAACAUCGUCCACGCUUCUUUUGUCCAUCUUAGCAUCCCUCAAACACUUCUCCACUGGUUCCAUACAUUUUCUGAAGAGGUCCAUAUUGAGCUCCUCAAAUCUUGCACGAGUAAUGGUGGAGUAGAAAUCGAUUCCCUCAUAUAGAGAAUCAAUUUCAAUGGUAGUCUGAGCAGUAGAUGACAAGGUUCUCUUUGCCCUCUCACAAGCAGUCCUCAACCUUCUAAGUGCUCUGGGGUUUCCACUUAUGUCCUUCUUGUUCUUCCUCUUAAACUCUUGCACAAAGUGGUUCACCAUCCUGUUAUCAAAAUCCUCUCCUCCAAGAUGGGUGUCACCAGCUGUGGCUUUCACCUCAAAGAUGCCCUCUUCGAUAGUAAGUAAAGAAACAUCGAAUGUGCCACCACCAAGAUCAAAGAUCAAAACGUUCUUCUCACCCACACUUGAUGCUUUCUUAUCAAGACCAUAUGCAAUGGCAGCUGCAGUAGGCUCAUUGAUAAUACGCAUGACAUUGAGACCAGCAAUAACGCCAGCAUCCUUGGUAGCUUGACGCUGAGAAUCAUUGAAGUAAGCAGGGACGGUAACGACAGCAUUCUUCACUGUAGAACCCAGGUAAGCCUCAGCAAUUUCACGCAUCUUCAUGAGCACCAUGGAAGAGAUUUCCUCAGCAGCAAAUUGUUUCUCCUCGCCCUUGUAGUUAACUACAAUAGUUGGCUUAUCUGCAGGACCAGCAAUAACCUUAAAAGGCCACAAUUUGAUAUCACUCUGAACAGGGGCAUCGCUGAAUCUACGACCAAUCAACCUCUUUGCAUCUGUGAUACAACAAAAAAGCUUAAAAAUUAGACAUCAAGUACCUCACUAAAUGCAAAAAAUUCACAUACUUCAGGCAAACAGAAGCCUGAACUUAAACGUGUCUAAAUUAAUUCAUUAAAAUUUCCAAGUUAAACUAUCAUUUAAUCUGUAUAAUUGUCUCCGUUCUAAUUUUUAGUUCCUAUAGAUGACCUCCUUUUAUAUUUAGAUCUCCGUACUUAUUAUCUAGUUGUUCAGAUUUUAAGUAUUACUUUCUACACAAGAAAACUAAUCCGAUACAGAGCAAUUUUAUUCAACCAAGUGUUCUUCUUAGGUAAGAGCGACAAAAGACAAUUUUUACGACACAUGUACAGACAACAAACCUCGGAUAUCUCUCGUAUGGAAACUAAAAUUAGAAACAAAUAGAUAAAAAAAAAAGUGAAUAAAGUAACCAAAUUUCUACAGCGCCGUAGAUCUAAAAAAUAGGACUUCUCUUGUGCACAUCAUUAUCAGAUAUAAUAAAUAAAUAAAUAAAUAGAUAAAAGAGAAGCACAAGUCUAUUCAUUUGCACAGUAAAAAUGUAGAAUAAAAAAGGUGUGCUUGAGAGAUUUUACCGAAGACGGUGUUGAUGGGGUUCAUGGCGACUUGGUUCUUGGCGGCGUCACCGAUUAGACGCUCGGUGUCGGUGAAUCCAACGUAAGACGGCGUCGUUCUGUUGCCUUGGUCGUUGGCAAUGAUUUCAACGCGGUCAUGUUGCCAGACCCCGACACAAGAGUACGUGGUUCCAAGAUCGAUUCCGAUAGCAGGACCCUCACCUUUUCCGGCCAUUGUUUUUCAACGUGUAUCUGAGACAAACAAGAGAUCUAAAAGGAAGGAAGAAAAUGAAAAACCACAGCGACAACACCACUGUGAUUCAAGGGAGACAUAAGGAGAAGGUGAUAAUUAGCUUAUAUAGUUAGGGUUUGAAGUCCUUCCAGAAUCUUCUUUCAGUCCCAGAAGUCGUUGCCAGUUGGCUACACAUAAUUUUCACGUUUCCAGAUCUGAUUUUUUCUAAACAGUGGGCCCUUAACGGGCUCGACUCUCUUUCAGCCGACCCAAUAAGUCCACUAACAACUUUUGGACUUAUUCUUGUACCGCACAAUUUUCCAUUUAUUCUCGUUUUCUUCCAUGUUUAUUACAUAUUAAAUAAACAAAUAUGUCGGAUUUUGUAAUUUGGUGUACAGAUUGGGUCUAACCGGCUUGUAUAUUCUGGUGUUUGAAUUAAAAUUUGAUUUUGUACCUCAAUGGACAUUAACAUUGUGUUCACUUUCUCUAAUUUAAUGUGCAAUGAGAUUUGGUGAAACGGAUUAGCAAAUGCCUUUUACAUUUUUACCAAAGAUUUGAAAGCUAGUGAGAACACUAAUAUGUGAGAUUAUUGUUUUAGGUACGAGGUCGAUUCACUUUAUAUAUAUGUACAAUUUUUUCUAAAACGUCGUACGGUAACUACUCUUCUAGUCUUUAUUUUCACUCUACUAAUUGAAGGUGUACGUGUCAAAGUUUUUUUAAUACGAGAAUUAAAUGUUAUGGCAAUAGAUGCAUAGUGAAUACAAUCACCUACCUCUUAUCUUUAACUUAUAUUUAUAGUUUUCGACAUGGGUUUGAGAUUAGUGAAACUUAAAUGGCGGCCCAAUCUCAGUCUAAAUGGCAAAACUUGUUUUUUGACUAAGGUCGAAUGUCUCUACUCUUGGUCGUCCAUCUCUUUUGUUGGUUCUGUCAUGUUCAAUCACUGUCAAGCUGCUUUCUGUUUUUUAGACCAUACGAUAUGAGGUAACAGAAUGGUCGUUUAGACCAUACGAUACAAUUGCCAUAAAAGGUAAUCUUUCUUCGUAGAAUGGAAUUUGCGAGUGAUUCAUGAAUUUUUACAAAAAAUAUAUAUUGUUUAACAUUACUACUUUUACAUGCACAUACACAAUUUUUUCAAUAUUUUGGAAUGAUUGUUCAUGCUUCAUGUUGGAUUAAGAUGUACUUCGAAGCUCAUCACGUGAGAGAAGAGUUGUGCACCUCAAUGGUGGCAAAAGGCAUCAUGCUGAUAACGGAACUCGAGAUAGGUGAGAAAAGAUGUCAACGUCAUGCUCCUUUAUGUAAUGGUGAAAAUUGAAGCAUUGCGUACCAAAAUGAAGAGAAGAAAUGAUGGCUGUGGAACGAAGAAAAGAGGUGAUGCUUGCACAAAGAAGGAAAGAGGAGUAAGAAGGUGGAAGGAGUAGGCGGUGCACUUCGGCGCAAAUUUAGGCAUUUUAAAAAAUUGGUGGUGCAAAAGAAAACAAUGAGGUGUAAAAAGAAACAAGCUGCCAAAUUUUUUCUUUUUUGUUUACAUGACUGGCCGAUUUCCUGUUAUAAUACCAAAAUGUGAUUGCACCACAUCGCCUCGUUUUGGUUUAUAUUUUUACUAAUAUAAUACGAUAUCUUACCACAUUUUUUUCCUUGUGUUAUUCAAUCAUUAAUAUAAAUAUUUUUAUAGUAACUUGGUCGCUUUCUAUCAGGUUCAAGAAAUUCUAUUGAAGUCUCAAAGCAAAUGUUUAAUUGAAAAAUGUAUGAUAAAAUAAUCAUGUGAAAACAUUCUAUCAAGUUCACAAGGAUUUACUCAAUAAAAUAUCACAAUUUCAACCAAUAAAAUAAAUAUGAUUUUUUUUUUUCUCAACUGACAUUAGUUUUUUAUUUCCUAAAAUAGUAUGGUGUACACAAAAAUUACACAUAUAGCAUGGGUCAAAAUUUCGUCUUCAGAAACCAUAUGCUGACUUUAGUUUUUUCUUUCCUGCCCCAAAAUACAAGCAAGAAUUCGACCCGCCUGCGGGAUCAAAUUCUAAGCUAGUUUUUUUUUUAAUUUUUUUUGGAAAUAAGUAGAUUAAAAAAAUUAAAAUAAAAUUGAGAUGAAAAAAAUUACUAUAAUAAUAUUUUAAAAGUGUUGUAAUUUUUUGAAAAAAUAAAAAGGGGAAGUAUAUCUCUAUUUGGUUAAAAUAAUUUAUCAAAUAAUAAUUUUGGUAUAGAAAGUUGGAAAAUUAAAAAUAAAUAACAUUAUUGUAGUUUAAAUGAGGUAAAAAAUUUUAAAGUUAUGGGUGAUUUAAAUUAAAGUUAAUAAUUAUGAGAAAAAAGAAUAUUUAGUUAUAAGUUGUUUGUAGUUGUUAUAAUUUAUAAGUUACGUUAUGCUUUGUAGUAAUUGAUCAAAGGUGUAGUUGUGUUGGAUUGAAAUUAUUUUUGGGUUGUGAUAUUUAUAAAAAGAUCGAAAUUGAUUGGACUUUCCAUAGUAUUUAUCCUUUGGAUAAAUUAUUUAAAGUAUAUUAUUAUUUCUAUAAAAGAAUUGGAGUUUAGAUGUGUGAAAGAUGUUCCACUAGGUUUAAAAGACUAAACAUUUAUUUGAUUGUUUUUAUAAAUUUAGCUUACAAUUCAAUGAUUAUAUUAAUAAGAAAUUGAGAAUUGCAAUUUAUCAUUUGUGCAACAUCAAAAUGUAUUGAUAUUUGAACAACAUCAUGCUAUAUCGCAUGUAUUGUUAGGAAGUUUAAAAAUUGUGCAAACUUUAUUUUUGAAGAAUAUAAAGGUGCAGUUAGGAAGAAUAAAGUAGCGAGAUAUAAAUUAUAAUAAUUCUCCAUCUAAGCAAUGCUUAGGUGUUUCAUCUAAAAAUUAUUAGUUUGAGUGUUUGAGGGUUUAGAGAAAAAAGGUUUUGGCUAACUAUCUUUCCAAAUGAAUUAUGAUAGUUUAUGGUUGAAGUGUGGUCUAUAAUAGUAUUUGUAAAGUUAAAGGGAUGUUUUUUUGAGAUUUUUCGCUAAGAGUGAAGUGUAAAAGUUAUUAUAUAUAUGAUGCUGGCAUGUAUUUUAGCAUGACACAUUUACCCAAUUAAGUUGACAAGUUUUGUUUUGAUGGCGGAGUGCAUGUCCAAUAGUUGACACAUGACCCACUCUUCAUUUUUCACCUAGAACAAUGGGAAAGACUCUUAGAGGCUGCUUGGGGUGCUGGGAAGCCCUCCCUUCUCCUCCUUAAGCAUCAAUCUUCAUCAAUGGUGAUUUUUCCCUUUUUAGAUUGAGAAUGAAGAUGGAUCACGAAUCAGAGAUGGAAAAGCGAAAAGAAAACAUGAUUAAAGCAUGGAGUAGAUGCAAAGAACAUUGGGGAAGGGCAUGUAUCUCUCUUUGGUUUUAAUUUCUUCUUCAUCUCUUCAAUUUGUAAACCAUGGGUUAUCUACCAUGGAGUAUUAGAUGUAAUAAACUAAAUCUUGUGUAUUUUGUGAUGCUAAUAUAUAUGUUUUUUCUAUUUCAAAGUUAACAUUUGCAAUAAGAGGGAUCUAAGGGAGGUUAUCUAGGAAAUCUAUUUUAUUCAUUUUGCAUAUUAUAUUUUUUGUUUGGUUGGUGUGCCUUUGAUUAUGUUAUGAUUUUUUUUCAUUUUUGUUUGUUUUUGUUUUUCAAUUUUCUUCUGUGUUUUUAUGUUUAUGAUUUCAAUUCUCCAAUCUUUGUCUCUAUCAAAAUUAGGCUAACUUGUUUAUUGGAGUACCUUUUGUGUUCUUAUGAGUACAAAGUAUUAAUGAAAAUGAAAAGAAGAGAAGGGAAGCAGAGGGCAUUGGUUCAACAUGUGACCCGCCAAGAAAGAGUUUGUGUUUCUUUCUUUUUCUAAUUUUAGCUUAUUAUUUUCAUUGAUAGUAAAAGUGUGACUUGGCUUAUGUGACAUGUAUGGUACAAUUAGUUUGAUGACUUUGUGUUUGCUAAUGAGUUGAUUUUGGAUUACAUUAAGAGUAUGACAUGGUUUUGUGAAAACUCAUGUUCAUGGUUGUAUUUUUAUUUGUAUGCUAAGAAUGUUGUUAUUAUUUGUUUUGCGGUUAAUUAUUGUGGCAUGGUCUAUUAUAACCAUAGGAAACCAAAAAACAUAACUAGAUGAGAUUUUAUGCCUCAAAGUUAUAUUUAUUGAGUGCUAUUACUUUUGACUUACAAUUAACUUUGUGUGAGUUUCAUAGCUGUUUAUUUUUCAUUUGUAUGCUUACAUAUAAACAAUGCAUUUUUCUUUCCUUCCUUACAUCACUUUUUUGAACAAAAAGCCAACCUUGUUUUUCAAUACUUAAACAUUUGUGCAACCUUUUAAGCUAAAAAGAAAACAUCCUUCAUCUUUGAAUCCUUAAGCCUUAUUGAAAUCAUUUGACAAUCACAUCUUAAGUAAAAAGAACAAAUUUUUCAUGAUCGCGAGUGUGAUUCAAGUGUGAGAAAAGUUAACAUCAGAGAAAAAACAUGAGGAAAUAUUAAAAAUUGUUGAUUAAUUCGGUGUAUUUUUGUAAAUAUGUCAUGUAUAAAAAAAAAGAAAAAAAAUGAAUAAAGGUGUUGUUAUAGUUUUCAAAUAGAAAAAAGUAAAAUGUUUACAUUGUGAAAUUGUUUAUAUUGCUUUCUUUACUUGUUUAUGCUAUCUAGAUGUACCCUUUCCCAUUCUAGUCUUGCCCAAUACCUAAUAAAAUAUUUAUUGAUUACAUACUUGCAAAAACUCAGAACUCUUAAUAUGAAAAACAAAGUUAAGUUGUAUGUGAUUAGUGAUAGAUGAGAGAAUGAUACAUCCUUAUAUAAUAGUGUGUUUAGUAAAAGUGUUAUAUAGUAUCAACUUAAUGCAAAUAAAAAAAAUGCUGAAAUCUAUCUAGUAUUGUUUUUCCUCCACUUUUACUUGUAUAAUAAUGCUAUUAGUGUUGAUAAAAUUACUCGGUUGUUGAGUGGUCCUAGUGAAAUUUUAAACAUUCUUGACAAUAGCUACUUAGCUUCUAGUAUCUUUAUUUCAUAUAAUUUUUUAGAAAUUUUAUCUAGAAUUAUAUGUUUCUAAAGAUAGAAUAAUGAUAUUUCUUAACAACAGAUGCACAACUAUUUUUAUUGAACAGUUUUUCUUACAAUCAAUAGUACUAAAUUUUUUCAUUAUUAAGGAUGUCUAAAAUCAAACUGGUCCAAAAUGAAGAAAACGUAAUUAGGCCUAAAAGUUUAAAAUUGAUAGAAACAGUUUUUUCUUUGAAUUUUUAAUUAACGGUUACCUAACUACUAUCACGCAUAUAUAAUGUGUCUUAAAUAUUAUUAAAGGCUAAUUAGAUGUUAAUUUAGAAAUUAAUAAUGUAAGUAGCUAAAAUUAAUGUUAGAAAAUAAUUAAAACUUUCAUUAGGCCUAAAAGUUUAAAAUUGAUACAAACAGUUUUUUCUUUGAAUUUUUAAUUAACGGUUACCUAACUACUAUCACUCAUGUAUAAUGUAUCUUAAAUAUUAUUAAAGGCUAAUUAAAUGUCGAUUUAUAAAUUAAUAAUAUAAGUAGCUAAAAUUAAUGUUAGAAAAUAAUUAAAACUUUCAUUUAACAAAUAAUUUGUAAAUUUUUAUUAAUAAUAGAGACUAUUUUACAUACCAAAUUCUUUUAAAAAAUAAUGUCUAAAUAAACUAAUACGAUGAAUAAUUAUUUUUGCUUUUAAAUCAGUUGUUAUUUAAUGAUUUCUUUUAUAAUAUAAUGAAAAAUCAAACCAUAAUAAACUAUGAACACUUUAGUUUUAUGUUUUAUAAAUUCUUAAAAUAUUAAUAUUCAUAUAUUUUAGUUAUCUUAAAAGUUGUCAAAAUCCAACUCAAUAUACAUCCAGAAAUAAUUAAGUAUACUCAUCAAAGAGAAUUAUGAUCAUUUAAAUUUAUUUUAUCUGUUUAUAAUUUUUAAAAAACAAGUAAUCGUGUUUUCAAUCUUCUUUUUGAAUAAAUAUUAAUUAUAUUAGUAUUUAGAAAUUAAAUAAAAUUUGCGUAUAAAUUUAUAAACUACUUUGUCAAAUAUAAAAUUGUUUUCGAAAUUAUAUAUAUAUAUAUAUAUAUAUAUAUAUAUAUAUAUAUAUAUAUAUAUAUAUAUAUAUAUAUAUAUAUAUUGAUAUUCACACAAACUUUGGCUGCGGAAAAGUUCCUCGAAUUUGUUUUUACAUAAAUUCUCUUAGUAAGUUUCUUUCAAUUUUUUUAUUUAUUUGAAUUAGGAAUUUUACAAUUUAUAACAUUCAAAUAUAUUAAAUUUGAUCGGUUUUCGUUUUAAAUUGUUUGACAAUUUAUAUCACAUUCAAGUAUAUUAAUUUGAAUUGAAGUCAUUUCAAAUGCUUUCAUUUUUUCAAAUAUUUUAGGUGGAUAAGAUAAUUCAAAUUAGUGAAUUUUAAUUUUCUUGUUUCUAUAAAGUAUUUUAAUUACUAUUAAAUUCACAAAAUCAUUUAAAUGUCAAAUAAUUGUUAAAAACUAAAAUAUAUCAAUAUUAAUAAUUUUUUGUAGUUGAUUUUCGUUGAUUUUUGUUUUCAAAGUUCUUCAAGAUUUUUUCGUACUAUAUUUGUAAAAAAAAAAAAAUUCUAUAUUUAAGUUAAACGAAAUUAUUUUUAAGUUAUAAAAUUUUAGAUUGGAUUUGACCUAAGUAAAAUAUUAAUGGAUUGAGUUCAAGCAAGGUUAGGCCAAAUCAACCUAAGUCAGAGUUAAGCCAAGUCAACUCAAACUUAGAUCGAGAUGAAUCGUUUUAGGCUCAACUUUAAGAAAAAAAAAACUUGAGCCUUAGUCGAGCCAAGAUGGUUCGUGUUCAAAUAAAGCUAAUUUUGUCUAGGUCCAAGUCAAAAUAAGUUAGACCAAGUUUAGGUCAAGUCAAGUUGGUCUAAAUCUAGAUUGAGUCGACCGAAACUCAAGUUGUCCUGAGUUGGUCCUGGUCCAAGUUGGGUUGAGUUAGGGCAAGCUCAUGUCCAAUCGAAUUGAGACGGGUCCACGUUCAUUUGAUUUAAAGUUGAAUCACGUUAGUUGAGUGAGGCUAAGCCUAGGUAGGUCAUAGUCUAAUAAGGACCAAGUCAGACUAAGUCAGCCUAGACCCAGGUCAAGUUGAGUUAGCUUAGACCCAAGUUGAGUCAUGUCGCCCUAAACUCGAUAGAGUCAAGUUGAUUUGUACUGGUUGAGUUAGGUUAAUUUGGGCCCAAGUCAACCUGAGUUCAAGUCAAGUUGAGUUGGGACAAAAUCACAUUAAAGCGAGGGGUGUUACUCCUUCCACCACCCCAAGUGCUCCUCCACUUCCUCACUAUUUUCUUUUAUUCGAAAAAUACUAUACACCUCCCCACUAUUUUCUUUUAUUCCAAAAAUACCCUACACCUCCCUACUAUUUUCUUUUAUUCCAAAAAUACCCUACACCUCCCCAGUAUCCUCUACGAUCUUUCUCUUUCUCUCUGCAUUAAUGGAGCAUUCACAUGGCUCACAUUUGAAUUUGAAUUUGUGAUAUGUUGCAAAAUAUAAAAUUUAGAGGAAACUUCAAUGAUAUUAGUGCUUCUAUCACUUCCGUUUUAUAAAUUUAAAAGUUAGAUGCAAAUACAAAAUAAUAAACAAAUUAAUAUUAAUAGUAAAUAAUAAUAAUAAUAAUAUAUUAUUAUUAUUAUUAUUAUAUACUAACUUUACACUGACGAAAGAACUAAAUAUAUUCAAAAUCUUUAACAAUUUUAUAGUAUUUAUCUAAUAAAUUAAAUAUUUUAUUCAAAUUAUUUGAGCAGACAAGUUAAAACAUAAUAUAAUGUAAAAAAUUAUAAAUAUUAAAUGUAAAAAAAAUAACACACACAAAUAUAUAAUGUUAAAAAUUAUAAUACAAUAUAAAUAUUUAAAAAUUUGCUGUUAAUGCUAUCUCCUUAUGUUUACGUUUGUCAUAUUAAUGUCCCUUACUUUGUAGCGUAUUUUGAUGAAUUCUCAUAUAUAUUUUUUCGCAAGUUGAGAGGAUUGUCCCUAUUUAAAAUAAUCAUAUGAGUUAUCUUCAACUAUUAGUCAUGGUUAGCUAACAUCUUAUUUGAAUAAACAUUCAAUGUUCACAGUAAAUUAGUUGACUUGAAAAUUGUAAAAUAAGAUUAUUUGCAAAUAAAUGUUUCAUUUACAUGAUAUCAACAUGAAUACCGAUAUAUGGCCUAAAAUUAAGCAAUGACGAAAUAAAAAUAAGUGGAGUUAUCCUCCUUUUUAUGAUAGUUGAAUAAUUUUGUUUUUUUUUUUUUAAUUUAAAAAAUAUAUUUUAACUGAAGAAAUGAAAGUUACGAUAUUGAAUAAUGCUCAUAUUUUCUAUAAUGAUAAUGUAUAUUGCUCACACUAUAUUUUUCAUAUUAAGUACAGCGUUAUAAAAAUCAUUCUCAACUUUAUUUUUAUAAAAGAAAUAUUCAAAAUAUGUAGAAUAUACUCGUCCAUGAUACUCAGCACCAAGUUAUUCAUAAAUAUAUUAGUAUUGUUGUGAAUCUGGUUUAAAAAGUUUAAAACAUUAUUUUAUCCCUCACACGAUAUUAAAAACGUUAUAUUUUUAAUCCAAAAAUAGAAAAUUUUCAAUUUAGUUAUGUAAUUUUUUUGGAUAAUGACAUGUAGACAACAUUUUUUUGACAACAUUUAAACAUUGAUUAUGUGUCAAUCUGUGAUUGGUCAAAAAUUACUCCACAAUCAUUAAUAAUAAUCAUAAACAUUAGUGUGGAGUAAUUUUUGACCAAUAACAGAUUGACACAUAAUCAAUGUUCGAAUGUUAUCAAAAAAAUGUUGUCUAAAUAUCAUUAUCCAAUUUUUUUAUACACACUAUUUUCUUGUCUUUAUUAUUUUCUGAUAAAAUAAGGGAGUUUUCUAAUUUCUAUAAAUAAAGGACGUAAUUUUGGUUAAAACUAAGCCAUUAAUAUUAUUUCCUCCUCUAUUCCUAAGAUCCUAAGGAACAAGAUCAGGAUUAUAGCAAAGGCCACAUAUUAAAAAAUCCUAUUAAUAUCGUAUAUUCACUUAAUGCAUUUUAUAUCUGUAGAAGAAGGAGUAGAUCCCAAAAGUACCAAGUUGGAAAGACUUUUUUGAGGUGACCAUCAAUUAAUUUUGCCAUACAUACACCAUUAAAAGCAAAGUUAUAAUAAAUGCAUUUUAAACAUUUCUACAAAGAGGAAGAAAAAUAUGAAUAAAAUUUUAAAAAUCACCAAAACAUUUAAAUAUAUAUUUAAAGUUAACAAAACUUAUAUAUACUAAUAAUAUUAAUAAGUUCACGUAAUAAACUUUAAACAAGAAAUGAAGAAAUAAAUUUUUAAAGUUAAGAUUGCGUUGAUAGUUAUUCAUUUUAAUUUUGUUAUUUUUAAUACUUAUAUUAAUUUAAUAUUGAAAAUGGUAUCUUCAUUAUAUCUAGAAGAUCAAAUUUACACAAUUGGAUAGUUCAAGAAAAAAUUACACAGUACAUAUGAUACAUAGAAUGUAAUUAUACUAUGAAAACAUAUUUUAUAAAAUAUAUUAUACGAACAUCAUUAAUUAUAUUAAAUCUUUAAGAGCUUAACUUUGCUUCAGGUCUUACUAUCUUUGUUAGUUUAUGUAAAAUUAAUAGAUUUCGAUCCCGGUUCUAAGCAUCUUUAAAUUUUUUAUAAAAUUUAAAAUAAUUUUCUAAUUUCUAUAAAAUAGUGAUUUUAUUUUUAUUUUUAAAAUUUCGGUAUUCCUUUAAAAUUUUAAAUAAAUAAUUGUAAUUCAUAAUAUUGAUAUUAAGAUAGAUGAAUAAUACUUUCUCACAGAUAGUAUAAGAGUUAUUUUGAAUCGAUUAUAUUAGGCUUAAAUUUCUUUUUGGUUUCUAAGUUAUGAGCAGAUGUUCAGUUUAGUUUUCGCUUUUAAAAAUGUAAACGUUUGGUUCCUAAGUUAUAAAAAAUAUAUCAAAUGAGUCUUUUUUUUAUGUUCAUGGUCAAAGUACAAAGAGCAAUCUAAAGUGUUGUUAUUAGUAAGAAACAAAUCAAAACAAUCUAAAGAUGUAGCAGUUGUUAAAAAACAACCAAAAACAUUAUUUCAAGUAAACAAAGAACUCAUUUGAUACAUUUUUUAUAAUUUAGAGACCAAAGAUUUACAUUUUUAAAAACGGGGACUAAACUGAACAUCCGCAACAAAAAAAGGUUUAAACCAUUAUAUUAAUUACCAUGCUAGUAUGUAUCUCGUGGAAUGAUUGUUUAUUUUAUUUUUUAAAGAAAUAUAUAAUUAGUUAAUUUCUAUCUUAUAAUACUAAGAAUAACCUGAGUAUGUUUUUUAGCUUAUAUAAAAUUAAUAUAUUUUUAUUCUGGUUUCGUCUUCUUCUUCUUUUUUACAUUUUCAUAAAAUAUAAAUGUUUUUUAAUAUUUUAUACAGUAUAUGAUUUUUAGUUUAGUUUUUUUUUUUAAGUUUUUAUUCCUUUAAAACUUAAAUAUAUUUUUUUAAUUUUUAAUGUUGAUAUUAAGAUAGAUGAAUAAUAUAUUCUCAGGGAUAUCAUUUUUUUUAAUUAAUUAUAUUAUUUACUAUAUUAGUAUGUACCACUUGGAACGUAUUGUUUUUUUUAUUAUUUUAUUAAAAAAAUAAGUUGAUAAUUACUAGCAUAUAAUACUAAGAAUAAAAAAAAUAAAACAAAAAAUACAAUAAAUUUACUUACGUUAAAAUCAAAAUUCACUCGUUUUGCACAUACUUCAAAUAUAUUUAACUCAUUAAUAUUAUAACGAAAUUUUAGGUAGCUUACAUUUAAAAAAUAAAGUCAACUGCAUUUAAUGUUUUAAUUAAUAACUAAGAUUACUUUACGUUUAAAUCAAGUUGUAUAAUCUAAUUAUUUCAAGACAGGCAAAUGUACUUGUUAAAAUUUAUUGUUUUGAAAAUUAAUGUUAACUUCCAUAUUUUACAGAAAAAUGAAUCAAAGCGUUUGCAUCAAUUAUAAUAAAUAUGAACUAUAAAUAUAAACCUACUUUUAAGUGUACUUAUUUUGAUAAUUCUCUUAUAUAGUGUAUUUGGACAUGGAAUUUUAUUACGAUAGUUCAAUUUUUUUUAGAAAAUGUUGAAUGUUUUAUACUUCAUCAAAAGAAAUUGAAAUUUUAUAAUUUUAUUAAGGUGAUUGUAUUGUUUUAAAUUAUAAAAUUUCAAAUUUCAUUUACAAAAGUAAAAUUUGAAAACUCUUUAUAUUUUUAAUUAACAUUUUGCUUUUCGUAUUUUUUUCUCAAUUCAAUUUUGAUUUUCAAUGUUAUUAAUUUGACCAAUGAUGACUUUCUGGUUGAUGUGACCUCAUGCCUUUUUAUUGAUGUUAAUAGAAGUUAUUUUUGUGAUUUAAGUCGUUUGAAUAUUUUUUUAAUCGUUUUUAUUUCUUAUAUAUCUGAAUUUUUUUUUCAAUGUUCGUGGUGAUUUUUUUUAUGCCUAUAGUAUUUUUUUAGGGCUAAUUACGUUAUUUUUUUUUAAUUAUAAUGUGAUUUUGAUUUUUAUCACUUUCAAAUUUUGGUUUUGUUAAGUUUUUAUACUUAAAAAAAUCAUCGAUGCGUUUAUUUUCAUCCAACAAUGUUAAUUGAGUUUUUGGAUGACAAAGGACAAAUCAUGGUAAAUGUAGUUUAUAACUUUCCAUUCUCUCAACAUUUUAAAAGGUUAAUAUAAUUUGUCAUUUUUCAUAAAAAAAAAAAACAGUUAACAUAUAAGAGGAGAAAGACUAUACACAUGCAUUUUUUUUAAGUAUGAGGGCUUAAUAUAAACAAAGUUUGAGAUAGAAACGAAAAUAAAAAAUCGCAUAAUAUUUUAUGAACUAAGAACAUAGUUAACAUUUUCAUCAAAUGUUAUUUUUUUUUAAUAGUUGAGUAACAUAUUUUUCUAAUGCUAACUUGAAGACUUUUGCAAUAAUUAAUUAGAUUUUUUUUUGUCAAUGUCAAUUGGAUAAAUGUUUCAAUAGACAUGGAUAAUAAUUCUUAAAGAAAAUAGCUUUGACUAAAGUUAAUCUAAAUAAUUAUGUUUGGCACCAAUUGAAAACAAUAUCUGUUAAUGUCAAUCCAGAUUUUUAUUUUAAAUAGUAGUUAAAAAAUAUUGAUGAACUUUAUUUGAAAAAUAACAUCGACUAACACUAUAAGAAAAUAUCAUAUUAACAAAUCUUAGGAUUUUAAUUAUUGAUAAAAAUGUCUAUCAAUAUAAUAGAUUCGUUCAUAAAUUUGUCAAAUAAAAUGGACGUCAAAAUUUAUGUUUUAGUUUUAAUCACGUCGUUAUUCAUUAAUAUAUAUAUAUAUAUAUAUAUAUAUAUAUAUAUAUAUAUAUAUAUAUAUAUAUAUAUAUAUAUAUAUAUUAAUAAUGAUUUAUUUUUGAAAUUGAUACAAUUCUUGGUAAUUGAUUCUUUUAAAAUUGAUUUGUAAUUUUAAUAUAGAGAAAACAAAGGAGGAAAAUGAUAAAUAGGAAGAGGAAAAGGAAGAAAAAAAGAAUGAGAAAGAGAAGGAGAAAACGAAGGCAGAGAUACAACAAUGAUGAUGAUAAUGAACUCAUUGACAAUUGCGGAAGAGGAGAAAUAAUAAAAAAGAAGAAGAAGAAAUAAAAAAGAAAAAGGAAAAAAAAGAAGAAGAAGGAUGAGGAAAAAAAGAGAAUAAAUAAUGAUAUUUACUUUGAAAUUAUAUCAUAUCAAAUGCAAUGUAUUUGAAUGUCUUAAAAAUUUUGAAUUCUUCUUUUUCAAACACAAUGCUAGUGUUUGAAUAAAUAAUUUUAAAAGACUAUUACUUUUAUAUUUAAUUAAGUUUCAAGUCCCUCAUAAUCAUAAAUGUAUGUAUUUUUAAUUAAGUUUUAUUAAAAAAAAUUAUGUCUAAUGAGAACUAAAUCUUUUUAUACUUAUGAUUUAAGUUUAUGUGGUUUAACUUUUUUCUUAAUGACAACAUGAUUAUUAUUCUUUCUCGUCAUCUUACUUAUUGUUUUUAUAUUUUAAGAAUAUGUGAGAUUUUGUUAUUAAUAUAGAAAUAUUAAAAUAAUAAAAUUCAUUUAUCAUCUUACAUUGAUAACGAUAUUUUUUUAUUAACAGCAAAAUCUCACAUUUAUUAAUGUAGAGAUAAUAAAACAAAAUAAUGUGACAAAAGAACACUAACCUCACAUAAUUUAAAAUAAUAUUAAUUGACAAAGAUUCAAUUGAAAAAAAAAAUAACCAAACUUAUAGAUAUUGACACCUUAAUUAAGUUAAAAUCUCACGUUACAUCAAUUAUUUGUCAUCACAUUAAAAGUUUAUAAAAAAAUAUAAAAAUAGAAACAAAGAAUAAUAACAUGGAAUAACCACACCAAACCCAUAAUAAAAGUAAUACAAAAGAAAAAAAAAUACUAUUUAUGACGCAUAGCCAGAUGAUAUAUAUAUAUAAAAAAAAAUCACAUUAAUAAUCAUAGAGAUAUUGCGCUCUAUUCUCCACACCCAAAUUCGACAAUUUAUAUCUACAAUGAUUUUUUUCAAAAAAAAAAAAUAUGAAACUUGAAUUGAAAGAUUUUGCAAAUAUUUGCAAAAUAUACGUUGUCUUCCCGUAAGAGAAAAUACACUAUCCUCCAUAAAGAAAACUUCACAAACUAAAAACAAUUCACAUUUCAUACCAAACCUCCUAGAGUUAAAACUAAAAUCAGCUUUAUUUUUAUAAAAAAAUUAAAAUAUUUGGUGAAAAAAUGUUUGAGUAAAUAAUUUUAAAAAAUUAUAAAUUUAGAAAAGUCAUCUGAUUAUUUAAAAUUGGAUAAUUCCAAGAUUCAUUUAAAAUUAACAAUUUAAAUUUAAUAGUAUUUUUUAACUUUGUCUUAUUUUUUAUAUUUUCUUUUCGGGUUAAUUUUAAGUCUUGGUUCUAUUUCAGAUUGGUCAAUUUUUUUUAAUGGUGACUAGGUUAGUUACAAAGAUUUAAGAUUUUAUUUUUGAUCAAUGUGUUAUGAAAACGAAGGUGGUGAAAAAAAAUCUUUUAAAUGUUGAAUAAGGUUAACAUUUAGUAUGCAUGGAUUUACUAAAAAGUCAUGUUUUAGAAUUAUAGUGCUUUUAAAUAAUGAAAGUUAUUUUAAUAUUAAAAAUUUAACAUGUAUAAUUUUUAUUAAUGAGUUUUAUUAUCUAAAAAUAUUUUUUUUUUUAAUUUUCAUUUUCUAAGAACUUUCUAUCUUUUCUUUAAGUUUUUUAAUCUUUUGUUCAUCUGUCUGCAUAUCAAAUCCUUGAGGCAAGAUCUUCUGUUUUAUUUGAUUAGUUUCAACAAAGUUUAAGUUGAUUUAUUCUCUUUUCUUUAGUUUGUGUGUUUCUCCAUGCAUGUGAGCAACUCUCGCUUGCAUUUGAGCAAUUCAAUGCUAGAAUUCAUCUUUUCAGAUGAGAAUUUCCAUGCUACAAAUCCCGAUCAGGCGGACUCGAUGCUCAUCACAGUUGAGACAACUCGUUAUAGUGUGAGUAAGGUGUUGAUUGACCAAGGAAGCACCAUUAACAACCUUUAUUAAUAAACCUUUCAUAAGAUGGACCUGUUGAAAGAUCUGAUCGUUCCUUAUAACGAGCAGAUUGUCAUGUUUGUAGGGCAGCACAUAGAUACAACAAGGGGGUAUGUAGACCUGAGGAUGUGCCUAGGUACUGACCAAGAUGUGAAGAAGCUGAGAGUAAGAUACCUCUUGAUAAAAGUAGACACUUCAUACAACGUUUUGAUGGGUAGGCCAUGUUUGAAAUGCAUUUGGGGUGAUUGUUUCGACACCUUACUUAACAAUGAAAUUUCCCUUUGACAAGGGGGCCAUUUAUACCAUUCAGGUUGAUCAAAAGACCACCCAGGAAUGUUAUGUAGGAAGGUUAAAAGUUGAACCCUUCAUCCCUAAUUGAAGAGUCAAACGUUCAAAGGUUUCCAUGACCGACCUAGAUCCUCGAACUAAUAUCGAAGACUAAAUGGAGCCCUUAGGAGAAGUGAGACCGUUCAACCUGGGACAAAAGGAGGAAUAGGUGAUGUCUAUUUGCAAUAGCCUUAUGGGAACCAAGAAAAUUUCCAUGAGCACAAUACUCAAAUCUAAUGUUGAUCUGCUUAUGUGGACCGUUGCGGACAUGCACCGCAUACAUCCCAACAUAAUGUCUCACAAUCUGACUUUGUUUAAAGAAGCACGCCCGAUAGCACAAAAGAAGAGAAUAUUAGGCGAAGAAAAGGGAAAAACGGUGGAUAUCGAGGUCAAGAAGCUCCUAGAAGUGGCUUCAUUCGCGAAGUCAUAUAUACUACUUGGUUGGCUAAUGUAGCAAUGGUUAAGAAGGUGAACGAUCAGUGAAGGAUGUGCACAAAUUUCACUGACCUCAACAAGGCAUGCCUUAAAGAUGUCUACCCUCUCCCAAGUAUCGAUGGUUUAGUUGAUGGAGUGCUUGACUACCAGGUGCUUAGUUUCUUAGAUACUUAUUCUAGAUACAAUUAGAUUCUGAUAUUUCGUCCUGAUAGUGAGAAAACAUCCUUCAUAACUGAAUUGGUAAACUCCUACAAUGAUGUUAAAGUAGCAUUGCCAGCCCCUGCCACCAGGUCCACUCGAUCCUUAAACUUGUCCAAAGACAAAUCGGUACUAAAGGGAGGAACGUACAACCCUACUUCAUUAGGAGCCCAAUUAUAACCUGGCAUGGGUGGAGGUAGAGCCAUCGUACCAUCCCAUUCCCUAACCGUGUCUAUUUCUAUGAUAUCCUCCAACUCCUAUUCGGCCUGAUUUGCAUCCUCUGCAAUUGGAACAACUUUGUUAUUUAUAUGCAUGGACACUCCGUUGUCCACCAAAUCCUCUUCCCACACGGUCGACCGUAGAAUGAAAGACCCAACUAACGAUGACGACUCUACUGCAUCAUCAACCUAUCCCUAACCUCCCCUCCCUACUAACUCCUCAGACAACAAGAGUUCUUCGGACAAAUUAUUACCUUUGAAAUAAAAGAAAGAUUCCAACGCUCGGUUGUAGAAGAGAGAAAAAGUGUAGGCGUGAAAUGACAAUGACCCCACCUUUUGUUCAUAACUAAAAAAGUAGUUUUCAUAAGUCAAUCUCGGUCGUUGAUGUUAUCCUAAUCCAAAGAUCCAAAACACGCGACCUUUUGUUUCACCGGCUGCAUGAAUCCCGAAAAUCCACGUGUCCCACUCACAUUGGUUCCACUUCUUUGUAAUUGUGAUGGUAACUACCAUCAUCCACAACUCCCACGAAUGCUCGGCCCAAAGACAAUCUUCCCCACCACAACACGAACGAACUUUCCAUAUUCGUGAUAACCCCUGCACACCUCUCUAAGUGAAGAGGUUGCUUAGGCUUGGGGGGCCUGUGUAUUUUAUGACCGCCCGACUAGUCAGCGGACAGGACAAUCAACCAACAACCUAGUAACCAAUUGAUAGAGACAGUAAUUAAGGUAAUUAAUGGGUAAUUAAUAAAGCAGUAAAAACCAUUGAUUAGUGAUUAAUAAGAAUAAUAAAGGCCAUUAAUGGACAAUUGAUGGUUUGAUUUAAUUAGAAGUCCAUUAGAGGUUUAUAAAUAUAGGUUGAGAUUGAGGUAAAAAAUACAUUUUCAUAAUUCAAUCUCAUUAUAGAAUUAUUGAAAAGAACUACUUACUUGAAUGUCAAAGUGCUUUCUACAACCCAGACUAGGGAUGACAACGGGUUGGGUCGGACACUGACCUGUAACCUGAUUCACCGAAUAAAAAUGUACCUGCCACCCGACCUGUUACCCAUCAGAUACCCGAUUAGAAAAUACCCGCAAGUAUUUUAAAACUCGCGGAUACCCGUAAAAAGAUUAUUUUAUAGAUUUUUAAAAUAAAAUUUAAAUAAAAUUACAAAAUAUAUAUAUAUAUAUAUAUAUAUAUAUAUAUAUAUAUAUAUAUAAUAUAAAUUAAAAUUUAAUUUUAAUUAAAUUUAACCUAAUAAAAUAUAAUUUUAUUUUAUUUUUAAUCAAAUUUAAUUAAAAAAUAUAGAAAUUAAUUUCUUUUAUUAUUUUUUGCAGGUAACGGGUACUUGCGGAUCGAGUAAUAUACUACCAAUACUUAACCCGUUUAGAACCGGAUAUUAAAAUACUUGUUACUCGUUAUUCACAGGUACAAAUACCCAUGUCCGCGAAUUUUUUUUGUCAUCUCUACCGUAAAAAGACUACCGAGCGGCUUAAGAACAUUUAUAAACCAUUUUGGCAACCAGUGCUUAUAAGUACGAAACAAUUUAGCAACCUCGACAAAUCCUCGACCCAUAUUAAACCGAAACAAUUAUAUUUUUUUAUUUCUUUAAAUCAAAGAAGAGAUAAAAUCUCAAAAUUUUUUAAAUAUUCUUUAUUCACAAAUCCUUAAAUAAAAGAAACAUAUAAUUUCCAUUUAAUUUAUAGAAACAGUAAGUAAAUACCUGACAGGAACAUGCCUUAAUGCAAUGUUUGAUGAUGAAUAAGGCUAACAUUUAAAGCAAUAUGAAACUAUAUUUAGGGAUGCAUGUCCUCACAAAUCACCAUUCCCAGUCACCGGUCAACAAAACUUGAGAGUGUGUGGUGUUGGUUAGCCAUGUCAGAAACAUCUUCUUCUUCAAUCACUGACACAAGGUCAGAGGUGUGGAGAACACGUGUAGGGUCUGCACUAAGAACCACCUUGGCAUGCACCAUAGCAGGUUGCACCUACCUUUAUGGGCCUGCACCACUCCGACGCUACCUCACAUACCCAGCUUUCACAUACUCAACCGCGCUCCUCAUAGUGUCAGAUGCUGCACUCGGUGACACACUAAGAGGUUGCUGGCACGUGCUUUGCGCGAGCAUCCAGGUCAUGAUACUCUCCCUGCUCGCUCUUCAGUUGAUUGGGCCACAAAACUUCACGAAUCUAGUGGCUGCACUGGCCAUGGCAAUUUCUGGUUUUCUCGUUGCGUUGCCUGUUGAAUCCACCCACUUGGUCACGAAGCAGAUAGCGUUUGGACAGCUAGUAAACGUUUACGUUAGGACUGCCAUAGAUGGUGCUGAAGAUAGAGUGGCCAUGCACACAAUUCAUGUGGUCUGCUCCACAGCCCUUGGAGCUGUCGCUUCUGUUCUCGCCAUGUUGCUUCCUUGCCCUUCCCCUCGCUUCGCCUACUCUCAGGUAUUAAUAAUUUUAUCAUUCUGAAAUCCAAUGCUCUUAGCAAGGUGAUGCACACAGUCUUAUGAGAUCAACUCUUUCAAUCACAUUAACAGUUUUGAACGUAUCAUUUUCACCAUUAAAGUUCUCAUUCUAGGUGCAUUAGAAGCUUUAACCAAUCAGAUUGAUGAGAUUAAAAAUUUGGUUGUUUUCCACCCAAAUGUUAACAUUUCCACCAACUUUCUAUUUUCCCAGGUGUUUUCUACUUUUCCAAUGUUAUUAAUUAACGCCAAAUUUUAAACAACCAUCAUAUUUUAACAACUUUUUUUACAAUCAUAUUUUAACAACUUUCCACGUGUUAUUAUUUUAUUGAUCUGUUUGAAUUUAUUUUAAAAGAAUAUUUAAAACAGAUCAAUCAUAAACUGUCACGUAUACAUUGUAAAAAAAAUAAUUAUUAAAGAAAUUUUUUCCAAUUUUAAAUAUACAUUUUCUUUUUCUGAUUCCAAAAAGUUACAAGUACAGGUCCUAAUUGCUUAGUUUAAAGGAGUAAUGUGAUUCAUCAGGACAAGAUAACUGUAUAUAUAAUUCUUAACAUUAACUAUAUAUAAUUUUUAAUAUCUUUCAUAGUUUAACAUAGUAGGAAAGUAAAAAUCAGUUAACUAAUUAAUUGGAGGUUGAAAAUCUGGAAAGAAGGACUUAAUGUUCCCUAUCUACUAGGUGACCCUCUUUAAGCAUUUAUAGAUACUUUUAUUAGCAUAUAUAACACAAGUUAACAAAGUUAUACAUGAUAAUUGACAGGAUGAAAUAGGUUAAGUUAUCUCAUAUUCAUUUUUUUUUUAAAUUGUAUUUUUUUUAUAUACUCAUACUUAAUGGUAUAGCAUUGUUUCAUCAUCAUUCUAACCGACUAACAGAUAUAUUUUAUAUUUGUAUUUGUCUCUAUUUUCGUUUUCUUAAUAUUUUAAUAUAUUAAUUGAUUUUUAUAAAAAAAUAAAAAAUCAUAAAAAAAAUAUGAUACUGUCACGUAUUCAAUAUCAAAAAGAUUUAUUUUUAUUUCUUUAUAAAUAUUUCUUCAAUAUCAAAUAUUUAUAAAAAAAAUUAUAAUUGUAUUCAUUUUAAAUUAAAGUAUAGAAUAAAAUUUCAUAAAAAUCAAAACAUUUAUUAAUUUUACAAAUACGAAAUAAAGUUGAAAUUCUUUUAAAAAUUAUAAAAAUAAUAUCCAAGUUUAAAAAUAUUUUAAAUGUCUCUUCCUUCCUUUAUCUAAAUUCUAAUAUGAAAUAUUUUUUAUGCACUAAUAAAAAUUAUAAUACUUUAGUUGAAUGAAAUCGUAAAAGAAAUAGUGAUUAAACUAACAAUAAUUAAAAUUUAUCAUAUAGCUUCAUUUAUAUUGAAUGAUGAUAAAUCAGACAAUGACGUUAAAUUAUUAUAUUAUAGUAAAUAAAAUGUGUUUUUAUACAAUUUAUUGUGAUGAUAAAAUUAUAGUUAUGAUAAGGAAUUAGAAAAUAAAAAAAGUUAUAUUAAAAAUCAUCAAAUUAAUAUUUUAUAUUGAUAAAAUAAACAACAAAUAAAAAUAUUAAAAACAAGCAAAAUUGAUCAAAUGUGUGUUUUAGAAAAUAUUUGAUACAAAUUGUAAAGAAGAAAAUAAAAAUAUAGUUAAUGAUAUAAUAAUAUGAACAGUACCUUGAAUAUCUAAAAUAAACUAAAUAUGAACUAGUGAAAUUAUUGAGAGAUAAUGAAAUUCUUUUAAAAAAAUAAAAGUUUUUUAAAUGAAAUAAAAAUUAAAGAUUAAAGAGAAUAAAAUUACAAGUUUUUUUUUUUAUAUUGUCUACUAAAUGAAAGAUUUAUUCAAUUAAAUAUUUGUAAUUGAGAAACAAAUAUUUUUAUAUAAAAAAUAAAUAAUAUAAAAAAAUUAAAGAAAGUAAAAACAUUUAAAAGUGAGAUAUAAAAAAUAUUUGAAUAGCUGUAAUUGAUACUUUCAUAGAGAAAAAAAUAUCUCGGGAAUGAAUUUCAUGAAUAUAAAAUAAGUUGAAUAUAUAAAAAAAGAAAAAAAAUUAUAAAAUUAAAGAGUAAAAUAAUAUAUAUAUAUAUAUAUAUAUAUAUAUAUAUAAAAUUAAAAAAAUUAAAUAUUAUCUAUAAUUAUGUUAUACUCAUAAUUAGUUAAUAUGAAAUUUUAGAAAGACCAAUAACAAAUUUAGAACAAGUAUAUUAACUCCAACUCAGUUAAUAUGAAAUUUCAAAAGAAAAAACAUAAGCAAAGUGAAAACAAGUUGUAUAAUGUAUAAUUUGCAAUAUUACCAUAAUUUAAUCUUUGAAUAACUUCUUUUAAGAAUAUGAACAUAGAUAAUAGAUUCUCCUAGUUGAUUGAUCAGAAUGAGUAUUAGGAGUUGGAUUAGCACCCCAAAAGUCAGACCUCGUAAUAAAGUAAAGGAAUCCCUGGACCAAGCUAAUCUUUAAAAAUGAGAAUUCUCCAAAAAUCUGGCAUGGCAAGACUGAGAAAUUACCCGAAUUGAAAGUAAAAAGUGAAGUGAAAGAACAGUGGACCCAACACUUCCCCACACUCAUUAAUUUUAUUGACAAUACCACAUCAUAGGAGCAAUAGGCCGUGUGUGCAUGUUUCUUGUAUUUAUGAUUGGAGAAUGAUAUUUUAAUAACUUUUUAACAACAAAAUAUGUAUUAUUAUUUUAUGGAUCUAUUUGAAUUUAUUUUAAAAAAUUAUUUGAAAUAAAUCAAUCACAAAUGGAUAUAUAUAUAUACGUUGUUAAAAAAUUAUAAAAAAAUAUUAUUAAAGAGAUUUUUUCUUUUAUGAUUAUACAAUCCUAUUAUAAUACAUUCUUACAUUCAUUUAACACAUAAUAUAAAAAUAAAAUAAUAAAAAAAUAUAAAAUUUUAUAUUUUAAAAAUAAAAAAUAAAAAAAUAAUAUCAAAUAAAUAUAAAAAAGUUAAAUAUAUCAAAUAAUUAUUUUUCUUUAUAGAGUAAUACAUAAUCUUCUAUGAAUAAACCCUCCGUAUAUAACCAAGUUCAACCAAUAUAUACAACUAAACUAAACGAACAAGAAAUAAGUCAACUUUUGUUUUACAUAACCUCCUUUUUCCAUUUUCAUUUCUCUGUUAAAUAUAUAUUACACAUUUCUUUAGAACAAUCUUAAAUACCACGCGCAACUUUUAUGAUUGUUUUGUAAAUAAUCAUUAUUUUCUUUAUUUUUUUAACUUCUCAUUAACAUUGUUUUGCAACAAAUUUGAAAUAAUUUAUAAGGACAAAUUUUGGAAAGGCAGUAGGAUAAUGGAACAAAGUAUCUUGUUUUAUAACAUUCCUUUCAAGAAGAUGUUUUGUUUUGUUACAAAAAUACAAAAAAUAAACACUUGCAAUGGAUCUAUCUUAUUUUCAGAAAAGGAAGUUGUGUGAACUAUAUAUCCAUAAUUUAUGUGAGAGGUUAAAUUGCAACAUAAAGGUGAUCUCUGCCUCAAACAACUCAGUUGUUGUUGGUUACUUUACUUUAGCCAAGUCUCUCUCUGCUACUGGAGUCAAGCUUCGACAAAGUAUUAGGAGUAAACUUGUGAGUUAACCUAAAUCUAUGUAAAUCAUUUCGGACCAGACAACUAAUUAAUUUCCUAAGAGUUGAAUAUUUGGUCUUGAUGUUUUUAUGAAACAGGACACAAUGGAUUGGGAACAACCACAAAGAAGAAUUUUCAACUCCCAUAAGAUUGAUGUACAAGAUAAACUACAAUACUUGGAGUUACCGAUAAGAGCUAUGGGCAUUGCUCUGUCAACUUGUACCUUUCCUAAAAGGGUCAUCGAUGAGGAUCUCAAAGGUAUACUGCUGAAAUGUAGAGGAGAAUUCAACAAAAAAUUAAGCCAAGAAUCCAACUUGUUUGCUCAUUUUGAUGCAGCUGCAAUAUCAGAGAUGAAAAAAGACAUUUUUGCUAAAAAUUUGUUAAUGGCCUAUAAAGAUCUCCCAACCUCGUUCUUUUUAUAUUGCAUGCAUUUACUCCUACAGGACUCAUCAUCCAUUGUAAAUAAAAUGGAUCCCAUGCCGAUAAAAACUUCAAAAAAGGGUAAUUUUGAGUGGAGCAGCAACAAUAUUAAAGAGAUUGUGAUGAAUUUAUUUCCCUCAAAAACCAAUUUGGUUUUUCCACUUAAGGCCUCUCUUUCAUUAGGCUUUGCCAUGUUUCUUGGUUUGACAUAUAACAAGGAAAAUGGAUAUUGGUCAGGACUCACAGUUGCUCUCUGCUUCGUGACUGGACGACAUUCAACCUUCUCACUAGCAAAUGCACGUGGUCAAGGAACUGCAAUGGGAUCAAUCUACGGAGUUCUUUGUUGCUUCGUUUUUCAAAGAUGUAUGGGUAUAAGAUUCUUACCUCUUCUACCAUGGGUUUUUUUCUCUUCUUUUCUUAUGUACAGUAGAAUGUAUGGUAGAGCUGGUGGCAUUUCAGCAGUUGCAGGGGCUUUAUUAGUUAUUGGUAUAAACCACGAAGAAAAACCAAGUAAAUUUGCAUUUGUUAGAAUUGUUGAGGCCACAAUUGGACUCAUUUGCUUCGUUAUUGUAGAGAUACUUUUCAAUCCUUUUAGAGCUUCAACUCUAGCAAAAGGUAAACUUUCAGAAUGCUUGAGAUCUCUUCAACAUUGCAUUGACCAAACUAUCGUUAUUCCUAGUGAAAAAGAGAAGUCGUCUUCUUACUAUCAAGCAUCACAAGAUGAGCAUUUGAAGCUGAAAUCUGUAGUCGAUCAAUUAGAAGACGUCACGAUGGAAGCUGAAUUAGAGCCAAAUUUUUGGUUCAUUCCAUUUCAUAAUGGUUGCUACAGAAACAUGUUGGAAUCCCUGUCAACAAUGGUGGAUCUCUUACUUUUUGUGGCCUACUCAAUGGAAAAAGUUAGGCUAAUGUUGGAGAAAGAUGAAACAUUUUUUGUGGAUCUCUGCGAUCGAGUUAACGAGAAUGUGGGAAAUGUCAAGAACAAAGUAGGCCUCAUAUUGAACUGCCUUGAAAAGAUAACAAGGAUAGAGUCUUCUAAGGAACUUGAAAAUGAGUUAAAGAAUAUAAAUCUUCCUGUUGAUAUUGAUAUAGAGGAAUGCUCCAGGAAAGAUGCAUUUUGGAUAUGGAAUGGAGAUGAAGAGGUAAAAAAUAUUACUUAUUCUUUUCUCCAUGAUCUAGAGAAGAUGGCUAAUAAGGCUUGCAACAACACAGAUGAGGAGAUGCUUAAAGGUCAAAUGCUUUUUCAUUAUGGUUGUUUGGGAUUUUGUAGUAGUAGCUUGAUGAGAGAAACAAUAAAGAUUCACAAUCAAGUAAAAGAGCUACUUGUAUGGGAGAAUCCCUUAAGUCAAACAAACCUUAAUGGAGUAUUUCCAUAAAAACCAAGCUUAGUGGUUACAAAAAAUCUACCAGCAUGAUAGCAAAAAUAUAUAUGCUAUGUUGUUCUCUACUCUGCUAUAUUGCCAUGAUAGCAAAAAAUAAAUUAACACAUCAUCAACAAAAAUCUUCUAAUCUUAGAAUAAAUUUACUAUUUUCAUUAGUUUUUCAAUCAAAGUUACUUAACUACAAAACAGAGGUAUUGCAUAUUUGUGUAUAAACAAAAAGUAUAAGCACCGAUAUUAAAACUAAUGGGGGAAAAUGAAAUCGGGGGAUGAAUCUCUUUAAGGAAAAUAGGGAAUGAGAUUACCUUUGGUUGCAGUAAUAAUUAUUGGUGUCACAUUUAUGUUGAUCAUGAUCCUAGUUAGGAUUAUUUAUGAAACAUCUACAAACAAAUAUGAUUUUUUCUUUCCAUUCUCUAUCUUUUUUAUUUUUAUUUUUAUAUUCAUUUGGGCUAUGAUGGAAUUUUUAGGCAAGGAAUUAUUCAUGUCAUCCUUAUCCAUAAUGUUUCUUAAAUUUAACUCAUCUAGAUAAGUUUGCUAUCUUACCACUCAUAAUCAUAACUUUCACAAUCAAAAAGUGGAACAGGUCUCAUAAAAACAAUGACUAGACAUUGUAAGAAUAAUGGUUGGAUCCCAUGAAUAAGAACAAUUAUUCUUGAUACUAUUAUUUAAAUUUUAGGAGUUUUGAAAGAGAUACAAAAGAUAUAUUAUAUGAAGUAUCUUAUUAUUUUAUUUUAUUCAUGUACUGUAUAUACAGAGAGCAAGAUGUCACAAUUAAAUAUUUACAAUAUUUGAAUCUUAAUUUUCUAAAUCUAAUUAUAUAUUUUUAUCUUUGUAUGAAAUAUAUUUUUAAAGCAAAAAAGUUUCCAAAAUUUAAUUUGAUAAAAAAUAUCAAAUAAAUAUUAUUAAAAAAACAUUUUAACUAUAUAAUAUUAGUACUUUAAAAGAUCAAAUUAUAUAUAUAUAUAUAUAUAUAUAUAUAUAUAUAUAUAUAUAUAUAUAUAUAUAUAUAGAGUUUGUUAACACGCGUACGCCUAUUUUUCCGUUGAUACAUAUUAACAAUAUGUAUUGGAUUAUAGUAGACAAAAAUAUCCUCUUAUAUUAUGAAUUCUAAAUUUUAAAGUCAAUGAUAUUUAAAUAAUUUUCAUUCUCAAAACUAAAAAAAAAAAAAGAAACCCCCAAAUUCUUACCUACCUCUCUCAUUCCUCUCAAUCUUCUCUCUUUGAUCUCUUUUACUCCAACCUUUUCUCUAUCAUCUUAUGGUAGAUCCAACUGAAAAAAAUAUUAGAAAUACUGGUCGUUAAACAAUUUAUCUUUGUAAAGAGAUGAGUCAUUGACAUAUUAACCUUCAGGCAAAAAGGUUCAUUCAAGAUCUCUUCAAUUUCAUCAUCUUCACUAACCUCUCUAAUUUCAUCAUCUGCAGAUGUUGAAUCGUCAUCUCUUAAAAAACCUUCAUGCCAAUUACCAAUUCCUUCUGAUGUCAUUAUGCUGAUGAAAAUUAGAUAAAAUUAGAUAAGACAAAAAUUAUAAAAUGAAAACUCAUUAUAAAAUCAUUUUUUGUAAGAAAUUGUUUAAUAGUGAGUGUUUCUGAUUUUUCCCAAGUGAAUUACCAAUUCUUUCAUAUGUCAUUAUGCUUGUGAAAAUUAGAUAAAAUUAGAUAAGACAAAAAUUAUAAAAUGAAAACUCAUUAUAGAAUCAUUUUUUGUAAGAAAUUGCUUAACAACUAGUGUUUCUGAAUUUUUUUAAUUGGGGAAUACAAUAGAAAUGACAGAGGUUGGAGUGAGAGAGAUGGAAAAGAAAGGAUUCAGAGGAAUGAAAGAGGUGAGUAGGGGUUUGGGUUUUUUUUAGUUUUGAGAAUGAAAAUUAUUUAAAUAUCCUUGACUUUAAAACUUAGAAUCCAUAAUAUAUGAGAAUAUUUUUGUCUACUGUAAUCCGGUACACAUUGUUAAAAUGUACCAACUCAAAAACAGGCGUGCGUGUGUUAACAAACUCAUUCAUAUAUAUAUAUAUAUAUAUAUAUAUAUAUAUAUAUAUAUAUAUAUAUAUAUAUAUAUAACUGAAAAUAAUUAUAUUUCUCGAUUAAUUGAAAUCAAUGGUUGUUUAAAAUAAAAUCUUUUCAAUCUUUAAAUUUUUUUAUUAAAUAUAUUUUAAUAUCUAAAUUUUGACACAAAAUUGGAAUUCAUUCAUAUUUGAAACUUUUUAUACAUUUUUGUUUCUAAACUUUAAAAAUGAAUGAAUUUUGUUCUUUCAAGCUAUUUACUUAAAUUUUCUUGACGUGUUAGGUGUGUUUUUUAAUAGUAUUUGAAUUGUUUACACUGUUUCAUAGUUUUUGCUUCGACGAUAGUUGAAAAACAUGUUUGACACAAUUUUUUUUAGCAUAUUUGGUUUAAAGAAUUAUACUUACAAAGUCGAAGGUAUCCUGCAAUGAGUCUCAUUCGACUUCAUGAGCUCCUACUAUUGGUUACUUGUCCUCCAAACCUCCCUUAUCUUCUAUCGAACGAUGAUGUGCUUGCAAAAGAUUAUUUGAUGCUCAAGUUGAAGAUUUUAGUCAAAGUACAAUUAACGCAAAAGUGAAAUCAAAACUCAAUCAAAAAAUGUUUAUAAAUAUAUUUUACUAACCAUGGGUCCUCAUCUAGGUGGAUAUCGAUUAUGGGCCCAUAACCAUCUUACUUAUGACAAUUUGAAAUCAUUUUUGGCUAAGUUACCUAAUGCAUUGAUGUCUUUGACAUGUAGAGAUAGAUACCAACAAAAAAUACUUGACUCCUGUAAUAAAUGCUAUCUAGUCUUCGGUUUGGAGAACACAUCACUCCAUAUUCGAUCAUCAAUAUAUUGAAGUUACUCCUUCGGGAGUGCAACCCUUUGUAUCUAAUAGGUAAUGUUAUAAUAUAUUAUUAUUAUAUUACAAAAUAUGAAACUGAUGUAUUUCAACGUUUGGAAAAUUAACCUUGGCAAUAGUAGCAAAAUUUUUUUUAUUGAUUGCAAAGUUAAUAUUUUAAGUAGCAACGUUCAAAAUUUAAUUGCUGCAACAUUAAGACUUUUAUGUUUUUUAAUUUUAUUUAUUUUAUUGAUUCUCCCUUAGUUCUAUAAACAGAGACCACUUCUCCCAUUCCAAAAUACACCAAAUUCAUUCUUUCUCAUUCUCCUCUUUUUUGAGUUUCUUUAUUUAGUUCUUUUCCUCUUCUAAAAUUAUUUUGGGUUAUUCUUAUACUCUGUUUAGAGUUCCUUGCUAGUUCUAAGUUCUUAAGGACAAUGAUUCUACAUGUCUUAGGAAAUAUUAUUUUGUUAGCCUUUUACAAAAGGUAAUUCAUCAUUUACAAAGUAUUUGAUAUUCAACAUGUGAACUCUACUAACUACAUGUACUUGGUAUCAAGUACUCAAUAUAGGAUAUCUUAUUUAUGUUUGGUUAGUCAAUCAUCUUAAGAUUGUUGUUGAUAUAGUUAAAAAGUUUUUGACCACAUUCAAAAUAAUAAUUAUAUUCAUUUAUUUUUAAAAUUUGAGAACUAAAAUGUAUCAAAAUUUUAACUAAAAAACAAAUUUUAAUUUAAAAUUAAAAUUUAAUGUCUAAAAACUUAUUUCAUUUUUUUCUUCAAUAUUGAUGGAUGUUCUAAAGACAUUUCAUGCAUAUGAUGAGUUUAUAGAGGUAUAAUAAAUGUUCAUUUACUUUUAUUUUACAUUAAUUUGUGUUACGAUUUAUUGAUAAUUAAAAGUACAAAUUACUUACAUAGCUACAACAAUUAUCUUCAAGAAGAAUUACCUACGAAAUAACAACUAUUUUUUUAGACAAGUGUGUAUAUGAAGUUGACUUGUAAAAUAAGAUUUUCUGUUAUGGCUUUUCAAGAGUUUAAAUUAAUUCUGGAUUAAAUUUACAUAUUACAGUAAUUGUUUUCUAAAUAUUCAUAACGGUGAUUUUGCCUUGUCGUGAGUGGAUGAUGAGGUAUUUGUGGUUCAGUGAGUUUCCAGUUAUAAAUUAGUAUAGUAUGUUAAUUUUUAUAAUAUACUAGAGUUUACAUUCUCAAUAUUCAAACCUAGAGCGAGUCAUUAAUAGUUAAAUAGUUAGUGAGUCGAAUCCACCGUCGAUCUUACACGAUAAACGGUUCGUGACGAACCAAUGGCAAUGACACGGAUCACUGUUCUCAACCGUGGAUUAGAUGACAAUCAACGGCCAACGUGGAUUUUCCCUUCGGCCAGACGAAAAACACAAAUCCUAUUCAUGGCAAGUUGGCUCUAUAUAACCCUCGCCUGGCGGCUCCGCAUUUCAAUUCGAAACAGUUAGAAUCAGAAAAGAAGAAGAAAAAGAGAAGUGUGAAAAUGUCUGGUCGUGGAAAAGGAGGAAAAGGAUUGGGAAAGGGAGGAGCCAAGAGGCACAGGAAGGUUCUUCGUGAUAACAUUCAGGGAAUUACUAAACCUGCUAUUCGCCGUUUGGCUCGCAGAGGUGGUGUGAAGAGAAUCAGUGGUCUCAUCUACGAGGAAACCCGUGGUGUCCUUAAGAUCUUUCUUGAGAAUGUUAUUCGUGAUGCUGUUACCUACACUGAGCAUGCCAGGAGGAAGACUGUUACUGCCAUGGACGUUGUUUAUGCACUUAAGAGACAAGGCAGAACUCUCUAUGGUUUUGGUGGUUAAUUUUCCUCUUCCAAAUUAGGGUUUCAAUUAGGAUUAAUGUAAAUUGUUGGUUUCUUAUGUAUUAUUGAUUAUGUGAUAUGCUUUUAGUUGUAUUUUAUGCUUUAAUUGAAAUGAAAUUGUUCUUGUAGUUGAUUAUGAUUUCUUGAGUAUUUAGGGAAAUGAUAAAUCUAUUGGAUAAAUCUUGUUACUAAUUUAUUGAUUAUUUAGUAAAUGUUGUCUUCGUUUAAUUUUGUAUAUACAAUACAAAUUGCUGGCUUACCUAUGGGCUUUUGGGUCUAAUGUUCGGGUAUGUGGUCCAUAUUUUUGGGUUUUUACUGAUUUAGUGUAGACCUUAAAUUUAGCUGACAUUACAAGACUGAGUACACAAAGUUUACACUCUAGGUGGAUUCAUUUUUGCCCAAGAAUUGAGUAUGAUUUGGAGUAUCUUGGAUACGUGUAUUGAAAAAGAAUCAAAAUGACGUGGACUUUCUUUAUCCAGUAUGCACUUAAUGAUAUGAAUUAUAACGUUGUUAUUAUUUAUUUAGUAGCAAAAAAAUACGUUUUAAAAGAGUGUUUAUGUACUCUUGUAUGUUGUUCCUCGUCAAACUAAUUUAUUGAAUUUUAAAUAUUUAAAAAGCUCUAGUUGAAAAUAAUUAAAAAUGCUUUGUAAUUUGAAACUUUUGUUAUUUGGUAGCCUAAAAACAAAAAACGUCAAAGGGCAGAAGCUGUUGUCAAGUGAAAUAAAAAUUAAACUAAUUUAUAAUAUGUAAAAUCUUUUUGGAUCGCUAUUACAGAUGGGGUGUAGUUCAUAGAUUUGAACUUCGGGCGCAUUCCACGUUUUUCUUUAUGCACUCCAAGCUUUUCCUUUUUUCUAUUUUAUCCUGUUUUACCCUUAGUCAUAACAAACCGGAUAACAUAACAAACUGUAUAACAUCAUAAGGGCUGGACAAAAAUAACUGAUACUAUAUUGUACUAAAAAUAACUUAUCCAUUUCUAGUAACAGUUGAGUAUACUAUCUUAUGGUUCAGUUUUUAAAAACUGAACUUAUUAGUAACAGUUGAGUAUACUAUCUUAUGGUUCAGUUUUUAAAAACUGAACUUAUAACAGUUACAGUUCAGUUAACUGUGAGAACUGUAUCUACUCUUAUAUUUUCUCUAAAGUUCAAUUGUUUCAUCUUGUCAAGAAAACUUUAUUUAAUAAUAAAAUAUUAAUAAAAAUAACUGUUCACAUAAAAAUUAAUAAUUAUUUUUUUAAGACAACUUUUUUAUCACAAAAUUUAUAUUUUUAUCAAUAAAAAUAAAAAAUGUAAUUUAUAUUUUUAUAUUUUUUAAGUUAUAAAAAUAAAUAAAUAAAUAUAUAUAUAUAUAUAUAUAUAUAUAUUUAUAUUUUUUUAUUAAUAAAAUAAAUAAAUAAAUAAAUAAUAAAAUAAUUUUUAAUAAUAAAAAAUAUAAAUAAAAUUGAAAAUAAUNNNNNNNNNNNNNNNNNNNNNNNNNNNNNNNNNNNNNNNNNNNNNNNNNNNNNNNNNNNNNNNNNNNNNNNNNNNNNNNNNNNNNNNNNNNNNNNNNNNNUAUUGUUAUACUAUUUAGUUUAAAAAUUAGUACAAUUCAGAUUAAAUUAGUAUAGUUACUAGUUCAGUUAAGUUUAUAUUGUAGUUUAGUUAAAAUUAGUGUAGUUUACAAUUUAGUUAAUAGUUCAGUUAGUGUAAUUUACAAUUCAGUUAAUAGUUUAGUUCAGUUAGUGCAGUUUACAGUUCAGUUAAUAGUUCUAGUGUAGUUUACAAUUCAGUUAAUAGUUCAGUUCAGUUCAUACUGUAAUUUAGUACAAUUCAGUAUAGUUCAGUUUGAUAAAACAAAAAACAGUUCAGUUCAGUUUGUCUGAACUGUUUUACAGUUCAGUUUGUAGCAGUGCAAUACAGUUCAAUUCAAUUUGCCUACACCUAAACAUCAUAUGGAAAAACUAACUAAAUCAAAAGAUCUGAAAGAGAAAAUAAGAAAUUUGGUUUCUUCUUUUGAAGGGUAUAUUUGUCAGAUUUUAAAAUCUGUUGUAGAAUUCUGAAUUCACGAAGGCGUACCAAACUCUGAAUCCAUGAAAGCUUACCAAAUUUAUGAAUUUCUUAUCAGAUUUUGAUAUGUGAUUUAUGAUAAAUGUUAUCAAAUUUUGAAAUUGGUUAGAUUUGAAAGAAAUGUGAUGGGAUUUACCGAAUUUCCAAAUCUUUUGGAAAUAGAUAUAUUGGAUUUAUGAAUUAUUCAUUGGAUUAUAAAAUCGGAUUGUGCUAAAUGUUAUCAAAUUUUAAAAUUAUAUAUAUAUAUAUAUAUAUAUAUAUAUAUAAUUGGAUUUCAAAAUUAGGCAUUAUAAAAAAUACAAACUAGAUUCUAUGUUCCAACUCAGCAACCUUUCAAAUUAUUAAACCCAGUUAACAAUGUCCAGAUUCGAAAAAUAAAAACCAAUUUUAAAAUCUGGUUAAUAUAAAUGAUCACUACAUUACGUAGUCCGAUUCUUGAUGAACAAAUUACUUAUUGGACAAAGCUAAUAACUUCCUCUGACAGAUAUAUCUUGAGCCAUUAUAAUGUAAGUCGACGUCUGGUCAAAGCUAAUAACUUUCUGACACUUUUUGAUAGAUAUAUCAGCUUCACAGGAACACUGCCUUGGGGAUGAGGCUUCCUGUUUAUGAUGGAGGAAGAAAUCACUACACUAUUGGCUUGCUUCCUUUUGCAUCCAAAGGGUUCCAUAAUGUUGAGAGAGGAUGAUAAGGACACUGGUCGUAUUGUUCAAGUAUCUGUGUUAUGUUACCUUCAUAAUGUUUUGGAGUAUAAAAGUGGCCUUGAGUUAUUGAAGUAACAAAAAGGGUUUUGAUCACUCUUUCCGGGGAAAUAGAAUUCAAAGUGGGGGUAAAGUUUGCAACUCGUGUUAGCAUGCAUCAAUUAUGUGUGAUAAAGCUUCAACACCAAAUUCAUGUUAAGCUUUAAUACUAAUCACUCUCGUAUAAAGUUUUUUUACCGUCCAUUUUGAACUCACUUAUUACAAAAAUAGUCAUUAAUAAUGAUAAUGACGAGUGAUCGAUCAUUCUGACCAAACAAAAUGACUAAACAGUUACAAAAUAGUCAGACUAAAUAGUAUGAUUGAGUGGUUACAACAUGGAUAGAUUAAACAACAUGACCGACUAGUAAUAGAAUGAUCAGAUUAACAAUGGAAUUUUGGAUGAUGCCAAAUCUACAACACAACCUGUUCAGUCUACGACAACUAUAAGCUUUUUCCAAAGAACCCUCAAAACAUUUUGACGCUUACCGUGGAUUCAAACAAGUGUCUCUCAUUACCCUAUUGCAGCCAAAAGGGAUGAGCGAUAUAAUGGAAGAUGUCAACCACCCAGCUUGUUGGCCUUGAUCAGUUUGACCGCACAACCUGCUUCGACACAACCAGCUUAGCUUUGCUGAACUCUAUCCUGUUCGCCUCGAUCAGUUUUGAUUGCACCACUUACUUCGACAUUAACAUCUUGGCUUUGUUCAACUCCAUCCCACUGUGCUCGAUUAAUUUUGAUCGCAUGACCUGCUUUAGCACCAACAUCUUAGCUUUGUUCCACCUAGCCAGUUCGCUUCGAUCAAUUUCGACCGCACAACUUGUUUUAACGCCUAGAUUUUUAACUUUGUUAAAUCUCAAUCUAUUAGCCUAGAUCAAUUUCAACUAUGCAACUUGUUGCAACACUAGCAUCUUAGCUUUGUUAAUCCCCAACUCGCUGGCGUCGACUAGUUUCGACUAUGCGGCCACCUUGACCUCAACCUCUUGGCUUUGUUCAAGCCUCAAUAGCACGACCGCGUCUAGCCUCAACCACACAACUUUAUUGAAUCCUUAACUGAACUACCACUUAUAGCCUCAAACUUGUGGCUUUUGUUUAGCUUUAACUACACGACCACCUCUAGCCUUAAGCACUUGGCUUCUUAAUCCUCAAUUGAGCAUCUUGGCUUUGUUCAACCUCAAUAGAGCUCGUGGCUCUUGUUGAUCCUCAAUUGCAAGGCCACCUCUAGCCUCGAGCUCUUGGCUCUUGUUCAACCUUAACCGCAUGACCACCUUCGUCUUCAACAUGAAUUAACAUUGGACCUCUUUUACAAGGUCUUGGUUAAUUAGUAGGAGCCUAAUUCGGCUUCUUCUUCUCAACCUCAUACAACUUCAUGAAUGAUUGUUCAACCUUUUUUGCAUGGUCUCGAUCAAUCUCUAUCAACCUCAUUUGACUUCAAUAUCAACCUCUUUUAGCUUCAACAGGUUGGCCGACUAGUCUCUCUCGUAUAGACUCAGUCAGCCUCAACAUCUUGGCCUCUUUCGGCUUCACAUUAUCAACCUCUUUCACUUUCAACAGGUUAGAUGUCGAUUUAUCUCGCAUGGUCUCAAUCAACCUCUUAGCAUGUCAUCCUCUUUUGACUUAUUUUCAGCCUCACAUGGCUUCAAAAUGAAUUAUUGUUCAACCUCUGAUAAAUGCUUAAUUUAAGUAAAUUUUAAGAUAAUUUAUCAUUUCUCUUUAUUUUUUGUUUUGUUUAGACUGUGCUUAAUUUACCUCACAUUUAAUUUAUUUUGCAAUUUUUGAUAUUAACACAUAGUCAAAGUAGAAAAAUAAAAAAAAUAAAUUAAAUUCAAACAAUUAUAAACAAAAUUGAUACUGAUGUAGCUUAGUAGUAGAGACCUUGAGCCACGUAUGGAGAAUAAAUAUUUAGUAAAUAUAGUUUUUUUUUAUAGAUAAACAUUAUUCUAUCCAUUAUAAUCGUUAAUCACAUAUAUAAUUACCAUGAAGUAUAAAAGAAAAGUAUAUUUUUCAUGAAAAAAAUACCACAAAUUAGUAAUAUUAAAAUGUAUGAUCAGUAGUAAGAAAUUUCCACCCGGUAUACUAUUUCCGAGUUGUUUUAAAACUGUAUCAACGUUUUGUUUUUUCUUUAUUAUGUAUAGAUUUUUCUGUAUGAUGAUUAAAAUUUUUAUACAAAACGAUAAUAAAAUACCCUCAUUAUAGCAAUUUUAUUGGUUAAAAAAAUAAAUAUACAUGAAAAAUUCCUAUUGAUACCUCUAAGAGAAUUAUUGAAUAAAUUAAUGGAUGAUUAUAAAAUGAGCUUUUGUAAAGAUUUUCAAUACUUUACUUUAAUAGAUUUUAUUUUCUGUGAAUUUUAUAUAUUUUAUGUCUAUGUUGUUUUGAAUAGAUUGAGAAUAGUAAGUGUUAGAGUAAAGAAUGUUGAAUACUUUAUUUUCUGCUAAUCAUAUAUAUAUAUUAUUUUUUUUUUAUUUUAAAAUUUUGAAUUUGAUAUUAUUUUGGAUGAUAUAUAUAGUCAUAUAAAUCAUGUUCAAGAAUAUUAUAACUCUCAUGAAAAGUAGAUCUCAUUUUCUAAGGAUUAAUUGUGUUGAACAUGCAAAUCACAGGUUUGCUUCCUUCCGUGGAAUUAGGUAAAGGAUUUAUGAAAUGGAAAAAGAGUGGAAACACACGAAGAUAGAGAAUGAAAACACACGAAACUCAUGGUUGUUUAGUUCUAUAUAUUCACAGUUAUUGUGAUUCAACACAUCAAAUCAUCACAUUUGCAUGAAACAUAUUCAUAACUAUAUCAUUUAGUUUAAACUAUCAACAUCAAAACAUAAUUAUCCAUUUUUUAAUUCUCACUUUUUUUUAAGUAAUAUUCACUUAAAAAAAUAUGUUAAAAUACUUAUUUAUACAAAAUAAUAUGUAACUUUUGUAAUCUACUAUGAUAAUUUAAUACGUAAUAUUCAAAACACCAUGAAUGAAAUAUGACACGUUGAAUAAAGUAGAAUAAUUAAAUAAGAAAAAUAUAUAAAAGAGUUUUUACAAUUAUUUAAAACAUAACUAUAAGUCAAAUUUUACAUUGAUAUCUCAUCUCGUUAUGUUCACACCAAUUAAGUAGUCAUUUUAAAACAUACAACGAGCACUAAAAACAACAAUACAAUAAGAAUAAACUAACAUUAUAAAAGAAUAAGAGCAUUUCAAUUAUAAAAUUUCAUAUAACAUGAUUCAUUUCCAAGUCGAAUCAAACCUAAGUAUAUUAAUAAGUUCUAGAUUUGAACAAUUCGAAUAUAUUUAUUCAUGUCAGACUAUAGCAAGUUGUACACUUGUAAUGGGGAAACAAUUGCCCCCCAAACUACCACACAAGAUUAAUCCGUUAACAACUUAUGGACAAAGUACACCAGUCCAUAGAAUAGUAACUCCUGCUACUCUUCACCACAUAAUCUCCUUCUCUACCCGAGAUGGAGUGAUUAUUAUAAAGCGUUAAGAUAACUUACAAAGCUGAGUCCUUACAUCAAUACAUUACUCUAUUUGGAACAACCAAUAAGAGUUUUACAUUGGAAACUCUUUUCAAACCAUACUUCAAUACAUAUAUAACCUCAUGAAUACACCAUCAUAGUAUUCAAUAUAUAUUACUAAACAAACUUUAAAGUAUGUACAUGUCUACCAUUUAUAAGAAAUCAAAGAAAAGAAACUGAAAACCCAAACUAUUAACAAGGUGCCCAACUCUAGUUACCUGGCGCUCAACGCCAGACCUGCAAUGAGCAAGUGGUGCUCAAUGCCCAAAUACACUGCUAACGCCCCAUAAGUUAGAGAACUCACUAACUUCGUGACACUAAGCACCCAAAGUAGCGCUCAGCGUCCUAGCGCCUAGGGGCGCUCACAUUUGACAGCGCUGAGUGUCACAUAGGACCGCUCAACGUCAUACCGGAUGACAAAAAACUCAAAACUAGCUUUGAUUACCCCUAACACCCAUCCAAAUGAUCAAAGUGACAUCCUAAACACUGGAAUCAAUCUAAAAAAUAGGUUUAUAACUUACAUUAGAUACAAAUUUGGUGAUUUGGUCAAGAAUCAAGAUUCAAUCAUUUAUCAGAAUUCUAAUGCUUUAAACCAGAUUUUUAAAGUACUAACUAGUCAACUGUGUCCUACAUUAGCAUUCAUAAUCAUUAUUUUAGUUUUAUGUUAUUGUCAUUGUGUGCUUGCUGUCAUUUAAAUUAUGAUUAAUCACUUGAUCAUUUUACUUCAUCUGCUUGGAAAUAACACCUUUACCUUAGUUUAGGUUAUUUCAAGUGCAUUAGCAUCCUAGGAACUCAAGUUUCAUGUAGAAAAUUGCAUUAAAAAUAUAUAUGUCAUGAAUUCUAGCACAUAGGGUUCUAAAUUUUGUAAUCAUUUUCUAGUUUCAUGCAUGUUCUUCAAUCCACUUUUGUAUUUUCAGAAUAUAUUGUUAUAGGCAUACAAACAUGUUUUCUUCUCCAUUUUCUUGCAUUUCUCACAUCAUAUAUUUAAGACCAUUUAAAUAGAUUUAUGCAUUUUUAUAGCAUAUAUAUAUAUAUAUAUAUAUAUAUAUAUAUAUAUAUAUAUAUAUAUAUAUAUAUAUAUAUAUAUAUAUAUAUAUAUUUAUGCAUUUAAAUAGAUGUCCUCCUCGUGCAAAAAGUGAGUAUAAACUACCCACUUAUUUGCGCAUUGCGCCCAAGUCUGUUAUUACACAUUGAGUGCUAACAAUAAUUCUCUCUUGGCCAUGUACAUCCAUAUACUCGUGAUCAUCAAUGGCUCAACACCAUUUUUGUAUCCAAUAAUUCUAAUAAGUGUUAAAAAAAGUUUGUUUAAUUAAAAAACAAGGUCAGUUUCAAAGUUGACACCCCUGUGCAGAAAGUUUGCCUAAACUACCCACUUAUUUGCGCUUUGCUCCCAAGUCUGUUACUACAGAUUCAGUUUUACAAAAUCUUAAAUAACCAUGCAUAAUGUCCAUACAAAAUUCAUUUGAACAACCAAUCUCUUUCAUCAACAAUAACACAUAAAGUUCACAAAAUAAAGGCAGGGCAAGACGAUGGAGGGAGACAACAAGGUACGCCAGCGGAUGGAGACGGCAGGGUGCGACAGGGGCUGACCACUUUCCACCAUUGAUCGGCAGCAGAGUCUCUGGGUAGUCCUCCGAUGGCCGUUGAACGACACGUCAAGGUAGAAACAGGGAUGGAGCUUUUGUUGCGGGAGGGAGAGUUUCUCUCUCUAGGUUUUUGGUUCCAAUUUUUCUAAUGCAAAUUUGAAAUCUGAAUUUCAAAACCCCUCUUUAAAACCUCGCAGAAUAUAAGCCUCGUCAUUCUUUCAUUUCAUUUUUUUAAAACACAUGGACUACCUAGAAUUUGACACGUGGCGGUAUAAAAUAUUUGUCAAAUUCUGGAUGUCAAAGUAUCAUUAUCCUAAAGAAAUAGUGUAAUAGAAAUGAUAAAUAUUAUAUUUUAAAGAGUAAAAUAAUAAGUUAUAAAUUAUGCAAUGGUAAAUAGUAAAAAAAAAGUAUUAAUUAAAAAUAAUAUUAUUUGUGUAAAAAAAAAAAAUUAUAAGAUAAGUCUACUUGUUUUAUUUUCCUGCUACUUGAGAAAAAAGUCAAUCUUUCUAAAGAAGUUAAUCAAACACGAAAAAAUGAUAAGCAAAUGUUUAUUAGAAGAUAAUUUGACUAAGCUAUACUUCUUACUAUUUUAUCACAUCAACCAACCAUUUCAUAGCAACCAACCACAUAUUAUGUCUUAAUUUAUACCAACAUCAUAUGCAUUCUCACACCCGCAACCAAUGUCAUCGCUAUAAUUUAAUCCACUUUUUUAUCAAAACCCCUACUUUCAGCUCUGCACGUUACUGUCUUACUUUAAAAUAAUCACUCCCCUCCAUAAAUUAAAACUCCAAUUCAUACUAAAAAUAUAAUAUAUUUUAAGAUAUUUACUUUAAUUAUCUACUCAAGUGAAAAAUUAAAUAUUUUUUACUAUAAGAUUUUAAGCCAAGUAGUGUAAAUUUCAAUUGACUCUCACCAUUUAAUAUCUUGUUUGUGUAAGUCUAACUAAAAUUUAAUGUAUUUUAUAUCUACACACCUCCUUGGUAAACAAUUUAUCCACAUCACCUAGAAUACAAAUAAUAUUAUGACAACUCAUAUCAGAAGAUAAAAACUCAUAUUGAGUUUUAAACAUUCAUUCAUGCUCAAAUAUAAUUCAUAAGCUGAAGAUAAGGAAUAUGAAGAUUUUCAAACCUAAAAAAAAAAGAAUUUAUAGAGCAAUAAUUCACUGCUGUGUACAUCACAUAUUGGUUUGGAUAAUAUAUAUGUAUUCUUCAGCUCUAAUUAAUUGAAGUUUGAAUUAUUCGAACUCAUGUCAUUACAAUCACCAAUAAUGGAAAAAACUCUCGUCACCAAAAAUGGAAAAAAAAUGCGCACUUGUAUUUUACGUCAACUAUAUUACAGUGUUUUUUUAUAUAGUAAUAUAAAAUAAAACACCAUAAUAAUUUUAUAAUUGUAAUAAUUGUUUUAGAAUAAACAACUGUGACAUUACAAAAAUUAUUAAUAUACCGAUAGAUUUUUACCGACAAAUAUAUAUCUAUCGGUAAAUUUUCAUUACCAAUGGAUUUAUCGAUAAAUUUUUAAUUUUUUUUACUGACAACCAAAAACUUUUGAUAAAUCUGCCAGUAAGUGACAUACACAUUACUGGUCCAAACGGUUACUAACCAUCCGAAUGAUCAACUAACAAACCAGAAAACUGCUAUUAAUCCAGAUGGUCACCUAAAAGAUUGGAUGAGAGAUCAUCAACUCACAUGACCAACUAUAAGAAGUGUAAACGAGACAUUUUUACUUUCUGAUCAAGAUUUUUUCAUCCCGAGAGUGUGACAGUUCCUGACCCGGUCAAGUUCUUCACUUUAACCUGAACGCUAGAAGUGUAAACGAACUCAAUAGGAGAAACGUAGACACAAGCACGACAGGAGACAAACAACAAGCUCUAUAGUGGAGGCAAGCUCAAGAGUGGACAACCUCAUGAAGCAAAAUUGUGGACACAUGUGAUACUUUUGAUUGAACAAGCAACAGAUCAACAAGAGACAAGCUUAACAUACAUGCAAGCUCGAUAAGAAACAAGCAAUAAGCUUGACAUGAGACAAGCUCGCUAGGAGAAAUAUUGACAUAAGCUCAAAAUGAGACAAUCUCAACAAUCUCGGUCAAAGACAAGCUCGACACAAUAAAUGCUGAUACAAGCUCAACUCAUAUAUAACUUAAGCUCAACCCACCACAAAGUUUUUUUGAAUGUUCAUAUAACAUCUGCAUUUGACCUUUCAUAAAGUACUUUUUUUUAAAAAAAAAAAAAUCCUUUUUGAAGAAAUAACUUUUUUUGAGAUUGUGUUUUGUUUUGUGUGCAUUGUUUUGUAGCUCUAGUAAUUAACAAUUUUUAGUGAUAUAUAUAGAGGUUCAAAAGGGUUUUUAUGCAUCAUUUGCAUGUUUACUAGUGUAAUUAUCUUUUGGUAAAUUGUAGACCACAAUACAAAAAUCCUGUAUGAAUUCAAAAACUAAAUUCAAAUUGAAAAUCAAAGCAACUAUACCAUAUAAUCGUCUAGUCAAUCACAAAGUCGACAACAAUUACAACUUGUAUAGUCACUAAUAGCUCGGAUGACUAAACAAUGCCAUCAACCCGGCCCAGUCACCUUAUAAACCAAAUGAUAAACCAUCAACUCGGGUAACCAACCAACAAAAGUAUAAAUGAGGCUUUUAGUUUUCUGAUCAAGAUUUCGCCAUCCUAUCAGCCUUGCAACUUGUGACUAAGCAAGUUCUUCACUUUGAUCCAAAUGUUAGAAAAUGUAAACAAGCUUAGAAGGAAAAAAGCUCAAUAAAAAUGUAGAAACAAUACAAAAUUUAUUUGAAUUAUUAACAAAAUUUUAUCAAUGAAAAUAAUUUUUUUUUUAUAACUUUGAAUUAAUGUUCGAUUUUUUAAAUUUUAAUUACCAAUAAAUUUUACUUACGAAAAUAUUUAUCGAUAAUAUAUAAUCUGUUUAUCUAAAAAAUUCACCGAUAAUCGAUAAAAAUAAAUAAUAAUUUAUUACAAAAAGUGAUGUUAGUAUUUUUAGUUAUAAUAUAAUUUUUUUACCAUUAAAUAUAGGAAUGAUAUUAUUCUUUUAAUUUUGUUAAUUAAUUAAUUAAUUUAUUCAUUAAAUUUUAUUGAUAAAAACAAUUUUAAUUAUAGAAAAACAUUUAUUCCAAAAAUUUCUUCCUUUAUAGUAUAAUAUUCAAUUCAUCAUUAAUUAUUGAUAUUUUAUUUCGUUUAUAAUUUUUGGGUUCAUUAAUUAAUUAUUUAAAUUUUAUCGAUGAAAAUAAUUUUAAUUAUAGAAAAAUAUUUAUAUCAAAAUCUUUUUAUAGUAUAAUAAUAAUUUACCAUUAAUUGUUAUUAUUUUAUUACUUUUCUAAUUGAAUUAAAUUUUAUUGAUAAGAUUAAUUUUAACUGUAAGUAAAUAUUUAUCCCAAAUUAUAAUAUAAUAUUUUUUCACAGUUAAUUAAUUAUUUAUUUCAUUUAAAUGUAAUUGAUAAAACUAAUUUUAACAGUAAAGAAACAUUUAUUUCAACUUAUAGUCUGAGAUUUUCUUUUAUCAAUUAAUUAUUGAUAUUUUCUUAGUGUUUAAAUUUGGGGUUAUUUAAUUAAUUAAUUUAUUUAAAUUUUAUUAAUAAAAAUAAUUUUAACUGAAAGGAAAAUUUUAUCCCAAAUUUCUUUUCUUUUAUAGUAUAAGAUUUUUCUUACAAUUAAUUAUUAAUGUUUUCUUACUUUAAAUUUUUGGGUUAAUUUAUUAAUUAAUUUAUUUAAAUUUUAUUAAUAAAAAUAAAUUUACUUAUAGGAAAACAUUUAUCUUAAAUUUUAUUUCUAUUAUAGUAUAAGAUUUUUUUCAUCAUUAAUUAAUGAUAUUAUAUUAUGUUUUUAAUUUUUGUGUUAAUUAAUUUAUUUAAACUUUAUUAAAAACUAAUUAUAAUUGUAAGGAAACAUUUAUCUCAAUUUUUUUGUAGUAUAAUAUUUUCUCAUCAUUAAUUAUUGAUAUUUUAUUACUCUUUUAAUUUUUGUGUUAAUUAAUUCAUUCAUUCAUUUAAAUUUUAUUGAGAAAAAUAAUUUUAAUUAUAUGAAACCCAUUUCAAAUGAUAGACCAAUUAUUUCUGUAUAGUGGUGAAGAUAAAAAAAUGUAGAUGAUUGAAUCUUUGAGUUUUGGUCAAGGACAUGGAUUUGUGAUGGUUUAUGCAGGUAAAUGUUCUUAGAGAUUACUAUUUCUAAUAUUUUUAAUUUUUCUGGAUUCACAAGUUAGUUCAAUAUGGAAAUGGUUUGUGUGAAUGUUUUUAGUUUAAAAUUUGAGGCGAAGAUGAUGGUUGAUAUUAAAUGGUGAUGAAAACUUUUUUUUGUUGAAAUUUGUUUUAUAAUUUUGUAUGAAUGAAUGAAUUUUAUAUUUAUGUGUUCUAAUUUUCUAACAAAUCUUAAUCUGAUAUGAAAAUAGGAAUUGAUUCAAGGAAAACCUAUGCAGCAUAACAAAUAAAUAAAAUAAAAGUUACUUUUUUAAUUGGACAUCAAAAAUUCAAAAUUUAAAUAUAAGCAACUAAAUAAUUUAUACAAAAACAAAUAUAAAUAUAUAUAUAUAUAUAUAUAUAUAUAUAUAUAUAUAUAUUUGUUAAAAAUUAUCUAAUGAUAUAUUCAUCGAUAGUUAUCAAUAGAUUUAUUUUUUUUUAAUUAUUGACAAAUAUAUUCGUUGAUGAUUAUCAAUGAAUAUUUUAUCAACAAUAUUUAUAUAUAAAAUUUUGUCUUAUUGAUAAUCAUUUGAAAAAUAAGGGUUAAAUAUGUUUUUAGUCUCUCAAUUCAAGGUAAACAAGCUUAUCAGCACAAACUUGAUGGAUAUACAAUAUAAACUCGGUGCACAAUUUUUUUCGCACCCAGGUGUGUUUAGAGUUUACUUAUUUCGAAGUUUUUUCUUUUUCUAUGUCAAGAUGCAUAUGGUUUUUUAUAUGUUCUUGUCCAAUUUUUAAAUUUUUUUCUUCAUUGACUAUUGUACAUACUUUUGCAUAUGGGAUCCCUUGGGUAUAUAUAUUUACCAUUUUGUUCACAACAUUUAUGCAUCUCAACUGUGAUAAAGAAAUUUUUUGCAUUUAUCUUCAAAAAUCUUUAAUUUAACCUGAUCAAUAAACUCAAUAAUCAUAUCGACCAGAUUGACCCAUCCAUACUACAUUAGAACAUCGCCACAUUCAUCACACUGAGAGUUUGAUAGUCUUCCAGACUAAACCAAUCCAAUAGUCAUCUAAACCAAAACAGAAUAAUCCAACCGUUAUAAACUAGACCAAUUCGAUAUGGAUAAGAUCUGACUAGUCCAAGAAAACUCACCAUAUUAAAUUUAGUGACAGAAAAAUAAUAAUUAAAGGAACAACCCAUCAUCCAAUUCUGAUACUUGUAAAUUACAACCCAAUUUCAACUGUUAUAAAAAAAAUAAUAUAUUUGUCUUAACAUGAAUCUGCGCGACACGAAAAUUCUAGUUAUUAUUAAUUAAAACAUUUAUUUGCCAUAGUAGUAGUUUAAUUUAAAAUUAAAAAUGAAAAUCAAAGGCAUUGACUUUUCAAUGACCGCCACGCAGAAUAAUAGCGGAGGGAAGAAUCUGAACAGAUUGAGAAAGAGAGAGAGAGUAACGUAGCUACCUACGGCAUCAGAACUUUAAUCCAAACGGAAGAGAAUCUGUCACCCUGUUCCUCAGCUAUAAAUACACACACAUGUCAAAGUGUUCUCAUGGCAGUAGCAUAAAGGCUCUGAAUAUAUAACAUUAGCUUUCAACGAUAGUGUAUACGUAGAAACUGUGACGGCAAUCAACCAUGCCGUUGAACAUAACAUCCAUCAAGACAUCUUCUAAUGGAGUGUGGCAAGGUGAUAAUCCUUUAGAUUAUGCCUUCCCACUCCUAAUAGUUCAAAUCACCUUAGUCCUCAUCGUCACUCGCUCCCUCGCUUUACUUCUCAAACCUCUCCGACAACCCAAAGUCAUUGCUGAGAUUCUGGUAUAUCCAACUCAUUCCAAUUAAUAUUAUUAAUUUCAAACAACUCUGCGCUGAUGCACAAUAGUUGAAAGAGUUCCACAACAGUUCAAAGAGAUCGUAAUUAUUUAAGCUUUUGUUUUGUCGUAUGAUUAGUUUUAAUAUUAUUUGUUAAUCUUUGAAGGGUGGAGUUUUGCUGGGCCCAUCGGUACUGGGAAGAAGCCAAAGUUAUCUGCAUCGUAUAUUCCCUAAAUGGAGCACGCCAACGCUGGAAUCGGUCGCAAGCAUAGGUCUUCUUUUUUUCCUAUUCCUCGUAGGUUUGGAGCUCGAUCUCCAUUCCAUUCGUCGGAGCGGAAAAAGAGCCUUCAGCAUCGCCGCCGUGGGGAUCUCUCUUCCUUUCGUCUGCGGAAUCGGCGUCGCCGUCAUCCUCCGCAAAACAGUUAAAGGCGCAGAUGAACCCGGCUUCGCGCAGUUCAUCGUCUUCAUGGGCGUGGCGCUUUCCAUCACCGCAUUCCCGGUGCUCGCCCGCAUCCUGGCGGAGCUGAAGCUCCUUACCACGCGAGUGGGGGAGACCGCGAUGGCGGCGGCGGCGUUCAAUGACGUGGUCGCGUGGAUUCUGCUCGCGUUGGCAGUGGCUUUGGCGGGGAAUGGCAGUGGGUCCCAGAAGAGUCCUCUGAUAUCGGUGUGGGUUCUUCUCUCGGGGCUGGCGUUCGUGGUUUUGAUGAUGGUGGCUGUCCGACCGGUGAUGGAGGUUGUAGCUAGAAGGGGCGAAAACGACGCCGCUGACGAGUUUUAUGUUUGCUUGACGCUAGCGGGGGUGUUGGUGUCGGGGUUUAUGACGGACCUGAUCGGGAUUCACUCCAUAUUCGGGGCCUUCGUGUUCGGGCUAACGAUUCCGAAGGAGGGAAACUUCGCGAAGAAGCUAACAGAGAGAAUCGAGGAUUUUGUUUUAGGUUUGUUGCUCCCACUCUACUUUGCUUCUAGCGGUUUGAAAACCGACGUAACUACCAUACGUGGCGCUUCGGCUUGGGGUCUUCUGGUUCUGGUCAUAGCCACGGCUUGUGCUGGGAAGAUUCUUGGGACCUUCGUGGUGGCCAUGUUCUGCAUGAUCCCCGCCAGAGAAUCGCUCACACUUGGCGUCCUCAUGAACACCAAAGGCCUCGUUGAGCUUAUCGUACUCAAUAUUGGAAAGGAAAAAAAGGUAACUUUCUUUUUCUUAUUCUUACUUUCUUUUACAUUAACAUAUACUCAUUUUCACAUACACUAAUCUUUCUCCAUAUAAUAAAAAAUAGAUAAAAUAUCUUAUUUUCUCUCGUUGGCGAAAUCAUCCCUAUUUUAUUUUUCUGUCCAAUUAAAUAACGUAAUUUGUGUUUAGUAGAGUCUUUUUUAUAAACUUUGUAAACCACAAACAAGGAUUAAAUUGAACAUAAACUAUGUUUUUUUAAGACUAUAUUAAACAGAAAAAAAAAGAUUAAAUUAAACACAAAUUAAUAUAAAAUUAAGACCAUUUCGAAUAUUCUUAACCAAAAGUGAGACAAAAAAAGUAUAAAAUUUUAUAUUUUUACGAGCAUUUUAUCUUGUUCUAUGUGUCAAUGUCACGAUCCUCUUGCUCUUUUCGUAUUAAAUAUCAACUCCUCUUUCAAUCAGAAUUUUAAAUUUGUCACGUUAGGAGAGAUCUUUUACUCUUGUUAAAGUUUCAUUUCUGCCUUUCCUAAUAAAUUAUAUAUCUCUUGAAAGUUAUACCAAUUGACUUAUAAUAUAUGUAUAAAAUUUUUAAACAUGAGUACUUGUCUAUGUCGCGGGAGGCUGUUGACUAAAUAACACGUGGCCCGAAUAAAAUACCAGUGCCCCUACAACACCAUGCAAUAAGAUUGUGAACAAGAAUGUUUAGUUUUUUUUUUUUAAUUAAUACACAAACUUUUUACUUCUUUUUGUUUUAUUUUUAUUUCCUUAAAAAUAUAAAAAUUAAUUUUUAUAAUUAUUUUAUUUUUAUAAUAUGUGUUAAAUAAAUAUAAAUAUGUGUCUUUUAUUAUUAUUUUUUUUAUCACCUGUCUCUUUUAAUCAGAACGAUGAUGAGUGAAUCUUUGGUUUAUAGAUUGAAUCAUGACUAAACAUUAGUUUAGUCUAAUGGAAAGAUGAUGAUUAUAUACGCAUGAAAUAGAAGUAUGAAUACCUUGUAGGUAUACCAAACUCUUUCACUUGAAUAGCCACCCCUUCUGUACAAGCAAGUUGUUUGACUUUUUCGCGUAUGGGUUAAUAAGUGAGGAAAAUGAUAGGAAAUAGUAAAAUAUUUCAAAACAUGGUUAACUUCAAUCCCGAAAUGUAUUCUAUUGCUGUCGUCACAGUUUUGUUGUAGAGUUACGAUUGAUUAGCCAAGUCCAAGUCGUAUAAGAUGGGAAGUUUGAUCAAAACUGUGACUGGUCCAAAUUUGCAAGUCUUUUACUUUUAAACUUUUUUUGGUUGAUUCCCUAAACGAUAAUCUGGUGAAGAAAGACUUUAUAUUGAUUCCCCGCGUGCCCAAAAGAAUAUGAAUUCAUAGCAUUUAUGACCGUUCCUUUUGUGUACAAGGAAAAACUCAAAACAAAUGUAGCAUUGCCACUCCUAGCUUUCAAAAAGUAGACGAGAUUAGCUGAUAAUUAGGAUGCUGAAGCCAGUUAGUAUACUAUGUUAUAACUUAAUUAAUAGUCAAUUAUAAAUAGAAAAUUUAGAAAAAGACAUACACACUUAUAUAUUCUAAUGUUAUUGAACUGUUUUUUUAUUGGAAUUCGUCGAGCACUUUUCGAUAUGAAAUGAGAAAUCUUCAUUAAUAGGAUUUUUUAUUCACAGUGAUGUUAUUUUGAAAUCGUUUAUAGAAGAUGAGAAGAAAGUUUACUUAUAAAGACUCUCCUAUAACGAGGACAUGAUUUCGUUUUCAGGUUUUAAAUGAUGAAAUGUUUGCAAUCUUAGUUCUUAUGGCUUUGUUUACAACCUUCAUCACAACGCCAAUAGUAAUGGCGAUCUACAAACCAGCUCGAGGAAACUCAAUGAAAGCCCGGCGAAAGCUGGGUGACAAUUCUUCAAGGUCUGGAAAGGAAAUGGUUGAGAAGUUCAGAGUCUUGGCCUGUCUCCAUGGGCCAAGCAAUAUCCCUUCUGUCAUCAAUUUGAUUGAAUCAACUCGAAGCACGAAAAAGUCCUUCACAAAGUUGUUCAUGAUGCACCUUGUUGAGCUCACAGAGCGCUCAUCCUCCAUCAUCAUGGUUCAACGUGCUCGUAGAAAUGGUUUCCCUUUCUUCAACCGCUCUCAUCGUGACCAGUGGCAUGACCGAAUUGCAGGAGCCUUUCAAGCCUACACUCAACUAGGUCGAGUCAUGGUUCGGUCCACAACUACUGUUUCUUCUCUCUCCACCAUGCAUGAGGACAUUUGCCACGUGGCGGAGGAGAAAAUGGUGACCAUGAUUAUUUUGCCCUUCCACAAACAGUGGAGAACAGAAGUGAAUGGGGACAACGAGAAAUAUCAAGUGGUAGAAAAUGCAGGCCACGAAUGGAGAGUGGUGAACCAAAAGGUACUUAAGAAUGCACCUUGUUCAGUGGUCGUGCUUGUGGAUCGUGGAUAUGGAAAUUUGCCUGAAACUUCAACCCCAGAUUCCAUUGUUUAUCAACGAGUGUGCAUCAUCUUCUUCGGUGGCCCAGACGAUCGUGAGGCUCUAGAGUUGGGGAAGAAGAUGCUUGAACACCCAACAGUUAAAAUAAGUGUUGUGAGGUUUAUGGAAAAGGGUGUGUUGGAUGAUAAUAAUAUUGUGUUAAACUUCUCACCUGACAAAAACAAAGAGGAUAGUUACAGCUUCUCCACAGCCAAAAUGAAUCGCCAGAAAGAAAAGGUAACAUUUAGAUUACCAAAUAUUUUAGAAUAACAUUCAUCUUAUUAUUAUCUUGGAUUAAUGAAUUACAGGAGUUGGAUGAGGAGGCAAUUAAGCAGUUUCAAAGCAAGUUGAAUGACAUGGUGGAAUACAUUGAGAAGUUUAGUGAGGACGUUGUGGAAGACGUAUUGAUAAUAGGAAAAAGUGGGGAUUAUGAUCUGAUAAUUGUUGGAAAAGGUCGAUUCCCAUCGAAUAUGGUGGCUGGAUUGGCAGAAAGAAAACCAGAACAUGCUGAAUUAGGUCCUAUUGGAGAUGUUUUAUCUUCAUCAGAACAUGAGGUUUUGUCAUCUGUAUUGGUUAUUCAACAACACGAUGUGACAUUGGUAGAUGAUGCUCCUAUAUACAAGGUCCAUGAUGAGUAUGGCACAGUCAAUAAUGCUGAUUCUUCUCAUGGAGUAGGAAUUUCAAUUGCCAAUGACAGUGCCGUGUAAUAUGAAAAAAAAAUUGUAUCUUUAAUAAUUUUCUUUUAUAAUUUUUUUACAACUGAUCAGUGAAAUUUGUAAUUAGUCUGUUUUAAAUAUAUCAAUUAAUAAAAUAAUAAUAAUUAUUAAAAGUUAUUAAAAAAAUUAUGAAAAUAUCAUGUCCUUAUAAUAUAUACUUUUAUUAUUUAUAUGAAAAUAUACGAAACAAAUUUGAAAAAUACUUAAAUAUUCUCUCCGAAUCAUUUUUACUUAAUUUUUUUUAAUAUAAAUUUUGGAGGAUGAAUUUGAAAAAAGAAAAAAAAAGGAAAAUAAGUUGUUUAGAUUAAAAGAAAUGAGAGAAAAUAGAUUCAUUUUACAAAAAUAGUGUGACUAUUUUUAUUAAAAUUACUGAUAUAGACAGAUUUUGCAAAAAUUACAUAAAUAAAAUAAAGUCUUGAUUUCCAAACACAAUUUUAAACUAUAAAAAUAACAUGCAACUUUUAGUUUUACGUGAAGUUGUCAUUUCUACUAACGAUUUCUCUCUUUAUUAUUAUGUUCAUAAUUUUUAACUUAUGGUGUUAGCAUACGACUUUCUUAUUUUUUAUUCUUUAUUUAAUUUUUAUUUUUUAUGUUUUCUAUGUUUUUAUACAAAAUUAUCUUAAUUUUAAACUAUUUCUUUAUAUUAUGGUUAAUAAAAUUUUUUAUCUUUUCUUAAAUUUUUAUACAAUCAUAUAUUUUUUAUUUUGAAUUAUAUCUUAAUAAUUUAAUUAAUGACUUACAAAUAAUGUUUUAAUUCACUUUACUCCUUAAAAAUUGCUAUUUUUGUAUUUUAUAUAAAAGUUUUUUUUUACAAUUUUAGAUAAUUUUAUUAUCCUAAUUAUAUUUAUAAAACUUAUUUAUUAAGAAAAAUGAAUAUACACAAAGUCUAAAUUAUUUAUAAUAGAAAAGAAUAGUUUAAAGUUAAGAUAAUAUUAAGAAAUAUUUUAAAAUAUUAAUACAAAUUUAUUCAUUUAUAUCUAUAAUGGUAAGAAAUAGUUUAAAAUUAAGAUAAGUUUAUAUAUAAACUAAAAAAACAUAAAAAAGAAUUUAAAAGGAAAAUAAGAAUAAAAAAUAGGAAUUUGAAGUCGUAAAACCAAAUAAUAUAUAUGUAAGUUAAAAUACGAUUUCACCAAUUCUAAUAAUAUAAAGUCGUGUUUAAAAAAUACGGUUUUUAUCCAUUUAGGUAAUUUUUUCAAAAUCAGCCCAUAUCAGUAAAUUUGGUAAAAGGAAAAUUACAGUAUUUUUGUAACAUAAAACUGAGAAAAUAAUAGGAAAAUGAGGUUAAUUCAACAAUUUAACUCCCAUUUCAAACAUUUUGAAAAUAACUUCUUUGAUUCCAUUAAGCAAAGACUUCCUUUUCCAAUUCUUUUAUAUCCAUCGAAAUCAAAGCUUUAUUUAUCCUUAUUUGAUUAUAUUCUUGCAUCAUCAUAACUCUUUUUUCUUCUAAUAGACAAUCAUGACAACCUCAUGAAAGGAUCUAAAUACUAAGUUUUUCCGUCAAUGUUUUAUCACAAUUUACUUUUUAGGUCCUCAAAUUUUAUUUUUACUUAAAAACACUCUCUUUUUUUCUCUUCAUAUUUCAUUUCUUUUCGAAUAACACCGAUAAUUUUUUUUUAUUUUUUCUCUUCAUAUCUCAUUUCUUUACGAAUUUUAUAACACCCAUAACUGAUAUACAUAUAUAAAACAAUUCUACCCCCAUCAAAUUUUUAAUGAAAGUAAAAUUUUGCUUAUUUUAUAGAUGUUUUCUUCUCUUUUUUUCUUAUAGUUUUGUCAUUAAUAUAUGAUGGGAUUAGUUAAGAAAAAUUAUUGUCUCAACUUUAUCGGUCAGAGUGACCUUCUUGUUUGGAUUUUUGAAAAAUUGCUCUAAGGAUAAAGGUAAGAACUUUUUUUUUGAUAAUUUUGAUAUAACUAUUUAUUUAUAGAUGACUUAUGGUUUUCAUACAAGAAUUCUAUCAAGAUAUGUUUGAAUUUUGAUAUAAUUAUUUUUUUUAUAAAUGACUUAGAUAUGAAAGUGAUGUGGUCACUAAAUUUUGAUCAAGAUAUGUUUGAAUGCUAUUUAUGAUUUUGAUAUAUCUAUUUUUUUUAUAAAUGACUUAGAUAUGAAAGCGAUCUGGUCACUAAAAUUUGAUUUUCAUGCAUAAAUUGUGAUUGAUUAAAGAUAUGUUUUUGAAUUUAAGUAUGGUUAGAUUAUAUAUAUUUAUUUAUUUAUUGGUACAUAGUUAGUUUGUAUUAUAUAUUAUAAAUGUUAUAGAAAUUAUUUGAAUGAUUUGUAAUAUAAUUGAUAUCUUAAAUUUUAGAGUAUUACACUAGCAUUAUAAUAAGUCAUACGAUCACAAUUUUGAAAAACUUGAUUGAUUAUUGUUUGAACCAUCGUAACACUUAUGAUUUUAGCGUUUGUUAGUAAUGAGUAUGCAUAUUAUAUAUAUAAAAUGUCAAAUUUUAAAUUGUAUUCAUUUUUAUAUUGUAAAAAACAUUAUCUUCAUCGUAUCGAUAUUACACCAUAAUUAAUACUUUCUAAAUCAAUUAUGAUUUAGAUGACAUUAAAAUUUUUGUUAUAGGAAUCUAUUAUCAAUUAUAAUAAUUAGUUUUAAAUUGAAAUAAUUAGCCUUUAUUAGCUAAUUCUUGUAUAUUUACUUUCCCUUUAUUUAAUUUAAUUAUUAGUGUUAAAUAUCAAUUAUUAUAAUUGAUAUUAUAAUAAUUGAUAUUAAAUUGGUAGAGUUUAUUUCCUUUUAACUCUUUCCAAUUAGUCUAUCAAUUUAUAUAUAUAUAUACUAUUGCAAUCCAAUGAUCAAAUAAGAAAUUCAUCCAAAAUAAUACUUUUCUAUAUCUAUGUUGAUUACAAAACUAAUUUAAUAAAUCCAAAAGAACAUAAAUAAAUAAAUCACAUAAUAGUAUGUUAUGUGAAUCUAUCUCAAUAACCGGUUAUUUUCUCAUUAAUUAUUUUGUAAGUUAGAGUUAUAUAUAUAUAUAUAUAUAUAUAUAUAUAUAUAUAUAUAUAUAUAUAUAUAUAUAAUGUUUUUUUUUUUUGCUUUUUAUCUUUUCGGCAACUUCCUACUUUAAUAGAGUUUUUUUUAUGGUUUUCAUAUUAUGUCGAUAUUAUUUUAUAAUGUUUUAUUAAUGUAAUUUUAAUUUCUGGGGCUUGAAUAUUAUUUUGUGAUGAGGUCAUAGAAGUGAUGGAGAACAAUAAUGUGCCUCGAAAACGAUUUGACUUUGUAACUUAUAGUUGUCAUGAGUUGGAGAAACCCAUAGAUCUUCCUUUUCCAAUGGCUUUGAGAAUCCUCUCUCUCUUCAACAUGCUAAUCACAUUUUUCUUCCUUCCAUCAGAUCAGUAUAACUAUUUUUGAGAUAAAAAAUAAUUUUUAUUGAUAAUAAAAAAAAUGAUACAUUAUAAUGUUAAUAAUUGACAUUUUUUAGUUGAUAAAUUUCAUUGAUAAAAUGAUGUCAAAUUUUUGCUUUUGACUUAACUAUUUAAUCAUUAGAUUCGUCAGUAAUGUUAUUUUCUAAAUUUACUAAUAAUUGCAUAUUUUAAAAUUCAUCUAUAUAUUUAAACAUUAAUUAUAAAUGAGUAAAAAAAGAAAAAAAAAGAGAAAAAGAAGAAGAAGGAAGAGGAGAGAAAAAAAAGGAAGCGACAGUGACGAUGCAACGAUAGAGCAACAAUGAAGGAAGAGCUAUGUUGAUGGAGGAAAAGGUAGAUGAAUAAGAAGAAGAAAAAGAACAGAGGAAAGGAAGAAGAAUAAGAAAAAGGGAAAAGGAAAAGAAAACAAAAUCUUACUAAUGAGUUUUAUAAAUUUUUUUCAUUGGUAACUAAUAAUUAAUAAUUACUCACGUUUGUCGUCGACAGUAACUAUUGACAUAUUUUUUAUCUUUUAUUAAAAUUUAGGCUUAAAUCCUUAAUUGGUCUCUAUGUUAAGAGGGAAUUUUCAGUUUAUUAUCCGUUUUUAAAAAGUGUAUACAUUGGUCCCCAUGUUUUGUAAUUUGUGUCAAUUUAGUAAAUUAAUGAUACCUAAAUAAGUUUGUAACAACAAUUGGAAGGUGUCCAAACGUUCAAACAGUUAAUAAACAUGUUAGCAACUCAAAAUGACUUGUCCACUUGCAAUUUUCAAGUCAAAUUGAUGGUUCAAAGGGACUAAAUUGACACAAAUUACAAAACAUGGGGACCAAUGUAUACACUUUUAAAAGGGGUACUAAACUGCUUAACAUGGGGACCGAUUAAGGAUUUAAGCCUAAAAUUUAUUAAUAAAUACUUACGAAUUUUAUAUUUUUUUAAUUUUUAUUUUUGAUGAUUACCAAAAAAAGUUUGCUGGUCAAUAGUUUUAUUUUUUAGUGGAAAUUUCAAUUACAUAUUAAUUCACCACAUUACCACUAUAAAUUAUACAUGAGAAAAAUAUAAUAGAAGUGAAAAAGGUGAGAACCAAUAAUAACACUAAUGUUCUGUUUGUAUGAAUCGAUUCACUUUUCACUCAGAUUUGUGAGCAACGUGUUCGUUUUAAAAGAUUUGUGUAGACUGAUUUGAGAUGAUUUGCAGGAUGAAUAACUUUUUCAUCACUCACUAAUGUGCCGCGAUUUGGAAGGAUUGUGAAUGAAAAGUCAUAUUUGUCCCCUCACUUCAUGCAAAUUUCACCUCUUUACAAUGAAAAACUAUACAUUUUUUUUUUGUUUUUUUAUGUGUAUUUUAAUAACCACAAUCUGCAUACUUUUUAAAAAAUAAUUUUAAUUAUUAUUUUUAAUUUUUUAUUCUUCAUAAAUAUUUUUACAAUUAAAUAUAAAAUUAAUAACUAUCAUUUCAUAUUAUUUUAAUAAUUAGAGAUAUUUUGGUAAUCUUUAAUUUAUACCCAUUAAACAAAAUUUUUAAAUCUAUCACAUCAAUCAAAUCUCACAUUAAUUCUCACAAACUUUAUCCUCAAAUCCAGUCUCAAUUACCCACAAAUCCACUAAAAAAACAACAACAAAAAUUACCCUCAAAUCCACUCAAAUCAUCUCCCCCAAAUCUUACCAUCCGAACAGAGCCUUGAAUUUGUAAGUUUGAUAUAUAAAUCUUCCUUAUUUAUGAAAAUUUAUAUGUAUAAAAGUUUUAAAUUAUGAUUUCUUAUAAAAGACUUUAAAUAAAUAUUAUAUACUUCUAAGUUUGAUUAUACUUAAUACUAAAUUUGUAAUACGUUAACUAAUAGAUGGCCUACUUAAUUGAGGUGUUACAUUUACAAACAUAAUGAUAAUAAAUAUAAAUAACAAAUUAUGUAAAAAAUAUAAUAAAUAAUAAUAAAAUAAUUCGUAAUAAAUAACAAUAAAUAAUAAAUUAUAAUAAAUAUAUAACUGAUACUUGAAAUGAUAGAUUAUUGGACGAAAUAUGGGUUUUCAUUAUACCGUAACAAAUUCUUAAUAAAACAAAACUGAUUUCAUCACGCCAAAAAAAAAAUUAAUUAGGAGAAAAAUAGUACCUUAAAUUAUUUUCUACUGUGUAAAGUUAAUAAAAGAAACCUGCAGAGAUGAGAGACUGUAACAUGAUAACAUAUAUAGUAACAUCUGACUUUUUUUAUGAAUAAAUCUUCAUAAUACAUAUUUUGAACAUGUAUGCAGAAUCAACCAUGCAAUAAACACGUGGGAUCGUGACAAAUUAUGUGGAAAUAAUAAACAAGAACCACGUCUUCAAUGUAGCGCAAGUAAAACCACAAAAAAAAGGCAAAUUAAGUUGUUAUAAACUCAAGAAAUAUGAAAUUCUCGUGACAGAAUAGUUUCAUCACACUUCCAGGUAGAAGUAAAUAUAAAUUUGGGCAAUUUGCCCUUCUUUCUUUAGACACUUGUACAUAUAUAACUACGUUUCCAACCGUACAGAAGUCCCCAAAAGAAUGCAUAAAAAUUACACAAGUGAGGGAGGGAGAAAAAUGAAAAGGAAAGACUUGCAAGACACUAGGCUAACCUCAAAAAAUCAUUCUUCCAGCACAAAUGGGGCAUGAAUUCAAUAGUGACCAAAGAACUUAUAGUUGACAAUCAGGUCACAACAAUAGGUUAAACAGCAUCCCUGCUCAGCUCGCAUGCCAUCAUCCAAUAGGUACUGUAUUGUUGUCAUUUACAACAAAACUUUGAUCCUGAUGAUAUAGAUAAGGUCAAACCCGGUUCAAGAUAUAUAUAAAAAGUCCAAUUGUAGUACGUGUGCACUUGAAAUCAGUUACAACAAAGAUUUUAAACAUUAAACUCAAUAAAUGAAAAAAAGAAAAAAAAAACGAAUUCAAAAAAUAAAGAUGCUGACCACAUUACAUUUUCCAACACACAAACAAGUAACAAGUAACACAAAUUGGGAAGUCAAAAGGUUCGGAAGUGAUGCUGGCUAAAAUUAAAAAGGGUAAUCAAUCAUUGAUGCAUGGGCCAUGAGAGAUAAUGUUUCUAAUGGCACAGAAAGAAGAUUCUGGGUUGUGAAGAUUACUUUUGUAGUAAACAACCGUACUGCGCUAAUAAAAAUGUUUCCAAAUGCAAUCAUUCAAACAAAAUUGAAAAUUUUCAGUGGAUUCUUCUUUUAUCUACUUACCUGUCCCCCUUCAGUUGAACCGUCUGAUACAAACCUUAGUGAAAACCUCCUCCUGUCCAGGCAACACCCGCCUUAUCAUUAUGACCAGCAGCUUUAUUAUUAGAUGCAUUCCCAUAGAAAUCAUCAAAUCCAUCAUCUUUGGCAUUAUCCCAACCAGCCCAACCAUCACUGCUAUUGGAAGCUGAUCCUUUAGCUGCUUCUUUCUUCCUUGCGUCUUCAUGGUCCCAAUCAUCCCAAGAGCUAGUGUUAUAAGCAUCGGAUAGCCCACCUGAUGACUGAUGAGACGAUCCUUUAGCAGGAUGUUCCUUCCUAGGAUCUUUGUGGCCCCAAUCAUCCCAAGAGCUUGAAUGAUAAGAAUUAGUUUGUCCACCCGUAGACUGUUGCCCUUCUCUGGUAGAAGAAUUCCAGCCUUUGUUCUCUCGAUUAUACUCCUGAUAGAAACCGUUUUUAUCAGCUUCAUUUUGUUUUUCAGAUGUCGAAUUGGGGCUAUCUCUAGUGUAUUCCUCAACCUUUUGCGUAGCCAUUGCCAUGACCCCUCUCAUUAUACCCCAUGUCCUAUGUCCAAUCUCUGAUGUCUUCUGAGAGACAACAUUUACAGUUUCAUUGACCUUGUAAUCAUAACCACCCUCUUUUACCUGAAACAAGAAAUACAGUUAAUUCGGGAACUGAAUAACCACGAAAUGCAAAUAACAAAAUUGCCGGGAGAAGUUUGAUAAGUAAUCAUAUUCCUGCCUUUUUCCACCUUACUUUGAACAGAACAAACCAUAGAAUGAGAUUUACAAUAUACACAACUCCUUGGCCCAAUGACACAUGCCAAAAAGUCCAAACCUCGUGACUCAAUCCCGAUACAAAACAAAUGAUAGCAAGCAGUAUGAAAACCCAAGCAAACUUCAAUACCUCAUUGCAAAUCUAAAGAAAGAGUUGUUUACCUACCAUCUUCAACAAUGCCAAUCUAGUUAGCAUAUGACAAUUCUGACACCCAAUCAGAAACGCAAUAUUCUACAUGCAAUCAACCAAAAUGCACAUGUUCUAAUCACAGUACAUCCAAGAUUCUAACUCCCUCGGCACCUUUUGUUAUCACUACGAACAUUCACUCACAAACACGAUCACCAGGUCACCUCAAGCAAAGCUCAUUUAUAAUACUAUUCUUACAAAAACCAUUUGCAAAAGCAGGCAUCAGAAAAUUUUGCCAGAAGAAUGAAAACAGUUACCAAUCAAUCACAUUCAUAAUUUUUUGCCAAAAGUGUGUUACCAAUCAAUUUUAUUCUUAAAAUUUUGCAAAAAGUGUGAAAGUAGUUAUUAAUCAAUUUUAUUCAUAAGGCAUCCGCGAUGUAGGUUGAAAGAAAAAAUCAACUUUAUCUAAUACACCACAAUUUUCUCUUCCCGAAUAACUUAAACUUAAAAUAUAGGUAAUACCUUUAAAGUAAAACUCCAAUGCAAAAGUGGGGGAGGGAGGGGGAGGAGAGAAUGUAAUGAAUUUGUAAUGACAUGUCUUUUGUCAAUUUUAAUUAUAGUUUGAAAUAAAAAAGAUUGACAGAUGGAAAUAGAAAGGUUUUUUAGGGUAAUAAUUAGGUUUAAGCUACAUCACAUUUUUAAAUUUUAAUCAUCCAUUAGUAUUGCCGUAUUAGGCAUGUAUAGAGUAAUUGUUUUUCUCAAUAAGUAUAAACUGUGUGGUGGAGUGGAAAUGAGGGGAUUUGAAGAGAAAGAGAGGUGAAAUUAAAUCUAAAAUGUAUUCAUUUUUCAGCAGCAUGAAGCCGGGCCACGGCUGGGUGCUACUUAAUGCAUAAAGUAUAAAGUAUGAAGGGUCCAAAUAACAAUAAUACUCUGAGUUACAAUUGGCAGGAUCCAAUAUCCUUUAUCCUAGAAACUAUGAACAUAUAUAAUAAGAGUGAGUUUGGGAUAAACGCAAAAAUUAAAUCAUUUUAGUAAUUAAAAUUAAUUAUAGCUAUAAUUGAUUAUAGUGAGAAUUAAACUUUAUCUAAGAAAUUCUUUUAAAUAGUAGUUUUAAAAUCAUUAAUCUUGUUUAGAAAAAGAAGAAAAAAUCAGCUUUCAUACAAGGAAAAGAGAAUUAUUAAGCUGAGAGGGAAAAAGUAACCGCUGAAAAAUAAUCAUAAUCUAUAAUGUUUUAAAUUUAUUUAAACAACUAUUUUUUUCAAAAAAAAAAAAAAAAUUUACAAACUAAGUUAUUUUCCCAUACAUAUAACUGAAAUUGCAAAUAGUUUAUCCCAAAAACAACUGAAUUCAGAAAAUGUAAUAUUUCUGAAACAAGCUUAAGAAUAAAUAUGAAGAGAAAGAAAAAGGUCUUCGAAUUUCAGAAGCAUGUUACGGGUCCUUUCACAUGGUAUGGAGGUACCAGCACAUGUUAAUUUUCAUAUUUGAAAAUACCUUGUAAACGAGUAUGGACAAAAUAUUGUCCCGCUCUUUCAAAAUAAUAGUCAUUUUAAUUUUUUCUUUCUGCUUCAAGCUAAUAAUUUUUCAAAUUUUUGAAUUAUUUUUUGCAUACUCUUAUAUACAAUUAAUAGUAAUUAAUAGCGCAUUACUUACAUUGAGAAAAUGACACAAUAAUAAAUACACGGAAAAGUUAAAGAGUAUUUUUAUCUGAUUGAGUAUUUUUGUUAUAAACUCCAAAGAUUCUAUAACCUGAACAAGAUAACAGGAUCCCAUCCCCUAUCCUACAAUAAAAAACAGAUGAAGGAUUUAAAUAAUACCAAUUAUUAAGUUGUAAAUAUACUUGCAUGAAACUAGCUAGAAAGAAUUUGGAAAUUGUCUUACGCUAUGUUUAAACUCAGCAUGUCGUAAAUCAGUAACCCCUCGUUGCAUAUUGUUCUCAAUACCAUUCAAUCUCACGUAUUUCUUCGUUAUAUCGUUUUUCAACUGGCUAACUAAGAUAGCAAAAAUGCCUAUAUCUAAUACAUGAAAUCAUAUAUAAGUUUUGUACACGAUAAUUUAAGCAGAAAAACCAAACACUACCUUAGCAGAGAUCUCUUUUGUCCCGGCUUGAACAACAUUGGCAGCAGACUGAGCCGCAGAAGCAGCAACCAACGAUAAUUUACCGAAUCCCUAAACACAGAAAAUACAUCAAUAUAAUAGAACAUGUCUCAACCAUAUAUAUUAAUAUUAAGAAACAGUUUCCCAUUCAAAAAAUAGAAUAAACAGUUACGAUGGUAACCUGAGAAACGACAGAUAAAUAAUCGCUUUGCUGAUUAGCCCUUUGGCUCGGGGCGGGGCUAGAUCCGAACCCGACGUACUUGCCACCCUGCGAUGGCGGAAGCCCCUCCGGUCGGGACUCAUUCUCCGCCCUCUUCCUCGCGAAGAAAUCUUCCUUAUUGGCAGCAGAGGCUUCCAGCUGUGCGCGCGUGUACAUAUCCUCCGUCGACUUCGACCUCGCCACGCUCCCGCCGCCGCCGAACCCCCUGACAUCGCCGGUGGACUGGUUCCGCCGCAGAUCAGAGCCGCCCCGAGCCGAUCCGAACCCGUCGUCCGUGUCCCAAUUAUCCCAGCCGCCGUUGUUGCUGGUGGAAAGGGGCGGCUUCCCCUUGGAGGCGGAGGAGCGGAUGCUCUCCUUGACGACGGGGGGAUCCCGCCAGGGGCGACCGUCGGCGAUGGCCUGGAUGCGGUCGCGGUAGACGGAGGCGGCGUUGGAAUUGUACUUGGCGACGAUGUCGGUUUCCUUGGCGAUGCCGUAUUGCGCGAGGAAGGCAUUGAGUUUGUCGUUGCCUCCAGCUUCCAUCUUCUUGAUCUGGAUUUCGGACCAGGAAUCCAUGGUAACGGAUCGAACAAAGGAGAUGUGAACCCCGAGGCCGCGGUGCUUGCCGGAGCACUCUAAGCACAUAAAUACUCCGUAAGACACCGAAGCCCAUUGCGGAUUCUUCUGGGAACAGUCUACGCAGAUCUUGUUCGCCGCUUGGGAUUGGAGGUCCCGGAGGCGCCGCGAAGCCAUCGGAAUUUGUUUUGCCUUUUAACCGGAGCGUGCAGAGAAAAGAAACGGAAUUUGAGAAAGAAAAGAAAGAGAUUGGGAAGGAAUGAAUAAAUGAGUAUAAUGGGUUGGGAAUUGAGAGAGAGAAAGAACGGAAAAGGGAUUUUGGUGAAUCACCGACACCAUCAAAUUGGGACGGGAUUAUUGGAUGCUGACUCGGUGCGCUAUAAUUCUUUUGCAAACUCCCCUUUGCUAAUUUUACAUUUUUUACAAUAUUCUAAUUCCUAUUAUAUUUCCUUACUCAAGGAAAAUAAUUAAGCGCCUAAUACUUAAUUUAAAAGGACCAAAACUUUUUUAAUUUUAAAUAAAUAAACUUUUUUUUUUGUUUCUAACUGGUAAUUAAUUAUUUAAUUAAAUAAAUACCUGUCUUGCACUCUGCCCACUUGUCGUGCAUAUGCUUCUGUGUUGUCGUCUGUAAUAUGAACUGAAAACAUGAAUUUUGUGACUACGAGAGUGACGAGGAGCUUUAGAUAAAUGAUUCCAAUUAUUAUACUAUAUUAAUCAUUUACACAUAAUACUUUCACAAACACAAACUGAGAUAAAAUGUUCAUUGCAUAAAGAUUAAUGUUCACCUCUUCCUAAUUAGUGUAAUAGUUUAAGUAUUAUAAUGAGUGUUAAUAUGAUUUUGAAAGCUUUGAUGUAAUGAGUCUUAACGUAUGCAUUGAUCGAACUCUUAAUACCAAACCACAACAACCUAACAUCAAAAGUGAAAAUAACUUGGUUCAAACUUGACGUAUAAAUCAAGCAAUUACCUUAAAAUUAUAUACAAUCUCAUCUCAUAUGAUACGAGAGAGAUAAGUUCCACCUUACAUCUCAUAGUGUUUUGCUAAUUUCAAAUCUCAAAAGUCGUUAAUGUUUGCACUUUUGAGAACGUGUAGAAAUUUCUUUAUCAUAUAUACUUCAUAAAUUCUCAUUGUGUUUGUCCAAUUUAGAAUUUUCAUCUUCCUCCAACUUCCUUAUGUUUGUAAUGAUAUUAUAUACUUGUACGAAUUUCUUCCUCAGAAUUUUUCAAGAGAUAAUAAUUUUUUUUUAAUUAAAAUUACCACAAACUAAUUGAUAGCAAUUACUUCAUAUAUGUUUAAACAACAUUACCAAAAAUAUACUCAAAGAAGAAAAAAAAAAUAUGAAAACAAUUAUAAUUAAAAUUUUCAUAUAAAUUAAAUUAACUAAUUUGUAAACGGGUUAAAUGUGCUAAUUUAGAGGAAUUAUACGAGAGAGUUCUCAUAUAUUGGCCUUAAUUAAUUUUGAGUUAUAUAAAUAUUAAUUUAUUUUUUUCUUCUUUUUUUUUUCUCUCCUAAAUUGUUUUUAUGGAGAAUUUAAUUAAAGCAUACCAUAUUUUUUUUUUAAAUUAUUAAUUGACACAUGAGCUAUUUUUAUUUUUUUAUAUUAUUUAUUCUAAAAAAUAUUCUGAAGGUGUUGUUCAAAGCCAAUGAGAUAAACAACUUGAUAGAGAAGAAUAUUUCUAAAUAUUACAAAUAAACAAAAUUAAAAUAUGAUAUAUUUUUUUGGAACACAUACCACUGCUGAUCAGCCUAGGAUAAUUGAGAGGUUUCACAUCUCGAUAUGUAAUCUAAUGGAGUUGUAAAAUAUCUAUUUGUUUUUAUCUUUUUCUUUUUUAUCAGUGUAUCUUUCUUCUUUUUUCCACCUGCGCACUUCUCUCUUUCACUCUUUAUCUUGUUUUUCUAUUAAAACAAGUAUAUUUUAGAUUAUGUAAUUUAUAUUCUAGAAUAUAUAAACUAAGUAUAAGUCGUAAAGUAGAAAGUAACACUGAAAUUUUCUCAAGCACAUGGUGUGCAGCAUACAAUUAUGGAGGUACAGGAAUCAAUCUUGAGAACGGGAUUUUGAUACAAGCCGUGAUGACGAAAUUUCGGGCCAGUUUUGGGCUUCGUUUGCAUUACCAUCUUCAGUUGGGCUCCGUUUGCAUUACCAUCUCGAGCUGGGCUCGUUCUUAUGGCCUAUGUGAGAAAAUGAAAAAAUAACAAAAACAUGACAUUAACAGGGAGUCAAAUGCUCUACCUCGGAGCUAUGGACCCAUUACUGAUUUAGGACCUGUGUUGGGCUCACUUUAACUAUUACUUUGCUUCACUUUAUACCUCCAACCUUUGGGUGUUGCUCCCUAUACCUCCUCAAGUGGGACUUGUACCUCCCCAUUAAUUUAAUUUAUUUCAAAAAUAUUCUACACUUCCGCACUAUUUUCUUUAUUCCAAAAAUAUCCUACACCUCCCCACUAUCAUUAACAAUCUUUUUCUUUCUCUCUCUACAUUAAUGGAGCAUUUACAUGGCUCAUUAAUGGAGCAUUUACAUGACUUAAAUUUGAAGUUAGAUUAUAUUUUCUUAAAUAAGUUUGAUUCAAUCUUAUUUUCGUUGUUCAAUAUAUUUUUUUCUUUUCAAAUUACUUAAUAAAUGGUAAAAUUUUGUUCUAAAUUUCUAGAAAAAUGUUUAUAUACAUGUAUCUUUUUUUUUACAUAUAAUAUCUAUAACUUUUAACAUUAUAUUUAAUUUAUUAGAUAAAUAAUAUAAAAAUAUUAUUAAAUACUUAAAAUAUAAAAAAAAAUAUUUGUUAAAGAUUUAAAAUUUAUUUAGUUUUUUCGUCAUUAUAAAGUUAGUAUAUAAUAAUAAUAAUAAUAUAUCAUUAUUUACUAUUAAUAUUAUUAUGUUUAUUAUUUUGUAUUUGCAUCUAACUUUUAAUUUUAUAAAAUGGAAAUGGUAAAAGUACUAAUAUUGAACCUCUGAAUUUUAUAUUUUGUAGUAUGUUACAAAUUCAAAUCUGAAACACAUGAAUGUUCUAUUAAUGUAGAGAGAAAAAGAGAAAGAUUGUUAAGUGGGGAGGUGUAGGGUAUUUUUGGAAUGAAGAAAAUAGUGGGGAGGUGUAGAAUAUUUUUGAAAUAAAUUAAAUUAACGGGGAGGUAAAAGUCCCACUUGGGGAGGUGUAGGGAGCAACACCCCCAACCUUUUAAUCAAUCUUGUAUCUUCAAUUUUCUAAAAUACUCCUAAUUAAUGAGAUGUUUAUACAAUAAUUUUAUGUUUAUUACAAAAUUCUAUACAGCAUUAAAACCAUAUACCCCAUUUCUUCUAUUAGCAAACAUGCAUCCCUACACCCCGUUUAAAUUGCACUUCUUCUUUUUUGUUUCUUUCCAUUAUUUCCUUUAUUUUCAUUAAGUUUCUGAGUACUCCACAUCCGAUAUUCACUUUGAUGGUUUUAAAAUUUAUUUUACAUUGACUUUUUAAUUAUUCUAUUAGUUUAUAUAUUCUUUUUUGUAAUUUUUGUAUAAAUUUUCAUUAAUUUAUAAAUAUUUAAUAUAAUUUAUAAUGUUGAAAAAUAAUUUAUAUAAUUUAAUAAACAAAAUUUGUGAAAAAAGGAAAAAUAGAUGUAUGAAAAUAUAUACAUCGGUCAGAUAUGGAUAUCCUAUAUACUCUAUAUCAAAUAUAGAGAGCCGAUACGUAUUGAAAAUUUAUUUAUCGCAUUUGGACAUGCGAUACUUAUAAAUUUGAUUAUCCCAUUUGGAAAAUGGGAUACAAAUAUUUUUGUCGCAGAUCUGAUUAAAUGUGUAUAAUUUUUGGUAUAAUAUAUUAUUUAGUGUUUCGUUAUUAGUUUUUCUGAACAUUCAUUUCAUUUAAUUCUGCAAGUAUAUAUAAAAGGAAACACGUGUUAACAAGUAGUAAGGCUUUAGUUUGAUAAGCUAAUAAUUUUUUCAAGAGUGACCGAAUUUGUUGUCACAUAUCUUCACUAAUAUCUCCCACCAUUCUAUCACAAUUUCAUCACUCCAUCACUCAACCCACAUAUUCUAGCUCCCUUUACUCCACUUCACUUACAUUAAAAAAAAUCAUUAAAUAACAAACUAAAUUAAAAGACAAAAGGUAAUUAUUCACUAUAUUAAUUAGAUUAAAUAUUAAAAAUGAGUAGGUAAGUUCUUUUCAAAAUGGGUACUUCUGCAACAUGUUUAACUGAAGAAGCAUCUUCAUUAAUGGAAGCUCUGUCUCUUCUCAUGUGGCCUGCAUGUGCUUGUCCCGUCAUUGUCCACAAAUGGUACACUCGUGCAGUAAAUAUUUUAUUCUAUUCUUGAAUACCACAACAUUUUAUAACCAGAAAUUAUGAAUUGUGAGUAAAUAUUUUUUCCGAUAGUAGGUAAGUUCAUUUCAAAAUGGUACUCCUGCAACAUGUUUAACUGAAGAAACAUCUUCAAUAAUGGAAGUUCUGUGUCUUCUCAUGUGGCCUCCAAGUGCUUGUCCCAAUGAGAAUUGUUGUCCCCAUUUAAUAAUGAACUGUAAGAAAGUAUAAAUGACAUAUAAUUUGAAGGAAUUCUUCUGAAAAGAAAUAAUAAUGAUUUUAAUGUUGGAAGCAGUGGGCACUGAAACCAUUCAAAAGAAAACAGCUUGUGAAGAACAAAAUUAGUUCAUAGGAUUAGUAUAAAAUGUGUUCUUCGUAAUUAGGAAAAAAUCUCUUUAACAAUUUUUUUUUUACAAAAUUAGUUGAUAGUGAUUAGUAAAAAAAAUUAUUGUGAUUAAAUAAAUAAAAAUGUAUAAACUUAUUAUAUUUAAUUAUAAUAAAAAAAAUUAUAAUAAAUAUUUGUUUAAGUAAAUUUAUUAUAUUAAACAAAAAUAAAUUUAUAAAGAAAUAAUUUUUUUUUAUUUUUGAUUACAUAAUUACAAUUAUAAAUUAUUUAAUUAAAAUAAUUAAAUAAAAAAUUUAAUUUAAUUACAAAAAUAAUUAAAACCAUAAAAUUUAUUUAUUUUAUAAUNNNNNNNNNNNNNNNNNNNNNNNNNNNNNNNNNNNNNNNNNNNNNNNNNNNNNNNNNNNNNNNNNNNNNNNNNNNNNNNNNNNNNNNNNNNNNNNNNNNNNNNNNNNNNNNNNNNNNNNNNNNNNNNNNNNNNNNNNNNNNNNNNNNNNNNNNNNNNNNNNNNNNNNNNNNNNNNNNNNNNNNNNNNNNNNNNNNNNNNNNNNNNNNNNNNNNNNNNNNNNNNNNNNNNNNNNNNNNNNNNNNNNNNNNNNNNNNNNNNNNNNNNNNNNNNNNNNNNNNNNNNNNNNNNNNNNNNNNNNNNNNNNNNNNNNNNNNNNNNNNNNNNNNNNNNNNNNNNNNNNNNNNNNNNNNNNNNNNNNNNNNNNNNNNNNNNNNNNNNNNNNNNNNNNNNNNNNNNNNNNNNNNNNNNNNNNNNNNNNNNNNNNNNNNNNNNNNNNNNNNNNNNNNNNNNNNNNNNNNNNNNNNNNNNNNNNNNNNNNNNNNNNNNNNNNNNNNNNNNNNNNNNNNNNNNNNNNNNNNNNNNNNNNNNNNNNNNNNNNNNNNNNNNNNNNNNNNNNNNNNNNNNNNNNNNNNNNNNNNNNNNNNNNNNNNNNNNNNNNNNNNNNNNNNNNNNNNNNNNNNNNNNNNNNNNNNNNNNNNNNNNNNNNNNNNNNNNNNNNNNNNNNNNNNNNNNNNNNNNNNNNNNNNNNNNNNNNNNNNNNNNNNNNNNNNNNNNNNNNNNNNNNNNNNNNNNNNNNNNNNNNNNNNNNNNNNNNNNNNNNNNNNNNNNNNNNNNNNNNNNNNNNNNNNNNNNNNNNNNNNNNNNNNNNNNNNNNNNNNNNNNNNNNNNNNNNNNNNNNNNNNNNNNNNNNNNNNNNNNNNNNNNNNNNNNNNNNNNNNNNNNNNNNNNNNNNNNNNNNNNNNNNNNNNNNNNNNNNNNNNNNNNNNNNNNNNNNNNNNNNNNNNNNNNNNNNNNNNNNNNNNNNNNNNNNNNNNNNNNNNNNNNNNNNNNNNNNNNNNNNNNNNNNNNNNNNNNNNNNNNNNNNNNNNNNNNNNNNNNNNNNNNNNNNNNNNNNNNNNNNNNNNNNNNNNNNNNNNNNNNNNNNNNNNNNNNNNNNNNNNNNNNNNNNNNNNNNNNNNNNNNNNNNNNNNNNNNNNNNNNNNNNNNNNNNNNNNNNNNNNNNNNNNNNNNNNNNNNNNNNNNNNNNNNNNNNNNNNNNNNNNNNNNNNNNNNNNNNNNNNNNNNNNNNNNNNNNNNNNNNNNNNNNNNNNNNNNNNNNNNNNNNNNNNNNNNNNNNNNNNNNNNNNNNNNNNNNNNNNNNNNNNNNNNNNNNNNNNNNNNNNNNNNNNNNNNNNNNNNNNNNNNNNNNNNNNNNNNNNNNNNNNNNNNNNNNNNNNNNNNNNNNNNNNNNNNNNNNNNNNNNNNNNNNNNNNNNNNNNNNNNNNNNNNNNNNNNNNNNNNNNNNNNNNNNNNNNNNNNNNNNNNNNNNNNNNNNNNNNNNNNNNNNNNNNNNNNNNNNNNNNNNNNNNNNNNNNNNNNNNNNNNNNNNNNNNNNNNNNNNNNNNNNNNNNNNNNNNNNNNNNNNNNNNNNNNNNNNNNNNNNNNNNNNNNNNNNNNNNNNNNNNNNNNNNNNNNNNNNNNNNNNNNNNNNNNNNNNNNNNNNNNNNNNNNNNNNNNNNNNNNNNNNNNNNNNNNNNNNNNNNNNNNNNNNNNNNNNNNNNNNNNNNNNNNNNNNNNNNNNNNNNNNNNNUUAUAAAUUAUUUAAUUAAAAUUAUUUUAUAAAAAAUUUAAUUUAAUUACAAAAAUAAUUCGAAUAUAAAAUUUAUUUUUUUAAUAAUAUUAAAAAAUUUAAUUAUUAAUUAGAUAUAAUUUUAAUUAUUUAAAAUAUAUUUAAAAGCAUUAUUUAUAAAUUAUAAAAGAUUUUAAUUAAUAAAAAAAUUUAAAAGUAAAAAGAAAAUAAAAAGUGAAAACUUUAGGGGGUUGCACGACUUUAAUAGUAGAAGUCGUCAAACCUCAUACGACUUCGUUUGUUUUUUAUUUUUUUUGUUAAAAAUGUCUUGGUAAUCGAUUACAAGUAUCUGGUAAUUACCAUGCCUUAAAGUCAAAUGAACAGUAUGAAGUCGUGCAGGGGUGGCACGACUUCACUUUUUGCCUAUUUUCGUAAUAUUAUAGGCAAAUUUGCCUACGGGGGUUAAAAAACCCAAGUUUUAAUAUAAGGCAAGAAAAUCCCAACAAAAGAAGACUGAACAAUUUCAAAUACUAGUUAUAUUGAUGCAGAGCUCCAUAUCAAGGAUCGAUUUCUAAUUCAGAAUAGCUACAAAUUUCAGAGGCUGGAGAUUUAUUUAUUCCAACCACUUGAAAUGACACCAUCCAAUUAACAAGUGAAUCUAAUAUAAUGAAAUUUGAUUUUCAAUUCUGCUCAGCAUGUAUGAUACUAUAAAACAGGGUUGGUGAAAAUCAUUUUUCUGCAUAAGGAAACUUUGCAUUAUAUACAACUUUUCCUAUAGCUAUGCAAGGAAAUUUUGCCUAACACAACUGAUAUGUUAGUCAUUCAAAUAUGUUAGUGAAUGAAAUAAAACAAGUAAAUGGCUCUGUAAAUCUAUUCAAGUAAAUCUUACUGUGAAACUAUUGGAAAAUGUACCGUAUGAGCCGGACUUCCAUGUAAAGCGCGCGAGAUGGACGGUCACGCAGAUGGCAGAGUCUGAUCUCAAGUUGGACUCGUUUCUCGCCAAAGCUCUCUGGCAUAACGGGCGGUACGGGCGUCCGGUGGAGGUUGCAGAUUAAAAUAUGGUAAGCAUUCAGGAUUAAGGUAAAACCAAAUCAACCGUGGCGGGCCUGUGAUUGGACCGUAAUUAAGAUUUCGCUAAUCAUUGGCCCAUGAAGAAAACUAUAAAUAUAAGUCAAAGGUAAGAGGUAGGUGGUUACAUUUAAUACGCAUUUAUUUCACUCUCUUUCUAUCUCUACCCCUUUUAUCUAACUAUUGACACUGACUUGAGCGUCGGAGUGCCAUUAACAGGUAUCUGACCGGAUCCAGUGGAAGUCGAGCAUUGAUCAGAGGACAACCGGGCGGAAAGAGUUGAAGACCGGAAGGUUGGCUGCGGAAAAUUGUGUAUGAAGAUUUGAGACAUUUCCAACCGGAAUAGAAAACAAUAAAGAAUAAAUAAAACAGAGGUUUAGUUAAUCUCAAUGACAAGUCCAUCGUGUCAGGACUAAAAAAUGCACUAUGAACAAGACCAUUGGGUUACAAUAAAUUACCCUAACUAUACAUAUCUUCCAUUGUUCCCUUUUGAUCUCGACAAGGAUGUUUUCAAUUUAUCCACCAUUGAGGAAAUAUUUAAACACCUGCGCUGUGGUUGAUAAUCCACGAGGAAAGGUGUCUUCAAUCCAAACUAUUUACUCAUAUCAAAACUAACAGGGGAAACUUGUGCUUGAAGAUUUGAAGUGCUUGUUCAGUGCUUCCAUGAAAGCAAGGUCUCGUCCUUGAGUGCAUUGAGAUCAGAGUUACAUGUAACGAGUAGAAACUGUUCCAAAGUAAGCUUAGCAGCCACCAACAGACAAAAUAAAACAUAAAACGAAAUAAAAGUCAUCCAACAAUGAUUUUGUGAUAACGAACCAUAAUACAGUAAUAAUUUUGUUGUCACAUAAUAUUCACUAAUAUAUCUCCCACCAUUCUAUCACUAUUUCAUCACUCCACCACUGAAACCACGUAUUCUUGCUUCCUUUACUCCACCUCACUUACAUUGAAAAAAAAGCACUAAAUAACAAACUAAAUUUAAAGGCAAAAGAUAAUUAUUCACUGUAUUAAUUAAAUUAAAUAUCAUUUUAUAUAUUAAAAAUUAUUCAUAUGUAAAAUAAUUUUUAUUAUUAAUAAAAAUAUAAUUGGUUUGUGAACUCAAAUUAAUCCCUAACAUUUUAUUAAAUAGAAACGUUAACACAAAAAUAAUAAUUUAUAUACAAAAAAUAUGCUCACAUUUUUGUAAAUAAAUAAAAACAAUUUACGUAAGACAUUUUAUUAUUUGACAUAAAACAUGUCGUUUACGUCAGACACUAUUAUAUAUUUGACUUUACAUUGUGUGUUUUUCAUGCAAUAUACAUUUAUGUGCCUCACAAUGACAUUGGACUCGAAAUUAAUAUGAAAGAUCUUUAAUACCUUAAUAAGGCUGAUUUAGAAUCAACAAUAUUAAGUAAUUAAAACAUUAAUAACUAAACAAAUUUAAACUCUAAUCCCCUAGUUAAUUAUAAUUUUUUAUUAAUAAUAAAAACCAUUUUAAAUACAAAUACGUUUUAGUUAAUAAAAUAAUAUAUAAUUUAGUGAAUAUAAUAUUUAAUUAUGUUUAGUGUUAGUUGUUAUCUAAUGAUUUUAUGAUAAUGUUACCUAUCUCCAUAGGUUAGUUUAUCACAAGAAAAAGGAUGAAUGAAAAGAUUUUACAUUCAUCCACAACCAUGUCCAUGUCGUGAAGCUCUGUGUUGCAUCAUAACACCUUCAUCAAUAGUCCCAUUCUUGAAUACCACAACAUCUUAUAAACAGAAAUUAUGAACCCUUCGAUGAUUUAGGGCCACUUUUGGGCUGAGUUUGAUUAUCACCUUGAGUUGGGCUUGUACUUAUGGCCUAUUGAGAAAAUUAAAAAAAAAAUGAACAACAUUANAAGGGCCCAACCGGGUUCGAACCGGUGACCUCUUGAUCUGCAGUCAAAUGCUCUACCACUGAGCUAUGGACCCUUCGAUGCCUUACAAAAGAAUUAUAAAAUUAUCAUUUUCUUAUGGAAUAUCAUUUUUUUAAUAUUAAUAUGUAUCAAAAUAAUUUAAAUACUUAACUAGUAAGUGAGUAUAACUCGGUGUAUGAAAUAAAUAUAUUAAAAUUCAUCUUAAACGAACAAAAAGAUAAAGAGUAUUUAAAAUGAUAAAAACAUGAUUAGUUCUUAUAAAGUUCAAAUUAAAAUGUCCCCUUUUAAAAACAGUAAUGUUCUCAGUGUAAUAAAUUUUAGUUUGACGAACAAGAGUAAGAUGACUAUGUAUUUUCAAAUAAGAUCUAUUGUGACAUAUUGUAAUUUGUUUCGUUUUUGUAUUUAUUUUUAAAGUGUGAUUAAUGAAUUUCAAAGUUGAAAAUAAUUACAAUAAACAACUGUUGUUUAAACGCAAAUCUCCAUAACUUAAUUAUUAAUGAUUCUUAAUAAAUGUGAACAAAACAAAAUAUAAGAUUGAGAUUGAUUUAAAAUUAAUCCAGGGAGACACAAUUAAAUAAAUAUGUAUGAAAUAUAAUAAGCUAUGUUAUUGAACUUUAUCUAUUGUAAUAAAGUAAUUAUUUAUUUAGAUGUAUAAAAUAGUAAUAAAUCAGAAGUUUUUCAUUAAGUGAUUUGUUGUUCAUAACACAUUCCGUUAACAAAUCAAAAAAUAUUGGAUACCUAGGUAUGAAAACGUGUGAUUUAUUGUUCAUUAAGUGUUGUCAUGAGUGAUUUGUUGUUCAUAACACAUUCCGUUAACAAAUCAAAAAAUAUUGGAUAUCUAGGUAUGAAAACGUGUGAUUUAUUGUUCAUUAAGUGCUCUCAUGAGGAUUGAUUUGAUACGUUUUCAUAUCAUAGGGACUAAAGGUUGACAUUUUUAAAAGCGGGAACUAAACUGAACAUCAAAACUUAACUUAAGGACAAAAAAGGGUUUAAACCUAAAUUAUAAGAAAAAAACUUAUUUAUAAAAUAUUUAGUAGAGUUUGUACCUUUUUUAACUAAAGAGGACCUUGGCCACUCAAGUUAAUUAAAAAAGAAAAAAAAAAAAGUCUUCAAUCUAAUGGGACGCAUGCAUAAUCUAGUUCCUUCACUUUCAGCCAGAGGUUGUUUAUUUUAUAGGACACUUUCAAUGAAACAUUACAUUGAAAAUUUGUCUUUGAAUAGUAUUUGGUUACUUAUUAUUAAAGUUUGGUAUGCCUUUAGUCUAUUUUGUCAUAGUCUUUUCAUAACGACUUUUACCACUGUUUAUAGUACUGUAAAGAAAAUAGUAUAGUAACUUAUAGUAAAAUAAUAAAUAAUGAAAACAAUAAAAAAUAGUUUUUAAAUAUAUAAUUGGUUGAAUAAUUUUAUAAACGAAAAUACUAUCUCUUUCUGCCAGCAUUUGAUUCACUACGGGAAUUAAGUAUACGUUGAAAUUCGUUGCACAAAAUUUUGUUUUCUUCACCAAAGACCUUUGAUAGCAAGUGAACACUGAGAGCUUUUAUAAAAAAAUAAACAAACACAGGAAAAGACCUACGAGAUUUGAUUGUCUUUUUAUAAAAUAUUUUUGUUUACAGAAAGUCUUACUUAGUGAUCCAAAUUCUUGAGAACUUCACUCUCCAAUGAGUAUUGGUUUAAUGAGUCACCAUAAUUCAGUAAAAUUGAUAGAUAUAUUAGAUUGAUUCAUUAAUUUUACUUAGUGUUUUUAAUAUUUUUUAUAUAUCAUAUCAUGACUGAGUUCUAAAUUAUAACACAGUGAGUUAAUUUAACUAAUCUAAUAUAUCUAUUUUCAAAUUUUCUUAGAUCAAAUAGAGUAUUUCAAAUUAAUAGGUCAACAAAUUUCAUUUACAACACAAUAUCAAAAUAUAAAAAUUAAUAAUAGAAAUAACUAUUUUUUGUUAUUUGGAAUUCAUAUUCUCAAUAAUAAUUCUACAAUUCAUACAAGCUAUUCAAAACUUAGGAAUUUAAAACAAAGUAUUUAAAUAUAACAAAAUUCAAUGUAUGAUAAAAUAAGUUGAGAUUAUAUUUUUUUAACUAACCUCAUCAAGAUUAAUGAUAAAAUAAUACAAAAAGUAAGAAGAAAAGAGGUUUAUGGAGUACACAAAAACUUACUACUCAAAAUUUUCAUUAAACAGAAAUGUUCUUUAACUUCGAGGUAAAUUUUAAAAGAUACGAGAUAUGAAAAAGAAAAUAAAAAUAGAAAAGAGAGAAAUUUAAAGAGAAAAAAAAAUGGUAAAAAAGCAUAAUCUUACAUUAAUUAAUAUAAGUUUAUUAGUUAACUUAAGAAUUACAGUUGGAACUAUUUAUUCAUUGUUUAGUGAAGAGUAUUUGUUAAUUUAAGAUGUUUUAAAAUAACGAGACUUAAUAUUUUAAUGUUAAAAUAAUUUCAUAAUAUAAAUAGAAUUUUACAAAUUCAUCUUAUUAUUUAAAACACUUAUUAUCUCUUUAUAAUUUUUGUUCUAAGUUUUCAUUUCCCUUCUCUUUAAGACAUAUGACUCUUGAAUAAUUUGUUUGACAAUCAAGAAGUGUCUAAGAAAUCACAAUGAUAAACUCUUCAAUCAUUACCGAUCAAUUUUCAUUGUAGAGCAAGUAAGUUUAUGCUAUUUUUUCUUUAAUUCGUAGUUUAAGAAGCAUGUAAUUAGAGUUUUCACACAUGUGUCGUCCGUUUCUCUUUUCUAGUUUCUUGUUGAUCAGAGGUUUUGAGAAAUGAGUUUGAUCACAAUUUUGUAGUUUGUAAGUGUUUCUAGAGUUCCUUAAAUUUGAAACAAGGGUAGUGCAUGUAUUGAGCUUAGUACCAUUUCUCAUAAGGUAAUGGAAGGAAGUAUUUUAUUUUAAACUGAGUUAUGAAUUAUGAACUAAUACUUAAUAGAAUCGAAGUUAAUUUUAUGUUGAUUUUUAUGCUUGGAAUAAGUGUUUCUAGUAGUAAGUGUUUGAAUGAUUGAACUUGGUUGAAUAAUUUUGUUUGAAUUUGAUUAUUGUAUCAAAUGUUGUGAUUGUGAAGUUUGUUGGUAAUAAAUUGGUUCAAAUAUUAAGAAGAAACAAUUUAGGUUGAGUUAUUAGUCGUUUUAAAAAGUUAAAUAUACAUAUUUCUUUAUUGAUAAUUUAAAAAGUUAAAUAUAUUUAUACUCGUACUUAAUCAAUAUAAUUUUUUUAAUUAAAACAAAAAAUAAUUUAAAACUAAUUUUUUAUCCUUAUUUUACUGUAUUUUCAGAAUACAUUAAUUUUGAUAUUUUAAAACAUUUGAUAAUUUUUUUAAUAUUAAAAUUAAUAUACCAUAAAACCAUAUAAAAAAUAAUACGAAUAUUCUACCAAAAAAAAUUUGACUGAUAAUAUGUUUUUACAAGUUUUGUCGUCUUUGUUUCAAAGUUUUUUUUUGUUUUUUUUUUUUAUUUUUGGGAGUGGGUACCAUUCUGAGUACCCCUAAUUGUGUCCAUGCUAAAGCCUAUUAUGUUGUUGGUGCUCAUUCAAGGAAAUACAUGGACAUGUGAAGAAUUAAAUGGCUGGAUAUUUUUUCGAGACUCCCUCUUAUCUUUUAAAUUGAGGAAAAUUCAUAAAUGUAGUGUAAUUUUUGUUGUAAUUCAUUGAAAUGAUAAAUAUUAAAAAAAUAACCCGUAUUUUUGUACUUCCAAAUGAAUAGUUUUCAAAUUAAAAAAAUCAUGUUUCAAUGUAUAAUUAGCUUAUUUUAAUUGGGUUAAAUAGUAUUUUUCAAUAUAUUUUCUAUUUAUUUUACUGAAAAAUUUCACUUUUUUUAACUUAAGUCGGUGCUCAAUACGACUAAACUCAUGUUCAUUAAUAUAAUUGUAUUUAGAGCUGUAAUUUUACCACUUUCUAUUGCAAAUAUACCAAAAAAAAAACACUUAUACAUGCAAGCAUGAUUUAACUAAGAAAAUUAAGGUUGUAUUAGAAAGAUUUUAGGUUAAUUAAAAAUAACGAAAAUUGGGUAUUAGAAUGCUAUUUAUUUAUAUAAAUUAUUCGUUGAGUGUUACUAAUUUUGGCAAAUUAAAAAACUAAUACCAAUAUGAUAAGUUUUCCUAAAUUCCAUAAUUGCAAGUUGCGAACAAAUUGAAUGGCAAUUAUGGCUAAAGUGUAGUCAUUGUCACUGCCACAAUGCAACACAGCUUUCAUGCCGUUGCCCAUUAAUAUGUAGCCAUUCCUAACCUCAAAUCCUUUAUUUUUGCACGUGCAUUGCAUUUCCUUUUCCAUAAUUGAUGAUUCAACUAGUGACUCAAAUUAAUAAAAGGUUUCAUAUAAUUUUAAAAUAAUAUCUUUAUGAUUUUUUUUCUUUAUAUUUAUCUUAUAAUGAUAACUUCUUGUUAUACUACAACAUUAGACAGUUUCAAGUUUUUCACGUUCAUUUUAUAGCAGUACUUCUUUUAAAUUGUUAAACUUGAUAGUUUGUUUCAGUGAGUCGUUAACGCGAAUACAAUAAUUUUGUAUGUCAACAUUCUUAAUCAAAUACAAUACCAUAUUUAGAUUUUUUUUUUUAAUUAUCUCUAUUUUAGUUAGUUUGAAACAUACAAAUGUGGUUUUAAACUUGGAUAAGAUUUUAAAAAGUAAUAUUAUAUCCAUGCUAAAAAAGUGACACUUUUAAUGACUAAAAUCUCAUUUAAACUGUUUCUCAUAUGUGCGAAUAUUUUAUAUAUUAUGUAGGUACUUUGAAGACCAAAUUAAAUAGCAAUUAUCAAGAAACUAGUUUAAUUAGUGGAAAAUAUUUUACUCGUAAUGAACUAAUAAAAUACAAAUAUAGUGUUAAAGGAUUAUAUAAAUAAUAAUAAUAAUAAUAAUAGUAGUAAUAAUAAAAACCUUUGGCUCUUGAUUUUUUUCUAAACUUUAGUUAAAUUUUAAAACAGCUGUGCCACUAUUGAUGUAUUUCUUUGUAUAGUUAUGCCAUUAUUGAUUUUGUUUUUUUUUUUUUGAGAAGCCAAAUUACUUUGCCAGUACUUUAAUUUAUAAAUUUUGGCAAAUAUUUAGAAAUAAUAUAUUAAUAAAACAAAAAAAUUUACGAUUUAUUUAUUUUCUCACCCCAGUUUUAAUAAGCACUUUACUCUUUAUUUAAUUUAUUUUGUUUUCAUUUUAUCAUACAUUAUAUACAGCAACAAGGUGAGCAAAAUCCUCCGUUUAAAUUCCCAAAGUACUUUCAUUUAUUAAUAAUAUAAUUUUAGAAAGUUCAUCAGAUCAACAAUAAAUAACACUUUAUUAAGAGUAAUUAAAUACCACUCUUAAAAUGUUUAUUAAUAAUAUGAUUUUAAGAAAGUUCAUCGGAUGAAUAAUAAAUAACACUUUAUUAAGAGUAAUUGAAUACCAUUAUUAUCCUUUCUUUCCAAAAAAAGUAUCAUUUGUUAAAAUUUCAUUAUCUUUACUAACUAAAGCAAUUCGUUUUAUUUUUAUAGUAAUGCCUCAUCACUACAUAAUUCAUUUCUUUCUUUCGUAUCCCUUUCAUCAUUCUCUCUUUUUCAUGUUAUUUAGAAUUAGAAAACAAAAAGAGACACUGAAUGAAAUCUAUAAUGACAAUUCAUAAACAAUUUUACCCUCAAAAUAAUUUGAAGGAGAAGCUCUGAAUAAAAUUAUAAGAAUGUUAAUGAAUUAUUUGACCUAGAUAAACAUGGUAUGAGAAGCUUGACUGUGUAAUUUUUUUUAUUAUAAAAGUAUAUAAUAUAAAUAUAUAUAUAUAAUAGGGCAUGGUGAUGUAGUUUGAAUGAAACGAGUGAAUUAAUGUCACAAUUUGAAUGAUAAGGUUUUUGGGAAAGGGAUUCUCUGUGUGGUCCCUUUACCUUUCCCACAAGGGAAAACUAAUAAAAACAAAACCAACCACCUUCAUUUUAGUUCAUUGCAUUGUAUGGAAGUUUGGUAUGGGUCGCAAUUCACAAAAAUUCAACUCAAUAAAAAAUAAAAAAUGAAAUAGAUAUUUAUGAGAAUUAAUUAUUAGUUUUCUUUCUCCUUGGGAAGAGAGCUUUUAUAGUAGGAUUGGUCGAGAGCAUUAAAUAUUGUGAUUUCUUUUAGCCGACCUAAGUGUUUCUUAACUAUACUACCAUGUCUUAUGAGAUCAUCAAUAUUCUAAAUUAUUAAACAAUAAAUGUUGAGUGGCUUUGGUGGUAGGAUCAAAUUUUAGUUUAUUGCUAUAACUAUUUUGUUCAUGCUAUUUUCAACAAAAUUAUUGUGCCUCGGAAAUGAUUUAUAAUUUUAGUUAAUUGAAAUUGAGGUAGAGACUUUAGAAUAUGAAGCAUGGAUUUUACUUAUUGACAUACAUUUAUCUUUAAAAAAACAUUUUAGUGGGUUAAGAAAUACAUCACAAAAAUGAAAUUCUUCUUUCUUUUAUUUCCACAACGGUGCCAAUGUUUUAAUCUUAAAUUUUCGAUAAAAUUAAUAACUAUAUUACUCUUUUAAAACUUAAUGCUUCCAUUAUAAAUUUGUUCUUAAAUGACAUUUUGACAGGUUAAAAUAAGUUUACUAAAAGUUUCUUCAAUUCAUUACAAAAAAAAAUUAAUUUAUUGACAAUUAAUUAAAUCGAAUUUAAAAUAAAAUUUGAUUUAGACUAAUAUAGUAAAAUUAACUUAAUAGAUUUGAAUUAAUAAUUGCGGAUUGGAUAUAGAUAUUCCUUUUUUUUUCAACAUCAAAAUACGAUACCAUAUUAAUGAGUUGAGCAAAGUUUUAAGUAAACUUAUCUAAGUGUCCAUUUUAUAUUGUAAAUGACAUUUAAAUUUCAGUAAACUCAUCACAUUCACCAGAAUAAAAAAAAUAAAAUACGACAUGUCUUUUUUAAUCGCCAUCUUCGAUUAGUAAUUUUAAUUAUUUAGCUUUUUCUCUUAUUGUGUGUUUUAUUAUUAAUCUCUUAUUUUACAAUAUUCAAACUAAACUUAAAUAAAAAAUAACAGACACUAAACUUUUAUUAUGUUGAUUAUAGCAUUUCAUACUUUUAAAUAUAAUUAUUGUGUACAGUAUCACCAUACUAAUAUACAUAUAUUAUCAAUAUUUUAAAGUGAAAUGAUAAAAUAAUAAAAUAGACAUUGUAAAUAAAGCAAUAAGUAAAAUAUAUAAACAUAAAAUAUCUAAAAUAUAAUAAAAGACUAAUAAACAAACUUUUACCUUAAGUUAAAGAAAGAAAAAGAUACAAGGUACAAUUGAUGAUACAUUUUAAAAAUAAGAUAUAUAUAGGAAAAAUAUUGUUUGACACUCCAUUUGAACCGACAUACACUUGAGAAUUGGUUUUUAUAAUAAAAUAUGUAAUAAAAACAAAAUAUUACAAUAAAGUAAUAUUAUAUGAAGUUGUAAGUUGAAUGUGAGUGAAAAAAUAGAUUGUCUAAAAGUUGGAAGCUAAAUAAUGAUUCUUUCACACAUUUAAAUAUUUUAUAUUUAUUUGAUAUUAUUUUUAAUUUUUAUUUUUUUUUUGAAAAUUAUAAAAUUUUAUAUUUUGUGAACUAUUUUAUCUUUGUAUUACAUGGAAAAUGAAUAUAAAAAUAUGUCCUCUUAUUAUUACUCUUACGAAAUACUGAUGAAACAAGUUAUGUAAGCAGUUAAGAAAGAAGUUAUAAGCUGACAUAACAUAACCCUAAUUUUGGCGUUAACGCAAUGAAAAGAAAAUGACGUGUUGAAGAAGUUGUUAAAAGCAAAUAAGUUGAAUAGUUUUGAGGCACCUUGACCAUAAAUGAAGAAGAGUUGAUUGGUAGGUAAGUGAUUGAAUGUGUGAACAGAGUUUCAACUGUGAGAAUUAAAUGCAGUUGUGAAUAAGAGAAGGAUUUACAAUCUGUCAUAUGGCAACUGCUUUCAUUUUUCAUAAUCUAUUUUCCGUAACUGCAUAUAUAAUGUAUUCCUAUCUACAUCUGUGUAUAUAUAUUUUCUAAGACAGUGCUGAGUUUGUGUAACAACUCAGAAGGUUUGACAUAUUACUGAGACUAUGGUUGGUGUUAUUUCGUUGGUAACUGGGAUGAUUGGUCCAAGUGGCUUUGGAUCAGCUUCCACUGCAGAACAAGUUACAGAAGGAAUCGAUGCUGCCAACCUCACUGCAAUUAUCACAGGUCAGUUUUAACACAUAUAUAUCACAAUCUUCAUCUUAUUAUGCAGAGUUAAACUCUACGUAAAUCCCAUGGCUUUAUAUUUAUAAGCAUUAACUAACGUAACAGAAGUUAACUAAAUCACGUAAUAUUCUGCAUUACUCCAUCUUCAGGGAAGCUUUUCAUAUUUUCUCAUGUAAAAGUUGUUUCUGACACAGACAACCUGCACUUGAACUGAUGCUGAAGAUGAAAUUAGUAUAUAUAUAUUUAUAUAUAUGGGAAUCCCUUAUUCUAUUCGUUCUUUCCUAUUUUUUCUUUCAUUAUAUUUUUUAUAUUAAUCAUGUAUUAGAAUUUUAAAAAAUAAUUAAGAGUGAUAAUAGAAAAUAGCUAAUUAGAGUAAACUGUAGAAUCUCCCUUGUAACAUGAAAAAGUUUUCUUUAAAAGGAAGGUGAUUAUGAGAAGGAAAAUGUUGUAUAUACAUCUUUCGAUUUUCUUAUUCCUUCUACCGUGUAAUAAACAAAUAAUACUUUUCUAAACUCUUGUGCUAAUAAGCAACUCGUAAAAAGUCUACCUAUAUAGUAUUUUUUUUCCACACACCUACCUACGAAUUAUCAACUUCAAGCUCCCACACAUACGUAAGAGCGCGGACUUAUUUGACAAGUAUUAUCAGAGUUUGUCAGUGAAACCUUAAAUAUAUAUAUAUAUAUAUAUAUAUAUAUAUAUAUAUAUAUAUAUAUAUAUAUAUAUAUAUAUAUAUGUAUGUAUGUAUAACACUAAACGUAAGUAGUUACCUUUUAUUAGUGUGAUAAAGUUCUUCAAAAGUAUGAUAUUGAUGAAUAACAUGUCAUAAAAUUGUUUCAUUGUUUAUAAUUGCUUCAAAUGUUUGAAAGAAACGAACUGUUCUAAGUAACAUGAGAGAGUCAGACAUAUUUGUUUUCAUGUGUUGUAAUGAUUAAGAACUCAAAGUAACUCUUACACAGGAGGAGCAAGUGGAAUUGGGUUGGAGACAACACGAGUGUUGGCACUUCGGAAGGUUCAUGUGAUCAUUGCAGUAAGAAACAUGGUGUCUGCAAAAGAAGCUAAACAACGUAUACUAGAAGAAAAUGAGUCUGCACGAGUCGACAUAAUGAAGCUCGAUCUGUGCUCUCUCAAUUCUGUGACAUCCUUUGUCGACAACUUCAUAGCUCUUGAUCUUCCUCUCAAUAUCUUAAUGUUGGUUUUCCUUUUAGUUUUACAUCACACCUUCUAUCUCAUCUAUACUCAAUUUCUGAGUUUAUUAAUGCCUUUGAGUUGGUCAUUUCAAGUAUAUGUGGAUCAUAACAUUGGCUUUUCAUGUCAGAAACAAUGCUGGAGUAAUGUUCUGCCCCUUCGAACUCUCAGAGGAUGGGAUCGAGAUGCAGUUUGCAACAAACCAUCUUGGUAAAGUCUCAACAUUCUUGCAUGACAUUCUUUGGUUUACUCCUUACUGGUAGUAAAAGUGUUUCCUUUUCUCAUCUUUUUUGACAUCUCAGGUCAUUUCCUGUUGACAAACCUGCUUCUUGAAAAAAUGAAGCAAACAGCACAAGCCACUGGAAUAGAGGGCAGGAUCAUAAAUCUGUCAUCAAUUGCCCAUAACUACACUUACAUAAAAGGGAUUAGAUUCAAUAAAAUCAAUGAGCGAAAAGGGUAUUUUCACUUUUCUUCUGGCCUGAACUUUCUGCAUCAUGACAGUGAUUUUGAUCAGUGGAACAUCACAUUUUCUUUUAACUAUUGCUUUCAGUUAUGGUAACAAGAAGGCUUAUGGACAGUCCAAGUUAGCAAACAUACUGCAUACAAAUGAGCUUUCUCGUCGCCUGCAGGUCAUCCAUUUAAUCCUGUGCUUCUCCACAAAAAAAAAAUGUGACAGAAUGAAUGUGUUGCACUUUCUGAUCGCAUUUUGUUUCAGUGUUUUGUUUUUGCCACCGAUUUCUUCCAAUGAUCAUAUUGAUAAGAGAAACUAGCAAAAGGUUUUUUCCUUCUUUGAUGAUACCAAAAUUGAGCAUGUAAUAUUUUAUCUGUUUGUUCUUCUUGAUAUUUGAGUGCAGGAAGAGGGUGUGAACAUCACAGCAAACUCAGUCCAUCCAGGAGUAAUAAUGACACCUCUUAUGAGACAUUCUUCUUACCUUAUGCGUAUGUUAAUUUUCCUCAAACACAAACAAAACUACACAAGUAAAUUAUAUGCACUUUUUAAAGUUACUCCUUUGUAACACCAUACCAUGAUUUCUCCCAGACUUCUUGAAGAUCUUCACCUUUUACAUAUGGAAGAACGUCCCUCAGGUAUGUUUUUCCUUCAUUUUAAAAUUCCAACAUAGGUCGAGCAGAAUGUUCCGUUUGAAAUGGUUCCGAAGUCCAAAUAUGUUGUCACUAAUCAAAGGUUAAUUUCUGAAAUAACAAAAAUCAUAGGGAGCAGCCACGACAUGCUAUGUUGCUCUCCACCCAAACGUGAAAGGUGUAACUGGGAAGUACUUUGUGGAUUGCAAUCUAUGCAAGCCAAGUGCGCAUGCCAAAAACAAACAUCUAGCAAAGAAACUCUGGGAUUUCAGCAACGAGUUGAUCAAAUCGAUUUUAAAAGUUUGAAUACUCUCGCAGCUUGAUGUUUUCCUCCUUAACUAGGGACAAAAGCCACUUGAAGUCUAUGAGAAAUGUUGCAGCUAAUGCAAUAAGAAGAACGUUACAGUUAUAUAUAAUUCCAGUUUGUUCUCAGAGGAUGUUUCUGAACUUUUGAUUUCUUGAGACUUUUCUAGAAGAAAUUUAUUGAAUUUUUAUUUAUAAUACUAAUGAGUCAUGAACAAACUACAUAAAAAUGAAAAAUCUUGUGCACCUGACUAACUGAGUACUUCAUUUUGAACAUCUUUACCGUGAAAGUUUUCCAAUCAUAUCAAAAAGAGCAGCAAAAGAAUGUCCAUGUAACAAUAAUUGAGCAAUAAAAGAAUGUCCACGUAACCAAAUUAGAGUAUUGUUGUCUCGUUAAAACAAUGGCAACAUGUACACAAAUAUGCUAAAGACACUAAUACAUUUUGAUGUUCGAAUGUGAUCAACUCUCGGUUUAAGGCAAGGGAACCUCAACAAAAUUUGGUAAAAAUAGGGGGAUGACUGCUAGUCAUGUCCGGGACCUAUUUUAUAUAAUAAGAUAUUAUAGGUUUCGAGGAUCUCGUGGAUAUUGAACUUCCUAAGAACCAAUCAAAGUACAGAAACACAUUAUCGUACACUGGUAGUCUGAUUCUGAAAUUUAAAAUAGCAUUUCAUUUUAUUACAGCAAUCUUUGCCAUUUUUAUUCCUUGAAAUGAAAAUAACAGCUUCAGAAAAUUAUUCACCGUUAGCAUUGAAUGAAGUACUUGCUUUAACUGAAAAUAAGAUUGAUCAUCGUCCUCAAUCUAACUCCCCAGAUGAUUGGCAUACCCGAAAGAUAAAUAAUUCAGAAAUCUAUUACGAACACAUCAUUGCUAACAUUUGACAAUCUUGUGUGGAUUUUAAAAAAUAAAUAAUCUCAUAUAUACAAAAGGAAACAGUUUAGCUCAAUUUCACAGCCAAUCGCCACGUCAGGCCGUGUUCAUCAGAAGCUCUUCUCAACAACAAAUUAUCGAAAUCUGUGAUCUGGGUCAAAUUUCAGGUGACACAUAAUCGAAUUUUGUUAAUUCUUUUGUGUCAGAUUGAUAUGACCCAUCUCGAAUUACGAUCUGAUUCUAAGAGGAAUACCCAGUUAGCUUUCAUCUCAACGAGUUUAAUCAUGCUCCCACAAGCCCGCAGCUCGCAGCACGCAAGCAGAAGCCGCUACAAUGGCUGCUGCAAAGACGGGUGGAACGAUUAGGUCAACCUUGGACUUCACGAACAUGUGAGGAGGAAAACACAGGAUGUUUCCUGGAACAUCCAAGGGCAUUCUAAUGGACCCAUCACUGCUGCACUUCUGAGAGAACGAAGAGGAGGGGGAUAUGGCGGAGACAAACGCCACCUGCGGUGAGAUAGAAGCCACUGCCGCCGUCAACGUCAGAAGCGUUAUCCAAGUGGCGGCAUAGGUUACCAUAGGCCAUGUGAAGUGCAAACGGACCAAGCUAGAGAACCAGAAAAAUGACAUGGUGGGAAGCUCUUGGUGGUUGAUAAGAUAGUUGAUGCAAUCUUUAUAAACAAGACAGGAAUGCAGUUAAAUUGGUGCGAAACUACCUAAUCAUAACUACUUUUAGAGUGAUUUUGGUAUGGAAAAAUGGUAAGCGAUGGACCAAUGAGCAUUGAAGUGGAGGAUGACUUUAAAGAGUCAUAUGACGGGCUUGCUGACCAAGUUUAGAGGUGUGGGAUUGGCUAUACAGACCAUGCUUUAGAGUGACUUUCGCAAAAUUAAAAUUAAGAGCGUUCUACACGUGGAAACAAAACAGGGUAGUUGGCGGAUUCGUUGUUUCCGCACUUUAGUUCACAGAGAUCAAAUCGGAAUUCUGCUUCCGGUUUUUCACAUUUUAGGCCAAGAUACUGUUCCUGUUCUGCAGGUUACGUGUAUAAUUUGUUUGGUAGUGAGAAAACAAAUUCGAAGAUACUCCCUUAAGGCCAGAAAAUAUCAUGAAUUUCCGUAAGAAUUUAUGAAAGAGCCUGUGUUUUUCGCUUCUUUACUUGAUUCUACGCAUUUUAUUUAGUGAAUAACUAUAUAUAGACACAUUACACAUAACAUAAGGUUGGGAUCCAUGUUUACUAGAAAAUUUACAUAAGCAACAGUGCAAAAGCAACUAUAAAUUGCUUCCGCGGAAUCACGUCCAGCCAGCGGUAACAAAUGUGUUACCAAACACACUGAGAGUUGUCACAGAUUAUACAGCUCAUUCAACUGAAGGAAAUUUCACCAUGAAAUAAAGGCAGUCCAGAUUGGACGUGUCACUCGCGAGAAGACAGAAUGAAACAAUGUAUACAAAAAUCUAGUGAAUGUAGUUUGUAGCAGCUUUAAAUUCGGUGACUGGUGGAGGGUGAUGAUGUGUUCCCCACCUUCAGAGCAAGCCAUAGAAAAAUGCAGAAUGAGACACAAAGGAAAGCGAGCAUAAUUACAACCACAGAUUUGAACGAGAUGAGCGGGGCGAAAAAGAACACGAUAGCAAUUGUAGCGCAUUGCCAUAUCUUUAGCUGAGCAAAAGCCCCUUCCUGCACCGAAAGCACGAGACUUGACAUUAGAGGCAACUUAAACUAAGGUCACACUAGAAUAAACUUUUCCAUAAAUACUUUCGGAGGGAAAAAAAUAUCAAGAUAAAAUGAAAUGAUAUUUUCUCGUGUGUUAAAGUCAACUGGCAUUUCAUCUUGUGGAGAAAUUAAAUUAGUAAGUUUCUACAAAAGUUAAGUAUAUAAAAUCAUUUCAUUUUUCAAUUUUAUUUCCUUUUCCUACAAGUAACUACGGAGAAAUUUAUCCAAGAACAGAGUUAUUAAGCCAAAGAUGGAAAACGAAGUAUCAGACUUGGGUGGAAAAUAGAUAAUAGAGAAAAAGAAUCAAGCAGAAAGCAUGUGCAAUGUGCGAAGAAUAACCGAGGAUGUCCAAGUUGUGAAUCAAAUAUAUGAAAUCAGUAGCUUAGAGACAUGAAUACGCAAAAUAAAAUAACUCAACAAAACGGCAAUGCAGAAGCAAGGUAAACAUGUUAACAGGGCAUCAUUUGUAUACCGUGUCGUGCUUAAAUAGUAUUCCAAUCAAAGCAUUUAGUUGCGUCAUUAAAACUCCAUCACCAAUGCCCAAUAAACCAGCCAAAAAGAGUAUGUAAAGAGUACCAAGCAAUCCGCUACUUAUGCUGCAUCAGGAGUGGGAAAGAGAGAUAUAGGCAAGAUGAACAUUAGGAAAAUAAAUUAAAUAAGAUCAACUUCAUUCAAAGAUAAUUAAUUACUGCUGACCUGAAGUCUAGCAGAAGUAAGAUUAAUACGACUGCCUGAGCAAAAACGCCAACAAAAACAAUUUUUGUAACAGACGAGAGACCGGAGGUGAGACGACCGGCAAGCAGAGAACACUGACAUAUUCAUAGAAAAUAAGAAAAAAGAGAUCCCAUUAGAACAUAUUUUGGUGUGGCAAGGGGCUCUACAUGUGAGAACCACCAUGAAAAAACAUAGAACACAGCAGUUUCCUUGUCCACAUGUUAGAACAUUAGUGAAAAAAUGUAGAACAUGGCAAUUUUCUUGUCUAGAUAGAAAUUGUUAUCAGUUGCUCGAAGACAUUUGAAUAUAAAAUAAGUAAAUAAAAAAAAAGGAUGAGGAAAUAAGAUUCAGAAGCUUGUUCACAUGAUAUAAUCAAAGUUAAUUAUUUUAAACAACCAGCAAUGGCAAGGAAAUAUAGUCUGCAUUCCUGUACUUACUAUUCCAUCAAAAGCCCCGUAGGCUGCCAUUGAACUACCCACACCAGAAAUACCAAUUGCAGGAGUUACAACAUACUUGGUAAACUCAGCCCUGCAAAAAAGUAAUUCUUUAACAUACAAGAUAUAAUAAGAAUAAAAGGACACUAAAUCAUAGAACCAUUAUUGAAAAUCCAAAAGAAUGAAUGCCUUAUAAUUCAUAAGAAAUUACCACACAAAUGCCUGUUGUAGACCAGAAUAUGCAAUAAGGGGUAUGAUCAACAACAUCUUUAUAUCAGACAAUGCAUUGGCAAGUGAUUUAGAUAGAGACUUCAAGGACGCACUUGCACCAGCAUCUGCGCCUGAAAGCUCUUGUUCCCCCUUACUAUUAACACCCCGUUUGCGCAAGAAGCACAUUAAUAUUGCACCAAAAGUCAUAAUGAAAAGGAAUACAAUAAACAAUAAAGUGGUUCCUUUGGUGCUUCCCCCCUGCAUUAAUGAGAAACAAAAUCAAAUACUGGGAAUGUGUGGUAUAUUUUAAAUAAAAAACUCAAACUUGUUAGCUUGUCAGAUGAGCAGUUAUUGUUCAAGGGUACAAGGUAAAACUGAGCUCAUAUUUACAUUUCCUCAAAAUUGCAUACCACACAGAUUAACAUCUUUUCAUGUCUUAAUAAUAAAUAAAUUGGGAAAUUAAAAACAAAACACAGAAAUGCUAAAUUGCAGUGUUUGAAAAAGAAGUGUUUCUUUUAUUGGUUAAAAUUCCCCCAAGUAUCAAUAGUUUGGGAAUGAGAGACCAAAUAGAAAGUGGCAUGAUUUUUAUGUAAAAGUGUGAUAGCACUUCUUUGAUAGAAAAGCUAAAUACUAUUUCACAGGGUGAUAGUCAUAUUUCACACAAAUAAAUAGUGGUCUAUAUCAAGUUACGAACUUCUUUAAUAGAAAAGCUAAAUACUAUUUCGAUUCAACUAAUUUGGACCAGGGUUCCCAUUAUCAUCAAAUUAGUUGAGGUUUUUUCCUUUUCCUGAAGAUAUUUCACCAGUGGCAAUUCCUGAAGAUAUCUAACAAGAAGGAAUAUGCCACACUAAUAUCAUGAACUGAUAGUUAAAACAAACAGAGUAAAAUAAAAUUUUUAAAACGUGAAAGGUUAACCACCACGUACCUGCUGAUCAUCACUCAGUAGAGCAAAUGUAAUGAGAUUUCCAAUAAACUGCAAAACAGGUAUUUCCUCAAUCAAUUUCAAAUUCUAAGAGCUUUUUUUUUUUUUAAUGAAACAAAAAUAACAGAGUUCCUGAGAUCAAAAUGAUAUGAUCACCUGGUGAAGUGCAUACACAGCCCAGAAUUCCCCAUUGAAGUCACCAAUUACUGCACCUUCAUGCAAGUUGUUAUCUGUAGAAUGGCUGCGUGCAGCAGAAGUGAGAUAUGUUCCCUGACAGGUCAAACUACGAUAAGUAAAGAUGCAGGGGACCAAUGCCAAAUUGAAGGAGCUAUAAAAUCUUGACAGGUUACAUGUACCUCUCCAACCCAAAUUAUGGAAGCACAAAACCCGAGAUACACAGAAGCAGGGACCAAUGUAUACCUGCAGGAAUCAUUGCUCAAUUGUCAAGGAUAUGCAUAUAAAUUUGUAUUACAUAGUUAUAAAGCAAAAAGAAAUCGUACUCCCAUGUAUGAGCAGCAACCAUAAACGAUGAUGAAGAAACGUAGUUUCUGGUUCACAUAAUUGUCACUCAUUUGGAUUUUGGUCCCUUAGGAACCUAAUAAGUUUAAAUAUAGGGACCAAUUCAUCAUGGGAAAUAAAGAACAUCAACAGUUUAAGAAUGGAAUAUAUAAGAAAUAAAAUUCAAAUAAUUGAAAAUAUAGAGAUAGUAAGACUAAGUUUGACUAUCUUAGAACCAACAACACAUUUUAUCCAUGUGAAAUCCAUCAUAGAUACGUAUAUAUAUUACUUUUCUAGAAGCAGCAAAAACGAGAUAGGUAGAUAGUAAUUACCAAUUUGGUUUCAAGUUGGCAGCCACAUAGAAGACAUAGCCAGUAGUCCCAAGAAGCAGAGCGUUCUUAGAGCCGAGAACUCGCACCACCAAAGAAGCCACCACAGAGAAGAAUGUGAAAGACAAAUACAGGAUCCCGAGAGAAGUGGUGCCUAAGUCUUCCUCCUGAAGCGAAAAGUCAAACACAAUUGAAAUACUAAACACUCCACCGAACCGAGACCGUUACUCCAGGACCUCGAUUUCCUACCUCGAAAACCAAAUCAAACGCUAAAGGAAACGAAAAAUACUGACAGUGUUGAGAGUGCUCUGCAGAUUCUGCGCGGCACCGAAGGCAAGAAAAACCAAGAGAAAGGCCAAACUGAGGAUGUGAAUAUCCCAGGUGUGAGCCGUGGUUUUCGCCGCUUGAGGCGACGAAUUGUCGGCGACGAGCGGCGUCUCUUCAUCGCCGGGUAUCGCAGAGGCCAUUGGUUGAAAUUGGAGCUCACGAUUGGAGGAUGGUUGGAUAUAAAUAUUCCCAAAUUUGCUUUCGUCAGACGUCAUGAUUCCAUUAAGAUCCAAACAUGAAAGCUAUUUGCCGGCCCAACUUUGCACGCUACAAGACGCAUCUGAAACUUUAACACACUUCCAUUAUUUGCUGUUGUUAUGACUCGCGGAUAUAGAUACUAUCCUGAGAUUCCUUUUUCAAUUGAUUAGCCCAAGAAGAUUAAAAGAAAAAAAAAAUACAAGUCUUAUUGUUCGCUUUGAAUACGAGCGUCACCCUGAUGCUGACAUCACUGUUGUUGGUUUCUCCGUCUUCACACCAAAACAUUUUCUAGGAGUAACACUGUUGCUGGCGUAAUCAUUUUCUUAAUCAUUUCUCUCUUGGAUUCUUGCUUUCGGUUACUUCUCCUUGUUUAAGGUUGUGGCAUAUAAAAAAAUAAAAAAUAGUGAAGCCUGUAGAUUUAGUAUAUUCAUUCAAUUUAACGAAGCAUAUAUCAUGUGAAUUUUUGAACAGGAAAAAAAAAACAUUAGCGAGCAACGGAGAAAAUAAAAUUUAGUAUUGUAGCUACCCGGUACCAUAAUUCCCAAUCUAGUCACACAUCUAGUGUGGCAGUGUGAUUUCCGUGGGUUAACCCUAAUAUACACUGCGUUUUUUUAAAUUUAUCUUUUAAAUAUUAUUAAAGUGUAUUAAUUUGAAUUAUUUAAAAUAUUUGGUAAACUUGUUGUAUUUUAGGUUGUAAGUAAAUAAUAUUUUUUUGCUAAUUAUUUAAUUAAUAACUAUUUUAAUAAUUAAUAAAUAUUAAUAAUUGAAAUAUAAUUAUUUAUUUUAUGAAAUUUAAUGACGUAUUAAAUUCAGUAUACAGCGUUAAAUUUAUUAAUUUUCACGUCAAUAAUGAAAAUUAAUAAACCAUUGUAAUUAAAGUUGUAAAUAUUAAAUAAAUAAAUUACAAUAUAAUAAAUGUAUCAAUGUUAAUACUGAUAUAUGCAAAACUAGGGUGUUAUGUUACAAUGAGCACCUUGACAAAAACAUCUUCAUUUUAAAUAUUUUGGUAUUUUAGAAUGAUAAUGAUAUUUAGACAACAUUUUUUUAACAAUAUUUAAACAUUGAUUACGUGUUAAUCUGUGAUUGACCAAAAGUUACUCAAUAAUUUUUGACCAAUCAUAUAUUGACAUGUAAUCAAUAUUCAAAUGUUAGUUAAAAAAAUAUUGUCUAAAUAUCAUUAUCCUCUCCAUGUUGAAUUUGAAAAACAACAAAAGAAAUUCGGGUCCCCAACCCAAAUCCACACUGAUACAAUAAUAUAUAACUAGAUUGGGCAUAUGGGAGUCAAGUACUUCAACAGUAAAAUUUGUUUUUUAAUAUAAGAAGAAAAGUCUAACGACCAUUCUUUUAAACACUAAAGUGUAAAUAAGAAUAAGAAAAUUAUUAUGCCCUAAGUCGGUCACCUACGAACUAGGUGAGCCCCACAUACUGCUGUAUUCCACUUCUACACCCACAAAUUCCUAAGCUUCGAAUAGAGAUCGUGAAUAUACGGUACAAUCCACCUCAACUAUAUUUACUCCUUUAACAUUAUCUCCUCAGUUUCACUUACGGCGUAUUUACUUUCUCCAAGUAAUAGACUGUUCUUCCACCAAAAAACAACUUAAAACAGAAAAAAAAAAUAAUAUUAACACUAUCCUAUUCGUCUCUUUGCAUUUUUAAUCAGCUAAACUACUUAGAUUUUUCCUUUAUAUAUUCGAGUUCCGAAAUUUCUACUAUAUUUCCAUUCGAUUUGUUUUCACUUCUCAUCACGACAUUAAUCAAUCGAUUAUUUAAGAGUUCAUUUUACGAAGGCACAGGAAGAAUGCCGAGGUGUAUUUUGGAAUGUAAAUUAAAUCAGUGCAGCAGAAGGUUUCUAAUAGAAAGAGAUAAAAUAGUACAAAACCACCAAGGCUAAGGCUACUAGUUAUUUUCUACAUAUGAAAAUAGGAUAAAGUACCAGUCUAACAAGUUGAAACUUUGAUUACCAUUUUCAAUCCACUCAAUCAUAAAUAGAAAAAUUUGCUGGCAUGUUCCUCAAUACAAUAGAGGACUUGUGAGUAUUAAGAAGAUAAUAAAUUUAACUCAGCAUCAAAAAGAAUUCUAGAACGUAAAAUGGGAGAGUACAGAGAACUCCAAAAAGUAACCAGCAAUAAUUCAGGGGACAAAAUGUUCAACGCGGAUUCCUGGACCAAGAAGAUGAUGACCUCGAACCUCCACCACUAACAUAACUACUUCGCCGAUCAUCACCACGCCACCUGUCACCAUCCGGCCUGCUGCUACUGUUACCCCAGCGAUCUGUUUCCGGAGGAGGAGCAGUGCCUGUUCUUUCAGCUCUAUCUCGCAUGAACUUAGGCACGUAUUUCCCUGGGUUUGGAGCUGCAGCAGCUGCAGCUGCAGCAGCUGCAGCUGCAGCAGGAGCUGUUACGGGUUCCGAUUGACGCGCAGGAGGAGCUGGUUCAACAGCUCUGCCUAACAAUGCUUCUUUUCUUUGUCUCUCCUUUUCUUCGAGUUCCCGCUCUCUCUGCCUCUGUUUUUCAGCUAUCUCGGCCAGUUUCGCUAAACGUUCAGCCUCUUCCUUCUUUCUCCUUUCCGCCUCUGAAUUUCAACAGAACCAAAACAUUGAUAAAUACAUACGACAGUUUAUUACUACAUUGUGUUAAGCGAAAUAUAAAAGGUGAAUUGAAAAACAAAAUAUGACAAUCUCGGUGAUUUUUUUAAAAAAUAAAAUAUUCAAACUUCUAAAAAAGAUCCAAAGAAAAUGUAUAUAUUGUUGAACUUUUCCUACAAACAGCCAAAAAAUACCUUCACGUUUCCGUGCUUCCUCCUCCUCACGCAUCUUUUGUUGUCUCUCCUCUUCUAAUUUGAGAUAAUACUUCAACUUCCUCAUCUUUUCCCUUUCCUGUUUCCUUGACUGCAAAAUCCUAGAGAUUCUCUCUUCCCGUUCUCUUCUUAAUCUAUUAAACUCUGCUUGGCGAUGACUAACAACUCGGACCUGAUAUAUCUCCUGCAUAAUAAAUCACAAACGAAGAAAUCAGCCAAAGGCAAGACCUGAUUUAUAGGCUAAAUUAAAUAAUAGUUGAUAGUUGCAGUAAUUUUAUGGCCAAUGGCAACAAUAGGUAGUAAAAAAAAAGGAUUUCACAAGUCAUAACCUGUAAUAUCUAUCCUCCAAAAAGCUAACAGAAAGAAAAGGAUAGAAAAUACAUUUGAGAAGCUAAACAGAUUGUCAACACUUGACCUUAUUGCCAAUCAUUCGAGCAAGCCUCUCCUUCUCCUUGAGAUCUCCCUCAUGCCUCUGUUUGCUGAGUUCAACUUCUUGCUGCAUUAUUAAUAGUUUGAUUCAGUUAGAAAAGAUAUAAAUUGGCUCAAAUAGAGUGUUGUAGGAGGUGAUGAUAAGGAAUGUACAAAGGCCAAUGCCAAAGUUACAAAAGCACAGAUGCAAACAAGAGUAAUCCACACAUACCUGUUGUUCACGCUCGUGAAGAAGCCUCUCUUCCACUAAACGUUGUUGAUACGCAGCUUCAAUAAGGGGAGCAGCCUCCUCUCUUUUUGCUCUUUCCAAAUAAUCCAUUGUUUUCGCUAACUUCUGCAACUUCUUUUCCAUUUCCUGUCUUUCCCGGAGUUGUUCAGUCAAAGUUAACUCCAUCAAGGUCUGCUUGGUCAUUUUGUCCUAUAGAUAGGGUUUAUAGUCAACAUUUGCAGACCAACUAAUCAAGAAUUUUAUUUAACAAAACAGACUCCAACUUACUCCCUCUAUGAUUGGCUUUUUCCCCUUCUUUUUAAUACGCUUUUCAGCUUCCUGAAGUAAAGCUUGGGCUUCUUCAAUUUCCCUCUCUUCUAUCUCCCUGAGGAUCCUCUGAUUUUUCCUCUGCUCAUACUCAGUGGCAAGCCGUCUUUGUUCUGCUUCUUCAGUUAUUUUCUGAAGUCUUAGUCUUUUUGACUCCUCCUCUCGUUCCUUUAAACAUAAAUAUUAAAGAAAAAGUCAAAUCAUUUCAAAAAUAUCCACAACUCAAUAUCCAUUAAUAUAAAGUGAUAUCUUGGGUCAAUUUGUUACAGAAAUAAUAACUUUUAAAGCUUUAGUGAACAGUUGUUUCCUACAAUAAAAGCAGACAGAAGAAAAAAAAAGUUAUAAUUCAGAAAUGCAUACCAUUUCAAGAAGCUGUCGUUCUUGUUCUUCUUUCCGCUUCUCAAUGAUUGAUUUUCGGGCAAGAAGCCUCUUGUGUUCUUUGGCAACAACCUCUGUCAAAGUUGGAAGUAAAGCUCCAAGUUUAGAUGGUUUCCUAUCAGGAGGACAAAUCAUUUGUCGGGCCUUAUUUAAUUGUUCAGCAAAAUUGGCCAAGUGAUCCCUUAAGCCAUCUGACUCGAGACUCUGCAUUAUAAAUGAAGCAAUUGCCAUAAAACAACUGAUAAAUAGAACUGUGCUGACAUACAGCAAACUAGAUAAAAAUGAUGAUUCACAACAGCUGAUACUAGACAUUGUUACAAAAACAACUCAUUUAACAAGAAACCAUUACGCAGAUAUAAAAAUGAUAAACAAACCCAUGAUUUUGUAAGUUAACAUAAUAUACCCAAAAUUUUCUGCAAAGUUACUAAUUUUAGAGGGGGCAAUCACAACAAAAUGAACAUACCGUUUUGGAAAAGAUCACAACAUUUUUCAUGUGAUCAACUUUCAUCGAUACAAACUUCUGCUUUACAGCAUCUACGGCGAUCUUUUCGACUAUAGAGAAGUCAAAGAACGGGAUCAUCCCAGAUAAAGUCUCAAUCUUCAUUGUCUGAUAAACAUUGGACACCUAGAACACAAAGAGGAAACACAUUAACAUGCAAAAUCACAAAACAGAAUGGAAAACAUGUUUAUUAUUCAUCCUCAACAUGACAAAGGAGCACAAAAAGGAAAGUGCACCUGCUGCAGCAACCUCAUGGUAGCUAGUCUUUCCAGUGAUGGGACAUAUUGAGACAACUGUACUUCUGGAACAGAAGAAGCUGUAGAAAGCUUCCCCCCUAACUUUGAGAUUUUAGUUAUCAAGGGCAGCGCUUUUAAUGCAAGAUCUGAGGGAUGAAAUUCAUGUUCCAAAAGAUGGUAAACAUCUUUCACUUCCUGAGUCACACAAGACAUCACUCCCUUGGAUGCCUGUAAUGGACCAACACACACAAACUGUCAGAGUUAGGCAGCAUUAUUCCUUAAUG